CGGGCGCGACGCCGAGGUGGAACCCGCCGUCGCCGUCGUCGACGUCCCCGACCUCGUCGCCGUCGCCGUCGCCCUCCGCGGCGGCGGCGCCGUCUUCUUCUCCCUCCGCCGCGGAAGGCGCCUCCUCCGCGUUUUGCGCCUCCGCGGUGGUCUCUUCCGAAGAGACCGCCGCGUCAUCCUCCGCGGGCGGCGACGGCCGCGCGGCCAUCUCCGCGGCGUGUUCCUCGCGCAUCUGCAGAUGGAACGCCUUGAACAGCUUGAACGUCUCUCUCACGCGCUUCAGGGAAUCGCACGGCAGCUCCUCCAGCGUCGUCAUCCCGUGCACGUAAUCCCUCACCUUUUCGCUCAGCUCCGUGCGCUCGAUCUCGGAUAAGUCGCCGUAGUUGACCGUCUCGCGGUUCGCGAACGUGUCCCGCAUCGCGAGCUCUUGCUUCAGCUCCUGGACCUGCCGCUCGUACUUGCGAAGCAGCACCCGCGGGUCUUUGCUCUCGUUGAUCACCGGGUUCGUGCGCAGCGUCCGCACGCGGCCGCUAAACCGACACGUGGACACCGUCUCCUCCACGUGUCCAAACUCCGGCCACACGCACGCGAUCAUGACCGUCUUGCAGUUCCCAAUCAACGAAUCGCGAAGCACGCUCGUGAGCUUCGAUUGGCGGUACGGAAUCGCCUUGUCCUUCCUCGACAUCGCCAUCACCGUCUGCUCCAGCAAGCUCAGCGAUCGGUUGAUGAACGUCGCCUCUUUGAACAGCGCGCCGGUGACGUGCGACUUCUUCACGCGCUCGCUCCCGGCGAGAUCGACCAGGUGAAGCUUCGACACGAUCGUCUUAUCCGGCCCGUCCCCUGUCGCGCGUUGCUCCAGGUGAAUCGUGAAGACGCAGUGCGAGCGCGAGGAGGAUUUGUUGAGCGCGUGCGCGGCGACGGCUCUGUUGGCGUCCCCCGCGAAAAACGCCGCCAGCGCCUCCGCCUCGCUCGCGACGUACUUCUUCGUCAGACCCUUCACUCGCACCUCGUCCCCGCGCUCGACGAUCGUGAGGGACUCUCGGCGCGACGGGAUCCCGCCGUCCUCGGAGGAGUCCGCGAGGAGGUCGUACAUCUGCUCGUUGUAAAUUUCGAGGUAGGAGACGCGAACGACUUUUUCCUUCUCCACUCGCAGGUCCAUCUCGUGGAAGAUGUGGUGGACCGCUCUCGGGACGACGCCGCGCUGCUUGUAAUCGCCCGGCUCGCCCGUCAUCGUGAACGUCUUCCCCGCGCCCGUCUGCCCGUACGCGAACACCGUGCCGUUGUACCCGUUCAUGACGUUAUCCACCACCUCGCUCGCGCAGUGAUCGUAGACGCCCUCCUGGUUGAUAUCCUUGAGGACGUUGUCGAACGUGAACGCGAAGCCGUCCGCGGCGUUGUUGACGUCCAGGCCUCGUCGCGCGGCGGUCUUGUCGGGUUUGAGGUCCACGUUGACGGUCUUGUUAUCCGCUUGCACGCUGCGGGUGGAGGACGCGGGGGGGGGAGAGGUCAAGGUCAGCGGUCGGGUCGGGACGGAGUCGCGACGAUGGACUGCGUCGCGUGCGCUUCAGCGGGGGGACGACCGACGGCGAUGACCGGGGAUCUAUCGAGCGCGUCGGACGGGGCACGCACACGAACGAGCCCUCAUCGUCGAUGCACGGCCGCGCGCGGAGGAACACCUUCACCGCGCUCGUCGUCGCGUCGCGCGGAGCGGGCUUCAUCGCGCCUCUCGCGUCGAGACGACGCGCGCCGCCCGUUGUCCCCGCGCGUCGGUCAAUCCGACCCCUAAAUAGGCUUCGCUUCGUCGGAAGGGGUAAACUGUGCGACCGACCGCGAUGGAAGUCUGGUGGAAAGGGGGACGAGCGACGCGCGGCGCGCGGCACACGCGUCGACGCGCGCGAUGCCGUCGUUCGACAAGCAAGUAUCGCGCCCGGCCGCGAAGGCGGGCGCGCCGGCGCCCGCCAGGGCGCGAAGCGGCGGGCCAGGUGCGUCGUCGCAUCCCGCGCGCGCGCGUCAUCUUCCGCUUCCGCGUCGCCUCGAUCUCGAGCGUUUCGCCGUUUCGUACUCCGUCGCGCGAACGAUGGUUCCGAGAAGACGUCCACGACGACCCCCGCCGACGACGCGUCCCGCCGCGUCCCUCCCCGAUCGUCCGCGCAGACCCGUUCGUGAUCGCGCACGUGCACAAGCAGUCCGACGCGGAGGCGUUCUUCGAAGCGCGGUUCGGCCUCGAGCCGUCUUCGAACGACGUCCGCUCCCCGCUGCGCGACGGCUCCAACCGAGCGAAGCCGUCCACCUCGGAGCGCGGCGGCCCGACGUCCGCGGCUGGCAAAAAGAUCGCCGACCUCCAGACGAAGCUCGCGCACGCGAUGGCGGCGGUCCAAGAGGGCGACGCCGCGACGGAGCAGGCGCGGAUCGAGCGCGAGCGCGCCGCGGUGGCGUGGGCGGACGCCAUGGCUGCCGCCGACGCCGCGCGCGAAUCCGCCGUCGCCGACGCCGCCGUCACCCGAGACGGCGUCCAAAGAGCGCUCGAGCGCGAGGUCAGCGAGCUGCGCGCCGCGCUCGCAGCGGCGGAGACGAUGAACGCGCGCGCCAAGGCGGCGGAGGCGGCGACGCACGCCGCGGGCGCGAAAGCCGCCAAGGCGAAGAACGACAAGCUCGCGGCGCGCGUCGCGUUGUUGACCGAGGCGCGUAUUGGUUCCUCACACCGGUUCCCAUACGAUCCCGUUCGCGCGGUGCACGCCGUUCCUUGAGGACUUUCGCCGUCGCAUCUCUCCGCCCACACCUCGCUUUCAAUCCCCGACCACGACGCCUUUCAACUCCGCUUCUGACGCCUUUCAACUCCACCCCGACGUGGCUUCGCACGGAACGCGCCUCAGGAGGCGGAGGACGCCGAACGGAGGGCGUCGGACGCGUCCGCGGCGUCAGACGCGACGCGCGCGGAGCUCGCGGAGACGAAGCGCGCGAUGGAGAAGAUCGCGAGCGAGAUGGAGACGCUGAAGAAGGCUGGCGCGGUCGCGAACGAGAUGCUCGCGGACGCGAAGGGAGAGCUCGAACGCGCGCGGGAGACGUCGCGCGACGGCGAGAAGCUCGCGGCGGAGGCGGCGGCGGAGGCGGCGGCGGCGGCGAGCGCGAGCGCGACGACGAUAGCCGAGCUCCGCGCCGCGCUGGAGACGACCGGGGGGUCGCGUCAGCGCGCGAUGGAGGAGCUCUCGAGGCUGCGCGACGACGCGACGACGGCGAAGGAGGAGUCGGAGCGCGCGAAGAAGACGGCGGAGGAGGCGGAUUUUUUGCGCGCGGCGACGGAGACCGAGCUCGCGAAGACGCGGCGAGACCUCGACGACGCGAACGCGCGCGCGUCCGCGACGGAAAGCGAGCUCGCGAAGACGCGGCGAGACCUCGACGACGCGAACGCGCGCGCGUCCGCGACGGAGAGUGAGCUCGCGAAGACGCGGCGAGACCUCGACGACGCCAACGCGUCCGCGUCCGCGUCCGCGACGACGACGCGCGACGAGGCGACGCGAGAGGCGCGAGAGAGCGCCGCGCGCGAGAUGGAGGAAACGCGCGCGACGCUGACGGCGCGACACGACGCCGCGCUCGCCGCGCUCGCCGCGACGCACGCGGCGACGACGAAGGAGUUGGAGGCGCGGUUGGACGCGGCGAGGGCGGACGCGUCCGAGGCGGCGGCGAGGGCGGAAGCGUUCGAAGCCGAAGCCGCGGCGACGACGAAGGAGUUGGAGGCGCGGUUGGACGCGGCGAAGGCUGACGCUUCCGAGGCCGCGGCGAGGGCGGAAGCGUUCGAAGCCGAAGCCGCGGCGAACGCCGCCGCCGCGGUCGUCGUCGCUCCCCCCGCCGCCGCGCCGCCGCCUCCCUCCGAGGAACUCGACGCCCUCAAAGCCGCGCACGCCGCGGAGAUGGCGAAGAUCAACGAGGCGAACGACGAGAUCGUCGCGUGGGCGCGACAAGCGGCGAAGGAAGAAGCCGAAGAAGCGCUCGGCGCCAACGCGAGAGACGCGCUCGCGAAAGCCGCGCGCGCGGAGAAGGCUCUGGAGGACGCGUCCCUGGAGCACGCGUCCCGCGUCGCGUCGUUGAAGCAGGUAACAACAGAACGUUUUUCACCCGUCCCUCGGUUUCAACAUAAAGUUGAUCGCGUGGGUUCCUUUCAACUGACCGAUGAACGAACGGCCCGCAGACGUUCAAGGAGGCGAUGGAGCGAAAGAACGAGGAACUCAAGGUGGCGCUCUCCGCCGCGCGUUCGAGCGGCGCCGACGACGUCGCGCGCGCGGAGGCCAAGGUGGCGUCCGCGACGACGGAGGCGCGCGCGAAGAUCGCCGCCGCGGAGCGCGCGGCGCGAGAGGCGAAGGCGGCGACGGACGCCGCGGAGGCGAAAGCGGCGGCGACGGAGAAGGCGCGCGACGACGCCGUCGAGUGUUUGAACGUCGCGCGCGCCGAGUGCGAGGCCGAGGUGAAAGCGGCCGAGCUGAGAGCCGCGAACGUGGAGUACGACCUCGAGACGCUUCGCAACCGGUUGCGGCAGUCCGAGAACGCGGGGAAGCGCGCGCUGUUGGAGCUCUCCGACGAGCUCGCGAGCGCGGAGCGCCGCGCGAUGGAGAAGGUGAUGAAGGUGCGUUCUCGCGAACGUUUCGUUUUGUUUUUCACCCGUCCCUCGGUUUCAACGUUUGAUCGCGUGGGUGGGUGGGUCCCUUUCAACUGACCGAUGAACACGUUUUGUACCCCUCUGCCUGAAGUCGGAGGAGGCGGCGAAGAAAGCGGACGCGACCAACGCGCAGCUCGCGCGCGAGCUCUGGGCGUGCCGGCAGAAGAUGGAGACGAACGAGGCGGAGCUUCGACGCGACCUCGAGCUGUCGCGGAAGCGCGCGAGCGACUUGCUCAGGGAGGUGAACGCCGCGCGCCGACGCGAAGCGAUGCGAGGCGGCGGCGGCGGCGGAGACGACGCGUCCGGGGCUGGGAGGAGCGCCGCCGACGCGGACGCCGUCGUCGCGGAGAUGCAACGCGAGCUCGAGGCGGAGAUCGCCGCGUCCGAAGCCGCGGCGGCGGCGUCCGCGAAGCGCGAGGGCGCGUCGCGCCGCAAGCUCGCGGACGUGAACACGAAGUUAACGGAAGCGGAGCACGCGUUACACGAGACGAAGAUUGCGCUCAUGAAGAGCGAGCGGCGCGCGAACGACUUCGAGAGGGACCUCGAGAAGGAGACGAGCAAGAGCGCGCGGCUCGAGUUGGCGUGCGCGAAGGGCGGCGUCAAGCUGCCGAAGUAGUCGCGCGUGAUAGCUAUCAUAUCGUAUUCAUUCGAUUCGACGACGACGACGACGUGCCGCGCGCUCACUCGUCGUCGUCGUCGUCGUCGUCGUCGUCCUCGGGCUCUGGCUUCCCCCGGCCUCUUCCUCCCCUCCCUCCUCUCCCCGGGCCCCUCCCCCCCCGCCCGCCCUUCCUCGCGCGGACUGCGCCGCGACUUUCACCACGACUCGACGCGGACUGCGCCGCGACUUUCGCCUCCUUCCUCGCGCGAUUCGCCGCGGACUGCGCCGCGACUUUCGGCGCGUAGUUCGUCCCCCAGUACAACAUCUCCGCCUUGACGUCCGCGUACGGCGCGCGCAACGCGUCCUCGCCGCAGAACACGAGCAUGUCGCACGUGCUCGGCCACGCCUCUUUAUUCUUCCGGAAGAUGUCGCGCACGCGGCGUUUCACCGAGUUUCGAUCCACCGCGCGCCUGAGAAGCUUCUUCGGGGCUUUGAUCCCCAGACGCGUGUUGUCCACGUCCGGGACGUCCGUCGUGUCGCACCACUUGAUGCGCACGAGCUUUCCGUUGAAGGAGCGUCCCGUGUUUUGCACGCGGGUGAAAUCCGCUUGCGUCUUGAGUCGCUCGCGCGGGCGGAACACCUCGCCGGCGAUGCUCUCCACCUGCGCGGUGCGCCGCGAGGACGGAGUGCGCCGCGUCAGAUGCAAUGCGCGCGGGCGUCGGGCCACACGCCGAGCGAGCGAGCGAUCGAACGAUCGAGCGAGAGAGAGAGCAGAGAAGAGAAAGGAAGAAAAUCGAGUCGUCGUCGUCGUCGUCGUCGUCGUCGUCGUCGUCUUUUCCGUCACGCAGACCUCGGCGCCAACCGAGGGAAACUGUUUCUUUCGACACGAGGGCGUCCCCCAUGGAACCAAAUAGUUUCAGGCUGGUGCCAGUAUUGGUUCAUCACUCGGAAAAGCGACGCGACGCGACGGACGGACGGACGGACGACCGACCGCGGGCGAGGGAGGACGGCGGCGGCGGGCGGCAAAUCGAAUCGAAUCGCUCGAAUCGCACUCGGCGCACCUUUUCCCUCGCGCGCUUCUCCCGCGCCCUCCUCUGUCCCUCCUUCACGCUCGCCUUGUGCGCUUCCUUGCGCCGCGCGUCGCUCCACGCGAUGUCGCCGAGGUACGCGAGCGGGUCCGCCGCGUCGUCGUCGUCGUCCCACGACGUCGGCGCGGACGCGGACGUCGCCUUCGGGCAGUCCCUCGCGAGGUGCCCGGGCGCGUGACAUCGGAAGCACGCGCGCGUCUCCGUCGUCGUCGGCGACGACGACGACGACGACCAGCGGGGCGCGCUCGACCGCGCGACCGCGCGCGUCGUCGUCGUCGACGACGACGUCGCGAGCGCGUCGCGCCGAGCGGCGCGCGGCGCCGCGCGCGCGGUCGCGCGGCGGUGCGACGUCGUCAGCGUCGAGAACGCGGCCGCGCGCGCGUUCGCCGCCGCCGACGACGCGAUGAUUAGUGGGGGACGUCGAAUCAUCGUCGUCAACGCGAACGACGACGACGAGGACUCGAGAGCGCGAGCCGCCGCGGCGAGCGCCGCGGAGGCGAGCGCGCGUCUCGUCUGGAUGUUGCCCCGCGCGCGACUGGGGUGCCGCGACGAGCUUCCGGUCGCUGCGGCGGUGCGCGGGCUCCGUGUGAUGACCUAGAGUUGCGAAUUUUCCUCGGUUCGUCCAGUCGUCCGCGUCCGCCGACCGCGCGACCGCGCCGGUGCCGAGUACAGGUAGUGAUGUUUGUCGAGAGCUCGGGAAAAGGGCGCGCGAUCGGCGCCGCCGUCGCACACGCGCGAGCGGUGGCUCGACGCGAGCGCGCGGGCUCGCAUCGGACACCCGCGGGACGCGUUCGGCGAUCGGAGGGGGAUCCCUCGGGGGAGGAUACCCCCGGGGGAGGCACCCGCUGGGGCGGGGCGAGACGUCACAAAUUCAAAUCUGAGCGAGCCGAGAAGUCGUCGUCGCUUUCCGCGCGCGUCGUCCAUCGUCUGGGCCGAGCGGAGCUGGCUCGGGAGCACGGCACCAUGACGCGUCCCGGCGCGCGCGGCGGCGACGGCGACCCUCCGACGCCGUCCACGCGCUACGCCGGCGUCGUCGACCCCGCGUACGCGUCGUCCGACGACGACGACGACGCGUUCACGCCGCCCCUCCGCCCGCCGUUCGUCGCGUCCGACGGAUCGCCGUCGACGUCCGCCUCGCCGACGCGGCCGCCGCGCGAGGUCGUCGCGCGGCGCUCCGUCGCGUGGGACGCGGACCUGGAGCGGUACGAGCCCGUGGAGUCGUCCUCCGCGCCGCCGCCGCCGCCGAUCCUGAAGCCGUCGCGCGGCGGAUGCGGCGGCGUCCUCGACGCGCUGUCGCCGCGGAAGCGACGCGAGCGACGCGAGGCGCGCGAGCGCGACGAGACGCGACGCCGCGACGCGUCCGCCGCGUCGGACGCGGCGACGCGCGCGGCCGUCGACGCCGCCGCGCGGUUCGACGAGAACGUCCCGCUGCCGGGCGAGGCGUUGCGGGGCGACGAGGAGGAGUUCUACGGCGGCGGAGCGGGGGGCGACGAGGAGGAGGAGGACGACAGCUGGCGUCGCGGCGUCGUCGGCGUCGGCGGGCGCGUCCGCGCGACGGCGACGACGACGUCCGCGCCGACGGCUUCGAUCGACGCGUCGCGCCGAGUCGCGGAGGAGGACGCGCUCGCGGCGCUGCGCGCGGCGUACGCCGCGGAGGAGGACGACCGACCGUCCACGAGCGCGGCGGCGCGAUUCUUCGCCGCGGACGUCGGCGACGGCGACGCGACGCGUUUCGAAUCCUACCCGGGGAUGGCGAAGUCCACCGUGGACGCGAUAUUAUACGGCAACGCGCUCGCGGGCGGCGAAGAGGAAGACGCCGAGGAGGAAGGCGCCGGAAGAAGAGUAGACGCGACGCGCGCGCGCGACGCGCGACGCGAAGAGCGGCGCCGGCGCCGCGAGCGCGAGCGCGAGGAAAACGCUGAGGAAGACGCCGGCGGCGGCCGAAAACCGCCGAACGACGACGCCGUCGUCGCGCCGUUCACCGUCGCCGUCGCGGACGCGGAGCUCAGCGCCGGCGCGCGCCCGGGGAUCGCGCUCGAGAUCGGCGACGACGUCGCGAGGAUGAAGCACGCGCUGGAGAACGUCGGCGCGGCGCGAGAGGCGCACCUCGCGGAGAUGCGAUCGUUUUUAUCGCGCGACGGCGGCGACCGCGGCGGCGGCGGCGGCGGCGGACGCGUGACCCUCGCGCCCGGCGCGACCUCGAUCCUCCCCCCGGGGAGCCCGUCCGCGUCCGUCGCGGAAGAGGCCGCGGAGGCGACCGCGCGCAUCGCGAUGAACGCCGCGCGCGUCGAGGAGACGGCGACGUACGCGAACCGGUUGGUCGCGGCGGCGAUCGAGCCGUCGCCGCCGCCGGCGGAUUGGCGCGCGACGAUGCAGCCGCAGUGGGCGUCCGAGGACGAGUGGACGUCCCCGCCGCCGACGCCGACGCCGAUCCCGAUCCCGAUCCCGUCGCCGAAGAUCGCCGUGGCGUCGUCGCCGCGGUCGUCCGCGGCGUUGGAGGCUGCCGCGAGCGCGGCGAGCGGCGCGACGCGACGCGCGACGGCGGACGCCGCGGCGGACGGCGACGAAGAGAUGCUCGAGGUGUUGCGCGUUCUCGAGGGCGUGACGACGACCGCGAGCGAGAUCGCGCGCGGCGGCGGCGGCGGCGCCAGACCCCGCGCGCGGGCCGCGCUGACGUUCGAUUGGAAUUGGAACGCGGACGCCGCGGACGCCGCGGACGCCGCGGACGACGGGAUCGAUCGCGCGCCGAGAGGGGACCUCGCCGUCGCGAUGGGUUUGCCGCGAUUCGAUCCGACGCGGAGAAGAGAGGUCACAUUCGGCCCGUCGUCGCGUCCGUCCGCGGCCGCCGCGCGCCGCGCGUGGGAGCCGCCGCGCGUGGGGUUCGGCAGCGCGACGACGCGCGAGGGCGAGCCCAGACGUGCGGGGAGGGGCGGGGACGCCGCGCGAGCGGUAGGCGGCGCCGUGCGUUGGCGCGGCGGCCCGCCGGAGCCAACGUCGGCGCCAGAGGCGUCGCGCGCGUCGGCGUCGGCGUCGGCGUCGACGUCGCCGCGCGCGAAAGAGAAAAGGAAGGAAGACUACUCGCACGUCGGGAGUAAGCUCAAGGAGCAGUGGGAGGCGUGGCGCGCGGGCACGGACGAGGGCGUCGCGGAGGAGAAGCGACGCGCGGAGAAGAUAAAACUCCGCGCGGGGCUUCGAGGGGUGCUCGUCGAUAUUCACGCCGCGACGACGGCGAUGGAGGCGGCGACGGCGGCGGAGUCGCCCACGGUGACGCAUUCGUCCGAGGAGAGCGUCUCCGAGGGGGACGACGCCCCGAAGCGGCGGCGAGCCGCGUUGGCCGUCAUCGAGAAGAACGCGCCGCCGCCCGCGUCGGUCGAGACGGCGACGGACGAGGAGGCGAGACGACGGGAAGAGAAGAAGAAACUGCGCGCGGGGCUCGUGGACAUGCUCGCCGACUUGCAGCGCGCGCGCGUGGACACCGCGGCGGGGACGUCCGAUGACGUGUCUCCCGCGACGAAACGCCGCGAAGAGAAGCGGAAACUGCGAGAGAGCCUGGAAGACAUGCUGUCGGACGUGCGCCGCGCGAAGGAACCGCCGUCGCCGCCGCUCCCGUCGCCGCCGGCGGCGCUCCCGGCGUCGCUUCCGGUCGCCCCCGCGGCGACGCUUCCCGCCGCGACGCCGACGCCGCUCGUCGUCGCGCGCGGCACGCGCGCGCGAAGCGCCGUCGCCGUCUCCGACGCCGCCGUCGGCACCGUAUCGUCGUCGCACGCGGCCGCGCAAACGUCCACGGCGGCGGCGGUGGAACUCGACGACGACGACGACGACGACGACGACGACGACGACGGCUCCGUCGCGUCCGACCGCGACGAUCUCCUCAUGACGACCGCGGGGGCGUACCAAGUCUUAGGGUACACCGAACGCGGAGAUCUCACGGAAGAGACCGGGACGCAGACGCUGUCGGCGCCGCCGCCGCCCGCGGACGAAGCGAAAGAGGAGGAGGCGAGGUUCGAACGCGAAGCCGCGGCGAUCGCGCGCGAGCUCGUGUCCGGCGCCGCGCGCGCCGCCGACGCCGACGACGCGUCGCCGUCGCCAUCGUGGCUUCGCCUGCAGCUCCGAGCCGUGCGCGUGCUCGCGCGCGCGCGCGAGGAGACGCACCGCGAGCGCGUCGCGGCGAUGUGCGAGCGUUUCCGCGACGCGGACGCGCGGCUGCGGGAGCAGGCGCGUUCUAUACACUGGUCCCCAUACGACCGCGUCGGCGAUGUGAACGCCGAUCCUUAAGGACUUUGCCGUCGUCUCUCUCCGCCCACCCCUCGCUUUCAAUGCCCGCCCUCGACGCCUUUCAACUCCCUCUGACGCCUUUCAACUCCACCCCGACGUUCGCUCAGGAGUACCUCUUGUCUUUCUCCGCCGCGUCGCGGGAUAUCCGCCGCGCGAGAGCGACGGAGGCGAAGCGCGAUAAGGCGGCGGCGCGCGGGAAGAAGUGGGCGCCGCCCGGGGGAGGCAAGGCUGCGUUCGCCGGCGGCGGCCGCGGCGGGAAGAGCCACAGCGUGCACGUCUCGAGAGGCGCGGGGCCCGAUGCGGCGACCUGGGAGGCGGCGACGAAACCGGCGGCGGCGGGGAGAGGAAAAAGUAAAAUCGCCCCCGGGAGCGCCGGCGCUCGCGGUCGCGACGGUCCGAACCUCGCGGACGACCCGUGGGAAGGCUCGGAGUUUAAGCGUCAGAUGCUGAUCACGCUGUCGAGUAAGCUUCUGAUGAAGACCGCGCUCACGGCGUUCGCGGCCGCCGCGCAGGGCGCGCGGGAUGUGCGGACGAACGUCCGAAGGGUGUGGGUGAAGAACCGCGCGAAGCUUUUGGUCGCGUGCCUCGACGCGUUGAAAGAAAACGCGCGCAUCGCUGCCGUUUUCGAAUCCAAAGCCUCCACCGUCGCGGCAGAACGCCUGAGAAAACACGCGAGAGCUGGGCUCAAGCGCUGGCGAUUCAUCGCGGGCAGGGACGCGGAAGAGAAGAAGCGAAACGCGCUCGCGGACGCGGCGUACGGUCGCAGAGCCGCGGGCGCGGCGUUUUCGCAGUGGCGCGCCGCGCGCGUCGCGACCGACAUCGACGCGCACGUAACGUCCCUCGCGCGUACGUUUCGCGACAAACGCCUCGCCGUCGCGGCUCUCCACGCGUGGGCGAUGCAGACGAAAUCGGAAGACGUCUAUUACGCGCGCGCGAGCGAGAACUACGCGUUCGCGAGGGCGCGCGCGUUCAAAGACUCCUUCCUCGCCGGUCGCCGCGCGCGCGCGUGGCAAAUCAACGAGAUGCCCGAUCGAGCCGCGCGCGACGCCGCGAUGGACGCAUUCGUCGACGCUUACCGCGCGUGGUCGCGGUCGCGAGGGGCGCUUCAGGCGUGGAUCAUCGCGUGGCGCGCGACGAAGGACGCGCGCGGCGCGACGACGCGCGGCGCGGACGCCAUCGCGCGCGUCGUCGCCGAGUGCGACGGCAGCCGACGAAGAGCCGCCGCGCGCGACGCGUCGGCGACGCUCCGAGCGCUUCUGUCGCGGCGGCGGUACGUCGCCUCGGACGCGGACGUUCGGUGGGUCUCGCUCGCGAUCGCGCACAUGCGGCGCGCGCGCGAGGAGGAGACGAACGAGACGGCGUGGGAACGCGCGCGCGAGACGGAGACGGAGACGACGCGCGCGAACGACGAUCGCGACGACGCCGCCGCCGCGGACGCCGCCGCGUGGUCGAAGAAGUGGUGGUCGAGCACGCGCCCGCCCCGGGACCCGGACGCCGCGCCGGCGACGAAGACGCAGCGCGACGCCGCGGCGGCGAAGGUGUUCGACGACCCGGGGGUGCCGGACGACGACGACGGCGACGGCGACGACGCGACGGAGAGGGGAACGAAGAGCGCGAACGAAGAAGAAGACGCGGCGCGAAUCGACGUCGACGCGUCCGUCGUCGCGACGGACGCCGUCGUCGUCGCCGCCGACGCGCUCGCGCACACCGCGUCGUCCGCGUCCGUCGCGCACGCGGCGGCCGUCUCCGAGCGUCGCGUCGCCGCGGACGCCGCGCGACGCCGCGCCGCGGACGUCGCCGCGGAGACCGCGCAGACCAAGCUCGUCAUCGCGCGCGAACGCGCGGAGAUGGAGGCGUGGACCGUCGCCGGCGGCGACGCCGCGGUGUUUUCCGCGCUCGACGCCGAGUCGAGAUGGGUCGCGUCGGACGCGGCGGGCGCGUCGUCGUCGUCCGCCGCGGCCGCCGCCGCGAGAGAAGCCGAGGCGAACGCGAAAGACGCGGACGCGGACGCGUCGACGGCCGCGAACCUCGCGUCCGUCGCGACGGACAUCGCGUCGUUCGCGAGGGACGCGGCGAAGGCGACGGCGACGGCGGCGGCGGCGGCGGCGGCGGCGGCGCGGACGGCGGCGGCGGCGGACGCGGCGGCGCGUCUUUCGCGCGCGAGCGUGAACGCGUCGCGCGAGGUCGUCGCGGAGGCGGCGGCGGAGGCGGCGGCGAACGACGACGACGACGACGACGCGUCGGCGUCGGCGUCGAUCGCGAAGCUUCGAGAGCGAUGCGAGCGCGCGGAACGCGACGCGACGGACGAUGCCGCGGCGCUCGCGGCGGCCGCGGAGGCGUCCGCCGCUUUCAACGCCGCCUCGGACCGCGCGUCCGCUCGCCACGACGUCGUCCGCGUCGCGAUCGACGCGCUCGAGACCGCGCGCGCCGCGGUCAAGGCGUCCGCCGCGUGGCGCGACGACGCGACGCGACGCGUCGCGAACGCCGACGCGGAGGCGGCGGCGGCCGUCGCGGAGGCGGCGGGCGCGGAGGCGCGAGAGGCGUUUUGGUCCGAAAAGUACCGCGACGCCGUCGUCGACGCGGAGGACGCUAAAAACGAUNNNNNNNNNNNNNNNNNNNNNNNNNNNNNNNNNNNNNNNNNNNNNNNNNNNNNNNNNNNNNNNNNNNNNNNNNNNNNNNNNNNNNNNNNNNNNNNNNNNNCGCGCACUCAGCCUCGGCCUCCGUCGCGACCGCGAGCCGCCACGCCGGGUCGGAGGAGAGUUCGCCGCCGCGCAUCGCGGCUUCGUGCGCGAUUUCCACGUGCGCUCGCGCCGCCUCAGACGCGGCUUCUGCCCUCGAAACGCACCCGUCGCGUCGAGUUUUCGCCGCCGCCGCGGAAGACGCGGAGAUGGCUGCGAACGACCAGCACGCGCUCGAUUACGUCGCGAUCGCGCGCGAUACCGCGCGCGCGGCCGAGGCUGAAGCGGCGGCGGCGAAAACUCGACGCGACGGGUGCGUUUCGAGGGCAGAAGCCGCGUCCGAGGCGGCGCGAGCGCACGUGGAAAUCGCGCACGAAGCCGCGAUGCGCGGCGGCGAACUCUCCUCCGACCCGGCGUGGCGGCUCGCGGUCGCGACGGAGGCCGAGGCUGAGUGCGCGCGCGCGGAGUUUGAUCUCAUCGAAGCGAACGCCGCCGCCGCGGUCGCGUCCGAUGAACUCCAUCGAAGAGAGAGCUCGGUCAACGCCGCGAACGCGAGCGCGUUCGCCGCCGCGGAGGAGGAGACGACGCGCGGGAACAGCCUCCGCGACGCGGCAAUCGCGGCGAAACGCGAAUUCGAAGACGCGGAGAAAGCCGCGACGCGCGCGGAGAACGACGCGGUGCUCAUGUCCGGCGGCGACGUCGCCGCGCUGCGCGCGGAGCGCGCGGAGUCGACCGCGCGCCACGUCGCGGAGUCGCGGCAGGCGUUGCUGGACGCGAAGCGGCACGCGGAGCGACGACGCACGCGCGCGGAGGAGGCGACGCGCGCGGCGCGAAAAACGCGCGCGGAACACGCGGACGUCUCGAAAGCGGCCAACACCGCGCGCGAUCGCCUCGCCGCAGCCGCGGACGCCGCGAGGAAACUCGUCCGCGCGUCUGUUACCGCCGCGAGCCGCGCGGACGCGGCGUCGCUCGCCGCGGCGCGCGCGCGCGACGCGACGCGCGCGGGCGCGCGGUGGAAAAAGGCGGCGGAGGUUUUGAAACGACGCGCGUCGAAAGCGCGCGAGCUCGCCGCCGUCGCGAGAGACCGCGCGACGUACGCCGCGUCCGACGCGCGGCUCGCCGCGGGCGCGGGUGGCAACCGCGACGAGGCCCGCAGAGCGUCGUGCGCCGCCGCGGACGCCGCGGAAGACGCGACGAAGGCCGCCGCGAGGGCGCGCGCGAUCGAGGACGCGACGCGCGACGCGCGGCUCGUCGCCGCCGCCGCCGACGCGCUCGCGUCGACGACGCGCGAGGACGCGGCGACGCAUCUCGAAGCGAGCGACGUCGCGACCGCGUCCGAGGACGCCGCGAUCAAGGAGCUGGAAGCGCUCGUCGCGGGGGUGACGCGCGCGGCGGCGGCGGCGGAGACGUUCGUCGCGCGCGCCGCGGAGACGGAAGCGGCGGCGCUCGCCGCGGAGGCGGAGGCGGCGGCGGCGUUGAAAGCGACGGCGCUGACCGCCGCGGAGGCUGAAGCCUCCGCGCUGGAGGGCGAGAAGAAGAUCCUCGAAGCGAAAGCCGAGAUCGCGGCGAAAGCGCGCGAGGCGUCCGCCGCGGAAGCGCGGCGAAGGGUCGAGCGCGCGCGCGCGGCGGCGGCGGACGAGGCGAAAGCCGCGGCGGAUUUCGAAUCUCGCAUGCGGUGCGUUCUACACACUGGUCCCCAUACGACCGCGUUCGCGUGGUGAACGCCGAUCCUUAAGGACUUUGCCCGGCGCAUCUCUCCGCCCACCCAUCGCUUUCAACCCCCGAACUCGACGCCUUUCAACGCCACCUGACGCCUUUCAACUCCACCCCGACGUUCGCUCGUAUGGAACGACCCUGAGACGCGAACGCGCCGAGCUCGAACGCCUCCGCGCGGUCGAGGACGCCGCGGCGACCAAGGCGGCGACGGAGCGCGAGAACGCGCGCCGCGCGCUCGAGCGCGAGCUCGAGCGCCGGCGAGAGGUGGACGCCGCGCGAGCGCUCGUGGAAGCGCACGAGGCGGAGACGACCCGGCGCGCGGAACUCGCCGCGCUCGCCGACGCGCGCGAGAAGGACUUGCACGCCGUCGAGGACGCCGCCGCCGCCGCGCUCGCUGCCGUGCAGCUCGCGGAGGCCAAGUCGAUCGCGGAAGCGCGCGUGAGAGCCGCGGAGGACGCGUCCGCGGCGGCGUCGAGAGCGCGCGAGGAGACCGCGGCGGCGGCGGCCGAGGCGGCGGCGAGCGCGGCGGCGGCGGCGGCGGCGGCGCGCGCCGCGGAAGCCGAGCGCGAGGCUCGCGAGGCGGACGUCGCGGAGGAGGAGCGAGAGCAGCUCGCGGCCGUGGAGAUUAUUCGACUGAAGCGCGUCGCGGAAGAGCGCGUGGCGAGGGCGACCGCGGACGCGCGCGAGGCGAUCCGGGUCGAGCGCGAGACGCGAGAGGCGGUGGAGCGCGCGACCGCGGACGCGGCGAAUGCGGCGGCGCGCGAGCGAAGGCUUCGCGACGCGUCCGAAGCCGCGGCGGCGGCGGCGAACGAGCUCGACGUCGAGCGCCCGCGAGCGCGGAUGAACGAGGCGAACGCGCAGGCGGAGAUGGCGCGAGCGGAGGCGGACGCCGCCGCCGCGGCGGCGGCGACGGCGGCGGCGGCGCUUUGCCCGAGUCCGCCGCCGCAACCCCCCGCGCCCGCCGCUUCGGCGUCGGCGUCGCCGGCGCCGGCGCCGGCGAUCGCGUCGCCGCCGAUGCGAACGUCGUCGUCCGCUUCCAUCGGCGGCGUCGGGACCUCGCCGCCGCGCACGCCGACGCCGGAGACGAUCUUCGCGAAGGCUGCGGCGGACGACGCGGCGAACGCGGCCGCGGACCGCGCGGAGGUGGCGACGCGGGAGGCGACGCGCGCGACGCGCGAGUACGAGCGCACGUCCGAGGACCCGCGUUUCGCGGAGGAAUUCGAGCGCGCGAAGAAACGGCACGACGACGCGGUCGCGGCGAUCGCGAAAGAAACCGCCGAUCUGAAGGCGUUAUACGAAUCCAAAGCGGCCGCGGACGUCGCCGCCGCCGAAGCGGAAGCGCGCGCCGCGGACGCGCGCGCGAGGCAAUCCGCCGCGGAGACGGAAGCGGAACGACUCGCGCGCGUCGAGGAGGAGACGAACGACGCGCGGCGGCGGCGGACGAUUGCGAAAGUCAAAGCGAUGCACGCCGCGGACGUCUCCGAGGCGGAAUCCGAAGCGUCGCGCGCGGCGGAGACGGAACGACGCGAGCGCGCGGCGUACGCGGAGGCUGCGCGCGCCGCGGACGCGGCGAACGCGUGGGUGAACGCCUCGAAAGCCGCGGCGAGGGACGCGAAGGAACAGGAGAAGCUCGCCGCCGCCGCCGCCGCCGCCGCCGCCGCCGCCGUCGAGACGAAGGCUGAGUGCGAACGCAAAGCCGCGGACGCGCAAAAAGAAGCGGACGCGCGCGCCGCGGCCGCGGUCGCGAACGCGACGCGCGAGGCGGAGAACGCGGUGCGCCUCGCGCGCGCGGCCGCCGCCGCGGCGAUCGACGCCGCCGUCGCCGACGCGAACGAAGCCGUGCGCGUCGCGAGAGCGACGUUGGAGACGCGCGAGAAGGAAUCCGCGGCCGCGCUCGCGCGCGCGAAGGACGACGACGCCCUCCUCGACGCGAAGCGCAGGGCGGAGAUCACGCGCGAGCGCGACGACGCGCGCGAGGCGUUGCGCGCGGCGGAGAGCGACGCGAGGGCGACCGUCGCCGAGGCGCGACGCGACGCGGAAAAGAAGUCGUCGGACGCGAAGCGUCGCGCCGAGACGGAUAAGCGCGCCACGAUCGCCGCCGCGAAGGCGGCCGCGAGAGCGCAGAUCGACGCCUCUCGCGAGGCUUUAAACGACGCGCGAAGGGAGUCGACGACGGCGGCGCGCGCGAAGACGCGCGCGAUGCGCCGCGCGGCGGACGCGGAGAGGGAGACGGAGGAGGUGCGGAAAAACGCGCGCGACGCCGAGGCGCGCGCGGAUGCGGCGGAGCGCGCGGCGGCGGCGGCGAAGGACGCCGCGCUCGCCGCGGAGCGCGACGCGGAGCGCGCCGCGCUCGAGGCGUCCGAGGCGCAGGCGGCGGCGAGUCGCGAGGUCGCGAAGCACCAGCGCGCGCUGACGCCCGAACGCGGCGGCGGCGGCGGCGGCGGGAUCGCCCCCGACCGACGACGGGACGAGCGCGCGAGCGCGGAGGUGGACGAGUGGCGCGAACGCGCGAGGCUCGCGCGCGCGGCGGCGUCGAGGGAGCGCGAGCGCGCGAAGGACGCCGCGUCGCGGGAGACCGCCGCGCGCGCGGAGGCGGCGGACCUCGGCGCGAAGGACCGCGCGAAGGUGUUGGCGAUGGAAGAGAAGGUGAAGCGUCUGAAGCGCGACGCGGCGGCGAAGGAGAAGGAGGUGCAAAAGAGAAUCGACGCCGGCGCGGCGGCGGCGGCGGCUUUCGCGGCGGACGAGGCUGCCUGUACCGCCGCGGCCGAGGCGGAAGCGCGCGCGCGCGAGGCCCACGCGUUAGAAGCGAGCGAAGCGGAGAAGGACGCCGCGGAGAGAGCCGCGGAGGAAGCGGCGUCGCGCGCGGCGGUCGCCGCGGCGGCGGCGGCGUCCUCAGCGGCGACGGAGGAGGCGCGAUCCGCCGCGAAAGCCGCCGCGGAAGACGCCGCGUCGUGGCGCCGCGAGGCGGACUUCCUCGCGAAGGAGUGGUUCGACGCGAAGACCGCCGCGAAAGCCUCGGACGCGCGCCACGAGCGCCGCGCGAACGAACUCGCGCUCGCGGCGGCGCACGCGGAGCGAGAGCGCGCGCGACUCGAGAGGGAAAACGCCGCGAACCGCGCGGAGAUUGAACGCGUCGUCGCGGACGCCGCCGCCGCGUGGGAGAUGGCCGCGGACGCCGCGCGCGCCGCGGAGGACGCGGAGAAUGCGCGCGAGAUGGCGAUCGCCGAGGAGGCGACGCGCGCCGCGGAGGCGAAUUCGCGCGCGGAGGAGGCGCUACGCGCGGCGGAGGCGCACGACCGGGAGGCGACGCGGCUCGACGCCGUCCGCGAGGAGGAACGCGCGAUGAUCGAGACGGCGGCGGCCAAGGCUCGCGAGGCGAUCGACGCGAUCGACGGCGCGGUCGCGGUCGCGGUGGCGAACGCGCGGAGGCUUCGAGACGCCGCGGAGGCGGCGGAGGCGGCGCGGACGCGCGCGGCGAGGGACGCGGCGACCGCGGACGUGGAGCGACGGCGCGUCGCGAACGGCGCGGAGAUUAAAAUUCGCGAGCUCGAGCGCCGCGCGCGCGAGAGCGACGAGGAGGCGUCGACGCACGCCGUAAAGCUGAGGGACGCGGAAGCUCGCGCGUCCGCCGCGGAGGCGGCGUUGAUCAAGGCGGAGAUCGCCGCCGCGGAGGCGGCGAAGAAGGCUGAGCGGGACGUCGCGAACGCGGCGCUCGCGUCCGCGUCCGCGUCCGCGGCGGCGGCGGCGCCGGCGGCGCCGGCGGCGUUGACGGCGGACAUCGGCGUGGUGACGAUGACGACGGGGACGCGCGGGCCGUCGCUGCCGUCUCGCGCGCCGCGCGACGCCGCGCGCAGAUGUCUCGCGGCGAAGCGCGCGGCGCGCGCGGCGGCGGCGACGGUCGCGCUGGCGCCGGUCGAGGAGGCCGCGGCGCCGCCGCCGCCGUCUCGGUCGCGGGCGGCGGACGACGUCGCGCGAGAGGAGGCGCGCGCCGCGGCGACGAGGCGACGGAUCGAGACGCGCGAGACGUACGCCGCGCGCGAGCGGACGCGAGCGACGACGAGGCCGAAACCGCCGGUGCCGCCGCCGCCGUCGUCGUCGUCGGGCGCGAUGAACGCUAUCGUGACGGUCGCGAGAGCGCCGUUUAAUCCGUUCGCGAGCGCGGAGCUCGACCCCCGGCGAUCCGCGGAGAUCGAACGAAGAGUCGAGGCGCGCCGCGCCGUCGGCGGGAAGCGAAAAGCCUCCGCCGCCGGCGACGGUUCGUCUUCCACCGUGACGUCAUCGCUCGCGCGCGAGUCGGCGUUCGCCGCCGCGGAAGAUGCCGCGCGUCUCGCGGAAGCGGAAGCCGCGGAGGCGGCGCACCGACGCGCGGCGAGACGCGCGGGCGCGCGCGUUCGCGCGUCGCGAGCGCGCGAUCUCUCGACGCGUCCCGAGUCCGAGCCCCCGAAUUCGCCUUCGCCUUCGACGUCCUCGCCGUCGAAGCUCCAGGAGUUGAAAGUCGCCGCCGCGAUCGCCGCCGCGGCCGAGCGCGUCGCGACGCGGCGGUCGUUCGCGGCGGAACAUUCGGACGCGGAGAAGACGAGAGCGUCGGUGCCGACGUUCUUACGCGUCGCCGCGCGCGACGACGCGGCGCGGAAAUCACGCGACGAAAUCGCGUCGAUAAAGUCCUCGGGCGGCGACGCGAACGCGAACGCGAACGCGACGCGACGGUCGUUCCCUCCGGCGCCAGCCUGGCGGCCGUCCUCGAGCGCGACAGUCGCGUCCGCGAGGGCGUCCCUGGACGCCGCGGAUGGCGCGCCGGCGAGGAGGAAGCCGGAGAUGUGGUCGUCGCUCGACCUCUCGAGACCGAAACGGCGGAAGGUCGGUCGGAGCGUGACGUUCGCGCGCGGGGCGUUCACGACGAGGAUCUCCGCGGACUUCCCGCGCGGGUUCGACGACGACAGCGACGAGGACGACGCGGUCGCGGACGCGAUCGACGACGCGGAGGCGGCGGAGUGGAACGAAGAACGACGCGCCGAGGGCGUUCUUCUCGCGCUUCGCGCCAACGUCGCGCGACGAAAAAUGAAAACCGCGCUGCACGCCGCGGCGGCGCGACACGCGCGCCGCCGCGCGCUGACGCGCGAUCUCCGGUUCUGGCACGCCACGGCGAAGAGAAACGCACUCUUACGGCGCGUUUUCACCAUCUGCGAGAAAGCCUGGCGCGCGCACGUGCGCGUCCACGGCGUGCACCUGAGCCCCGAGGACGUCCGAACGAUUUCCGUCGCGCGAGAAGGCCUCGCCGUCUGGCGCGCCGCCGCGGCGAGACGACGCCGCGCGCACGCCAAAAAAGUCGCGCUCGUCCGCGCGGAGACGUACCGACGCCUGAGCGUCUCGCGCCGGCAUCUGCUCGCGUGGCGCGCGGCGCUUCGCGCGGCGAGAGCGCGAGAGCGCGCGUACGCGACGUUCGCCGACGCGUUCGCUUCGUGGCGCGUCGAGGCGAAAACCGCCGCCGCCGUGCGAGAGGAGGCGGCUCGCGCGCGUUUCUCGCGGCUGUGGCUCGACUGGCGCGCGCGCGCGGCGACGACCGCCGCGGUCGCUCGCAUGCGCCGCCGCGCGUUGACGCGCGCGGCCGCGCCCGCGCUGCACGGCUGGCGGAUCGUCGUCCUCGCGCGCGCGCGUCGACGGCUGACGCGCGAGAUGAACGUUCUGAUCGCCGGCCGCCGCCGCAUGUGGGCCGCUUGGCGGGCCUGGUGUCUGGGUCCCGGGUGCGCGGCGCUGACGCGCGGCGCGCCGACGCCGCUGCCGCCGGAGCACGCGGACGCGCGGCGGAAGCGGUUCAAGACGACGCGCGACGCGCUGCGGGAUAUCGUCUUGCGGCCGACGCGCGAGCGAAAUUUCUCGCGACGCGUCGCGGCGGCGUGGAGACGCGCGGCGCGAGACGCGGCGCGGUGCGUUCUAUACACUGGUCCCCAUACGACCGCGUUCGCGUGGUGAACGCCGAUCCUUAAGGACUUUGCCCGGCGCAUCUCUCCGCCCACCCCUCGCUUUCAAUCCACGCCCUCGGCGCCUUUCAACUCCACCUGACGCCUAUGAACUCCACCCCGACGUUCGCUCGUAUAGGACGCGCGCGGCUUUCGCGGAAGCCGCGGAGACGAUGACGCCAGAGGACAUCACGUCGCUGCGCGGGCGGCCGCUGUCCGCGUGGCGCGCGCGCGCGGCGGAGAUCGCCGACGCGCGAGACGCCGCGCGCGCGGACGAGCGAUGGGUCGGCGGUCUGCGAGGAGAUUUGCAUCGUUCGCGAGACGACGACGACGACGUCUUCGCGGACGACGCCGUCUGGGCGCCGCCGCCGUCGCCGCCGCGCCGCGCGCGACGCGCGAACCCGCCGCUGCCGCACGUCGUCCGCGUGCCGCGGUCUUCCCCCCCUCGCGAUCGCCGCGCGACGGCGACGGCGACGGCGACGACGGGCGGCGGCGCGGGCGCGGGCGCGGGCGCGGGCGCGACGGUCGACGUCCGGGGACGGUUCGAAUUCCGAGACGUCCGCGUCGCGGCGGGCGCGUGCGCGGCGACGCACGACGGGAACAUCGCGGCGGGGAUCACGGCGUUUGAAUCCGCGCGCGGCGUGCGGUUCUUUCCGCCCACGGCCGCGGCGAGCGAGGGGGUUACUCCGCGCGAAGAGAGAGGGAGAGAGGAGGAGGAGGAGGAAGAAGAAGUGGAUGAAGAGGGAGAGGAAGAACGCGAGGAAGGAGGCGAGAUGGACGAGGAGACCGGGUUGGAUCCCAGAGACGUCGCGACGUUGUUCGCGAUGCGCGAGUCCUGGGGCGGGUAGUCGGGCGGGACGGGAGGGAUAUUUAACUGACUAGUAGUGAGCGCUAGCCGUAGCGUCGAUAGCUCUGCUGACGCGUAAAGAGCGAUUCGAUGAUGAGGACCGUGCGACGUCGCGCGCGCCCCGAUCCGCCGGGAAAGCGUCGACGACGUUUGGCGCGAAGUCAAAUUUAGCGAGCGGCUCGCGCUCCGACCGACGCGUUCGACAAUUUCGCGUUGACGCCAGGCUGGUUCGGAUACCCCCGCCAAUCGCGGGGCGCGCGGGCGCCGGACCGAUCCCACCCCCCCGCCGCCGCGAUGGUGCUCGGGAUCAAGUGGAUGCAGGGCAAGCAUCACGGGCACGCGCUCCUGGACGAGGACGGCGACCUGGACACGGAAUACAUCGACGACGAGGACGCCAAGACGGAGAAGCAGCUCGCGCGCGAGCGCGAGCGCGCGGACCGUCAAAAUAACGGGGCUGACGAAUUCGCGUCCGGGCCGCCGUCGUUCGCGUCCGACGCGUCGCACGACGCGAUGGGUUCCCCCGGGCCCAAGUCCCCGAGCGAUCACGCCGCGCGGAAGUGGCUCCGGAAGACGCAGUCGCGCCGCGGCGCGUCCAAAUCCUUCUCCCAGCCCGCGAUCUCGUACGCGGAACAGAUGCGACUCGAAGCGCUCCAAGAGUACCAAUCGCGACUCGCGGAGCCGAUGAAGCUGGACAACGAGACGCUCAUAUCCUUCGCGUCCAGAGUCGUCAUCGAGCUCGAGAUGCGGCCGUACAAGACGAUCAAGACGCUGCACAGCAAGACGUUCACGGGCGCCGAUUUCAUCGAGUGGAGCAUGACGCAGCCGGAGGUUCGAGAUCAGUGCGACGCGCUCUUCAUCGGCAACGAGCUCAUGUCCAGAGGCAUCUUCUUGCCCGUGUCCUACGGCGCCACGGAGGCGCUGUUCUACUCCCCGACGUUCAAGUCGAGCAGCGGCGUGAUGCGCCUCGUGUGCAAGAAGAAGGCGCAGAUCGUCGCCGCCGUGCUCGGCGCCGACCUGGACACGAUCGGCGAUCUCAGCUCGAAGAGGGAUUCCAACGCGUCGUCCCCGGGCGCGGGGAACUCCGCGUCGUCGUCGCCGCGGCACGGCGAGCUCAGCCGCGACGGCUCGGGGAAGAUCGACGUCGGCGACGUCAGGCGGACCGCGAGCGACCCGACCAGCGGGUCUUCGUCUUCGUCGCCGGCGGCGGCGGGCGGCGCCGGCGGCGAAUCGAAAUUUAAACUGAGACGAUGCCCCACCGUGGACGAGCGACGCGGGAACGUCUCGAGCCUCAAGGCGGUGCCCGAGGGACGGAUACUGAGGAAGUUCACGAACGCCGUCGGCGGCGGGAUCAACCGCCGCGUGUUAUCCACGAGGGCCAAGUUCGCCGCGAUCGCGCGACCGAUUCACGGGUACCUUCACACGCGUCUCGGACCGCACGUGCUGUUCGCGGCGCUGCUUCCGUUUCUUCUCCUCUGCGUCUUCCACGCGACGACGCUCGCCGCGGUCGCGGUGUUCUGGGGCGCGUCGCACGUCGCGGACGUGGACUGGAAGCAACGGAGGGACUUGGAGCGCCGCGUCCGCGCGGAGGAGCUCAAGAAGUUUCAAGGGAAGCGCGGCAACGUGAAGGUGUAUCCGGACGGCAGCGAGAGCGCGGACUGGUGGAGUUGCGUCCUGCAGUCCUUCUGGGACGGCUGGCUCGAGAUGUGGCUGAACCGGCUGCUCACGAACAUCCUCACGGACGUCCUCGAGCGCGUGAAGCCGUCGUACUUGGAGAGUUUGAAGAUCACGGAGUUUAAGCUCGGGUCGAACGCGCCCACGGUGAAGACGUCGCGGCUGUUCCCCGGGCCGGACGGGGAGACCAUCUUGGAGUGGGACAUCGUGUGGCAGACCGAGGAGAUGAGGCGCGUUCUAUCUCACACCGGUCCCCAUACGACCGCGUCGGCGUGGUGAACGCCGUUUCUUAAGGACUUUCUCUCCCGGCGCAUCUCUCCGCCCAGGGUCCCUCGCUCACAAUCCCGACACACACGCCUCGCCGCCUUUCAACUCCGCUUCUGACGCCUUUGAACUCCACCCCGAUGUCAUCGCUCGCGCGCACGGAACGACCCUCAUCAGCGUCAUCCUGAGCGCCAAGGUGGGCGGCAGCCGGUUCUCCGUGCCCGUGCCUCUGAGGGUCUUCGUCAGCAACUUGAGAGUCGCGGGGAAACUGCGGUUGGGGCUGUUUUGGACGAAGCGCAAGGGCGGGCCGUACUUGAAAGCGCUGAGGGUGUCGUUCGUGGACAUGCCCGAGCACUCGGUGUCGAUCAAGCCGAUGACGUCGUCGAUGAUCGACAUCCGCGACCUCCCGGGCUUGGACCGCACGGUGGAAAACGCGCUGAACAAGAUGUUCACGAACGUCCUCGUGGAACCGAACAUCGUGCUGUGGAACGUGGAGCGCUGGUGGUGGAACCGCGACCUGCCGAAGAUUUGCAUCGUGUGCCGCGGCCCGUGCGUCGCGUGUAAGAUGGGGAUAUCGACCGUCGCGCAGGAACUCGCGGUGCCGGGUUUGGAGCAAGACGUCAUCGACGAAGCCGCGGCGAUGCGACAGGGAAAGAGCAAGGAGGACAAGAGCCGGCUGAUGUCCGGGACGAAGAACCCAACGCUCACGCUCGCCAUCUCCAUCCACCUCGCGGAGAUCGAGACGCUGAAGGGCACGAAGCGGAAGGACUACUACGUGAAGCUGAAACGCGGCCCGAAGAAGUUCACGACGGACGGCGCCAAGGCGGCGCCGGUGGAGACGCUCGUGACGUUGAGGCGCGUAUUGGUUCCUCGCACUGGUCCCCAUACGACCGCGUUCGCGUGGUGCACGCCGAUCCUUAAGGACUUUUCCUCCCGCGUUUCUCUCCGCCUAGGGUCCCUCGGUUUCGAUCCCGACACACCUCGACGCCUUUCAACUCCACCUGACGCCUUUCAACUCCGCUUCUGACGCCUUUCAACUCCACCCCGACGUUCGCUCGUACGUGUGGUACGACCCUAAGACCCGGAGAGGAGGACCCUUCCUCGGCUCUCGAGGACGAACCCCCCGCGGCGCUGCAGAAGAGCCUCUCGAGACGCGGCGGGAAGUUUGGUCGGUCCGGGUCGUUCGGUCGGUCGCGACAUUCGCGCAACCACAGCGACGGCGGGUCUUCGCAGGACGACAGAAGCGACGACGGCAGCGACGACGGCGGCGGCGGCGGCGGCGGCUUCCAUCGCGGCGGGCGCGAGCCGCAACCCAAGGUGGUCACGAAGUGGGUCUGCCGCCCCGUGUGGGAGGAGUUCGUGCGCCUCGACGCGUACGACAAGACCGUGGACACGGUGGUGAACUUUAAAGUCUGGAGCGACGACGGCGGCGUCGUGGGCGGGAAGACGACGAUCGGCGCGGCGGCGAUUCGCGACAUUCUCGAUUACGCCGACGGCUUUCUGCACACGCUGCAGCUGCCCAUCAUACACGCGAAGAAAGGGACCGUCGUCGGGGUGUUACACAUGCGCGUGCGCGCGACCGCGACGAGCGAGGUGGUCCCGAAGAUGGUUCGAAAGAAAGGCGGCGACGACGCGGCGUCGCAGCCGGGGGUGGGGACGCAGUUCGCGUUGUCCGCGGGCGCGGGCGGCGUCGCCGCGGGCGCCGCGGGAUCCAAGGGCGGCAAGGUCUCCUCCAUGAGCAGCACGAUGCGUCGGAACAUGACGUCCGCGAUGAGCGCGAUGCCCAUCCCCACGAAGUACGUCAAGAGCGCGGCCGCGGGCGUGCGAAGCGCCGCGUUCACCGCGAUCAACAAGCCCGCGCAGAAGACCAAGUGGGCGGCGCGGAGCGUCAAGAAGGGGUGCAAGAAGCUGUGGUACGGCAAGGAGAAGUACAAGGCGAAGAAAGAGGCGAAGCUCGCGAGGGAGCUCGAGGCUGCCGAGCGCGCCGCCGGGUUCGUGGAGGCGUGGAAGAGCGUCAGGGAGCCGCACCUGUUGGGCGCGCGCGGGGUCGGGGGCAUGGCGGCGAUCAGCGAGGACGGGUCGACGGCGGCGGCGGCGACGCGUCGGGCCCGAGAGCCGCCGGCGCCGGCGCCGCCGCCGGUGGACCCGAGCACGCUCCGCGUGAACGGGCGGCUGAAUCACAGCUCGGUGAGGGAGAAGUACGGCGCGGAGGCGACGACGCCGAAGACGCCGCCGCCGCCGGAGAAGAAGGGGAAGAAGGGGAAGAAGUGAUCGAUCGAUCGUCGCGUCGGACGCCCGCCGUCGCGGCGGGUCUCCAACGAUUCGAUUCGAUGUGUUUUGUAGCGCUAAAUAAUUAUCGAUCUGAGCAUCGCAAGCGAUCGAUCGUCCCCCCGUCCUCCGCUAAGAUCUCUCCAGUCCCGCUAUGACGUCCCCUCCCCCGUUACCCGACGCGCCGCUCGCCGCUCACUGCGUCUUCCUCACGGCCGCGGGGAUGUGCUCGAGCGCCUCCAGGGCGCUGAUCGAGUUCCCUCUGACGACGACCAUCCCGAGCGGCUCCUUGUCCGAGGUGCUGUCGUCCACGCACUCGUCCAGGACGAGGUUCAAGAACUGGUCGAACCCGCGGAGGACGCCGACGACGCCGCGGUUGCCGUUGAGCUUCAGCCGAAGCUUCUUGUCCAUGUACCUGAGGGAUCGAGGGAGGGAUCAGCGGGCGCGUCGGUGGGCGGGCGGCGAGCGAGUUUUGAACCCUAAACGACAUGAAAUCGAACGACGCGACGACGCGACGAACGAUCGCGGGCGAGAUCGGAGGCGCGAACGCGCGCGCGCGCGGGGGGGGGGGGGCGCCCCCAGCGGGGACCCACUGCUUGAGUUCGGGGACGGCGACCCCCAUGUUCGCGUUCGACUGUGCGACUGCGCUUCACGCGAGGGGCCCGACGAAGUGGGCCCCCUAGUAGGGGCGGAUUUCGGAUCUUGCAGGGGGCGCUAUUGGCGCGGCGCGCGCGGCGUUUCCCGUCCGUCAGGGGCCGCCGUCUCUUCGUCUCCCAUUGUCGCCUCAACGAUGCGAACGACGACCCCCCGCGGAGAGACGGGGCACUCCAAUCGACGCGCGCGCGCCAUCAUCACCCAUGCCGACGUCCCUCAUCGCGCACGACGCGACCACCCGGGGAGGAGGCAAGCGCCCGCGCGACGCGUACGACUGCCCCGCGGACCCGAGACUGGGGCGGAUCCUCCGCGUGCNNNNNNNNNNNNNNNNNNNNNNNNNNNNNNNNNNNNNNNNNNNNNNNNNNNNNNNNNNNNNNNNNNNNNNNNNNNNNNNNNNNNNNNNNNNNNNNNNNNNNNNNNNNNNNNNNNNNNNNNNNNNNNNNNNNNNNNNNNNNNNNNNNNNNNNNNNNNNNNNNNNNNNNNNNNNNNNNNNNNNNNNNNNNNNNNNNNNNNNNNNNNNNNNNNNNNNNNNNNNNNNNNNNNNNNNNNNNNNNNNNNNNNNNNNNNNNNNNNNNNNNNNNNNNNNNNNNNNNNNNNNNNNNNNNNNNNNNNNNNNNNNNNNNNNNNNNNNNNNNNNNNNNNNNNNNNNNNNNNNNNNNNNNNNNNNNNNNNNNNNNNNNNNNNNNNNNNNNNNNNNNNNNNNNNNNNNNNNNNNNNNNNNNNNNNNNNNNNNNNNNNNNNNNNNNNNNNNNNNNNNNNNNNNNNNNNNNNNNNNNNNNNNNNNNNNNNNNNNNNNNNNNNNNNNNNNNNNNNNNNNNNNNNNNNNNNNNNNNNNNNNNNNNNNNNNNNNNNNNNNNNNNNNNNNNNNNNNNNNNNNNNNNNNNNNNNNNNNNNNNNNNNNNNNNNNNNNNNNNNNNNNGCGGCUGAAUCACAGCUCGGUGAGGGAGAAGUACGGCGCGGAGGCGACGACGCCGAAGACGCCGCCCCCCCCGGAGAAGAAGGGGAAGAAGGGGAAGAAGUGAUCGAUCGAUCGUCGCGUCGGACGCCCGCCGUCGCGGCGGGUCUCCAACGAUUCGAUUCGAUGUGUUUUGUAGCGCUAAAUAAUUAUCGAUCUGAGCAUCGCAAGCGAUCGAUCGUCCCCCCGUCCUCCGUUAAGAUCUCUCCAGUCCCGCUAUGACGUCCCCUCCCCCGUUACCGGACGCGCCGCUCGCCGCUCAUUGGGUUUUCCUCACGGCCGCGGGGAUGUGCUCGAGCGCCUCCAGGGCGCUGAUCGAGUUCCCUCUGACGACGACCAUCCCGAGCGGCUCCUUGUCCGAGGUGCUGUCGUCCACGCACUCGUCCAGGACGAGGUUCAAGAACUGGUCGAACCCGCGGAGGACGCCGAGGACGCCGCGGUUGCCGUUGAGCUUCAGCCGAAGCUUCUUGUCCAUGUCCCUGAGGGAUCGAGGGAGGGAUCAGCGGGCGCGUCGGUGGGCGGGCGGCGAGCGAGUUUUGAACCCUAAACGACAUGAAAUCGAACGACGCGACGACGCGACGAACGAUCGCGGGCGAGAUCGGAGGCGCGAACGCGCGCGCGCGCGGGGGGGGGGGGGCGCCGCGAGCGGGGACGCACUGCUUGAGUUCGGGGACGGCGACGCCCAUGUUCGCGUUCGACUGUGCGACUGCGCUUCACGCGAGGCGCCAGACGAAGUGGGCCCCGUAGUAGGGGCGGAUUUCGGAUCUUGCAGGUGGCGCUAUUGGCGCGGCGCGCGCGGCGUUUCGCGUCCGUCAGUGGCCGCCGUCUCUUCGUCUCCCAUUGUCGCCUCAACGAUGCGAACGACGACCCCGCGCGGAGAGACGGCGCACUCCAAUCGACGCGCGCGCGCCAUCAUCACCCAUGCCGACGUCCCUCAUCGCGCACGACGCGACCACCCGGCGAGGAGGCAAGCGCCCGCGCGACGCGUACGACUGCGCCGCGGACGCGAGACUGGGGCGGAUCCUCCGCGUGCGCGUGCCGUCGACGGCGCCGACGGUCCCGCCGCUGCCGCUGUGCGCGCAAAACGCGCGAUGGCUCCGAGGCGUCACGACCGAGCACGCGACGGAGACGACAACGCGAUUCGCCGGGAGGAGAAACGCGAACGGGAACGGGAACGGCGGCGUUUCGCGCGCGUCGUACGAGCGCGCGACGGGGCGGUAUUACGUGUGCCUCGGCGAGGAGCAAGACUUCACGACGAAGGAGGAGGCGAUGGCGCACUUCGACGCGACGGAGCGAUGCGGCCUCGCGGUGCCGUACGUCGCGUCGCCGCUCGACUUGGCAGCCAUGGAGCGCGACGGCGACGUGGAGUACCUCGACUUGGACCGAUACGCGCACCCCGCGCGCGCGGACGCGGAGGCGCGCGAGCGCGGCGAGGACGACGCGCGCGAGGGCGUCGUCGAGAAGGACAGAAAUAGAACCGCCGCGCGCGCGAAAACGCGAAAAAACCGCGCCGCCGCCGCCGCCGCCGCCGGUGGACAGCUGCGCGCGCUCGCGGCGGCGUGCUCCGACGAGCUCGGCGCGCUCGACGGCGUCGACAACAGCGCGAUGUCCGGGGGCUCGAACGACGGCACCGCGGCGUACGUCGCGGUGGAGCGACGCGAGCGUCCGAGCGACGCCGACGACGCCGACGACGCAAAAAAAAGAGCGAAGACGUCUCCGCCGGCGCCGCCGCCGCCGCCGCCGCCGCCGAAGGUAACGGACGAGGUCGUGGCGUUACGCGACGACGUCGCGCGGCUCGCGAGCGUCGUGACGUACAUGGCGCACGCGAUGAGCGGCAUGCGUUGGGAGAUCGACUCGCUGCGACGACGCGACAUCGAUCGAAGCCGCGUCGAAGCGGAGGACGAGCGAGGGAAGGAGAAGGAGAGCGGCAGCCCAGAAAAUAACGCCGCCGUCGCCGCCGCCGUAGAGGACGCGGCGAAGAGCCUGCGCGCGAUCCUCGCGCUGUGAGUGGCGGAUGCGUUCAAUAGCGGAGUAACUCUGUAAUAAGUGUAGUCGUUCGUUCGUUUCGAAGUCUAUCAUCUCGCGGGGGCGCGUCUCUUCUCCGGGGUGGCGCCGCCUUUGCUCUUCCUCGGCGCGGCGCCGCCCCCGCCGCUUUCCCCCCCUCUCGACACCGCCGAGUUCCCGCGCAGUUCCCCGUCCUGUGCUUCCUCCAUACUCUUCCUACUCUUCCUGCUCUUCCCCACCGCCGCUUCAGCCGCCUCGCGGCUGUCCCCGUGCGACCCCACGUCGAGUCUCUCCUCCAAACGCAGCCCCACCCUCCCGCCGUCGCUGACGUCGUACGCCCAUCGCCACGUCGGCCCUCCGCCGGCGGCGCUAAGAUCCGUCCACUCCUCCCGCACCGCGCCGAGGCUCUCGCCGCCUCUCUCAUCAGUGUCGGGGCGCAGAGAUAGGCGCCAGCCCGCGGGGACGUCGUACAUCACGUCCCCGGACAGCGUCACGUCCCUCGCGUCGAACUCCGCGUUCCCGCGCAGGCGCACGACGCACGACUCGGAUCGCGUCAGCGUCGCGCUCCACGCCUCGUCGUCCGGAGCGGACCAGUCCACGCCCGCGUUGCGAACCGCGACGCCGCGCAGCCGGCAUCGCCCGCACGCGUCGUCGUCGAACGACGUCGGUUUACCGCGCGCGGCUCCGGCGUCGUCGUCGACUUUCUCCUCGCCGAACGGCGCGUCCGCGGUGAUCAGCAAGCUCCCGUCCACGUCGACGUCUUUCCACUCGAUCUCCGCAAUCUCCAGACGCACCUCCGCGCGUUCGCGAAGCGCGCCGCCGCGAAUCUUCUGCGACGUCACGUCCCACAGCGGGCCGAUCGCCGGGUUCGCGGAGAAGAUGAAGCUCGGGCCGUCCUCCAAGUACGCCGCCACGUCCAUCGCGUCCGGGUCCGGAUGCGCGACGUCGCACCGCGCGAGAAGGUCCGACGCGUUUUUGAGGAGGUCGAGAAACGACCCCUCCGGCGUCUGCGCGAGGUUCGGAUUAGCCGGGUCGCGCUUCUUCUUCGCGCUGCUCGUGAUUCGCCGCCGCAGCGUGUACAGCACAAACGUCGGGAGGUUUUCCCACUGGUCCAUAGGUAACGGUCCGUCGCCGGGCGUUGUCGUGUGCAUCAGCGCGUCCGCGAUGUUCUGCAUGGACGUCUCCAGUCGCCCCCCCUUGCACCCGUUCGGAUGCGCGGGCUUCGACAAGUUGACGAGGAGUCCCGGAAACGCGCCGCGCGGCGAGGAACGCAACGCGUCGCGAAUCUUCUCCAACCCGAUGUACAGCACGUUCGUGUUCGCCGGGUACGCGCUCUCGCUGCUGCCGGGCGCCACGGGCUCGUCCGAUAUCCCCCGCUGCUGCAACACCGUGUACUCCACGUUGGAUAUCCCGUAGCUGUAGCUGCGCGAGGCGUCGUCGUCGUCGUCGUCUUCGUUGACGCGCUCCACGAGCACGUUGACGCCUUCGCUCGCGCCCAAAUGCCGCUCGCACGACGCGAAGCCCAACGCCUUGUCGCCUCUCCUUCCCACGCCGGACAGCGCGAGGAGCGUGGUGUCCGUGCCCGCCAUCGGGUUCGUGAUCUGCCGCACCACCGCGCCCUUCCUUCCCUUGGCGCCGAGCCACGUGAAGACGCCCUGGUCGUGCAUCAGCUUCCAAAUCGCGCCGUGGCCGCCGGGCUUGAGCGAGAUCGCGAACGCCGCCUGGCCCUCGAGCGGAACCCACUCGCCGCCCUUCGUCGUCACCACGGGCACGAGCGGCUGUUCGAACAGCCUGAGGGCGAUUCCAUACAAAGCGAUGUCGGGGUGGAGUUCAUAGGCGUCAGAAGCGGAGUUGAAAGGCGUCGAGGUGUGUCGGGAUUGAAACCGAGGGGUGGGCGGAGAGAUGCGCCGGGAAAUAAAGUCCUUAAGGAUCGGCGUUCACCACGCGAACGCGGUCGUGUGGGAACCAGUGUAUAGAACGCGCCUGAACCCGGUCUCGCCGCGCCCGAACCAGUCGUUGUCUCGGAUGAGCUGCUCUAUGCGUCGGUGGUUGCCCUUCGCCGCCGACGUCAUCACCGCCACCGGCGUGACGUGUCGCUCGCCGCCGUGCACCUUGUAAUACAGCCACUCCCUCGCGGUGAGGUCGCGCAGCAGCCCUUCCACGAGCGUCCUGCCGUUGUACCGAAGCAACGCCGCGGGGAGCGACUGAGGGUAAUCGUCCAUACGAGCGAACGUCGGGGUGGAGUUGAAAGGCGUCAGGUGGAGUUGAAAGGCGUCGAGGUGUGUCGGGAUUGAAAGCGAGGGGCGGGCGGAGAGAUGCGCCGGGCAGAGUCCUUAAGGAUCGGCGUUCACCACGCCGACGCGGUCGUAUGGGGACCAGUGUAUGGGACGCGCCUCCCCGGUGACCGGGUCGCAGAGACCGAGGCGGUCGCCGGCGCCGCCGAGCGGGUACACCUCCGCCAUCUUCGGCAGCUCCUCCAGUCCCCACGCCGCGGCUCUCGCGGCGAACUCGCCGCCGCCGUCGCGCAGAUCCGGGCCGACCGGGACGUGAAGCGUCUCGUUCAGGCACGCCCUCGCGCGCGUCUCGAGCGCCGCAGAUCCGGUCGACGUCGACGACGUCGGUCGGCGUUCUUCUUCUAUAAGUAGUUUCUUCUCUCCGGCGCCUGAUGCCUCCAGCACGCUCGGCGGCGGCCCCCCAAACUGCUCGUGGAUCAGCUCCAGCGCCGCGAACUGGUACCCGAUCACGCCGCCCAACACGUCAUAGAAGGUCUCCAAAUCGCGCAGCGUCUUCACCAGCGGCCGGAGCGCGUUCGCGAUCUGCACGGGGUCGGACGACGGCGGCGCGAGGACGCGCUCCUGCCCCGCGGCGACGACGCACUUGACGAGGUAGGCGUCCUCUGAGGGUCGGGUCGGGAUGGAGUUGAAAGGCGUCAGGUGGGGUUGAAAGGCGUCGAGGUGUGUCGGGAUUGAAAGCGAGGGACCCUGGGCGGAGAGAUGCGGCGGGCAAAGUCCUUAAGGAAUGGCGUUCACCACGCCGACGCGGUCGUACGGGGACCAGUUUAAUUAAGGAGGACGCGCCUGAGUCGAUGUUCGAGAGGACGCGCGCGAUCGCGUCGUUGGCGUCGUCCGCGAUGAACGCGGCGACGCGCGCGUCCGCGUCGAUGACCGCGCGCUUCUUCGCGAGGUCGUUCCCCGCGGCGAGGAGCGCGGCGCGCAGCGGCGCGAGACGCUCGAGCUCCGCGCGCUGCAGCGAGAAGUGGUCCUCCUCGUCCGCGUCGCUUCUCUUCGCCGCCGCGCCCCCGGCGUCUUCUUCGCUCGGCGGCGUCGCGGAGACUGGGGCGAGGCGACGCGCCGCGCGGUGCCGCCGCGCCGGGCGCGGGCGCCACCGCGACGUGCUCGAGGUGGACGCGAGGGGCGUCGCCGCGCGCGUCGUCGUCGCGCGUCGCGCGGCGUGCCCCUCUCGGGCGGCUCGUGAGCGUUCUCUCGAAGGGAAUAUCAUCCUCUCGCGCGGCGCGUCGCUCGUGGACGCCGCCGUCGCGGCCGUCGGUCGCGUGCGUCGCGUCCUCGGCGCCGCCGCGGCGAAGGACAUCGCCGCGGUCGCCAUCUCCGCGUGCGCCAUCCCGGCGUCCCGCGCGAGUGCGAGUGCCUCCGCGAGCGGCGCGGUCGUCGAUCCCUCGCGCUAUCGCGCGAGCCUCGUCCCAGAUACCUUCUCUCUCUCAGCGCGCGCUCGCGGGAAAACCGGAGCAACUUCGGCCGCUGGAUGACUCCCGCGGCCAAUCACAGACGUCUUCCGUUCCUUCGUAUGUACAUUAAGUUAGGAGUACGAGUAGUUUCCGGCCGUACCACUUUUGUGCAGCCACUGACAGCCCGAAAAAUCGACAGGUGCGAUGCGCGUUUCAAACGCUCCCGGCGCGGAUGCCGCCGACGUCGUCGCGGUUCUUCCGCGGCGCGACUCGCGCGUCGUCGUCGUCGCUCGAGGACGACGUCCGUGCGCUCCUGCGGGAGGUCCGCGCGCGGCGACGCCGCGACAGGGCGCGCGAGGACGCGGCGACUGAGGAGGAAGACGACGACGAUCACGACGACGAGGUGAUCACGUGCGCAAUCUGCCUCGACGCCGCGCGCUCGCCGUGCACGCUCGGCGGCUGCGCCCCCAACGCGCGCGCGAGCCACGUCUUCUGCGAGGACUGCAUCACGCGCUGGAGCGCGGUCGCGAACCGCUGCCCGCUGUGCAAGGCGUCGUUCGACGUCGUCCAUCGACGCGACGGACGGUCGUCGUUCGCGGUCGAGGCGAGAUCGCCGAGCGGCGCGCGAGGCGACGGCGACGACGACGACGACGACGCGACGAUCGCCGCGCUGAUGGCGGCGUUAGACGAGACGUUCUGCGAGGUGUGCGCCGGCGGCGACGACGAGGACACCAUGCUGCUGUGCGACGGAUGCGACCGCGGGUUUCACAUCGCGUGUCUGUCCCCGCCGCUGACGGCGUUGCCGGCGGAGGAGGAGGAGUGGCGCUGUCCGCGGUGCGUCGACGGGACGGCGGAGGAGGAGGCCGCGGACGAGGCGAUGGACGUCGCGGACGGAGAAGACGCCGCCGCCGCCGCCGGCGACGACGACGACGACGAAGAAGAAGAAGAGGUCGUGGUACUCGACGAGAACGCGCCGCCGUCGCCGAGAGCGAAGACGGCGACGGCGUUGGAAUCGUUUCGGUACCGCGGCGGCGGCCGCGUCGCGCCGUAGGUAGAUAGGCAUUCAUUCUAGUAUAAGAUAGCUAGCUAGUCUCGUAGGUAAGGCAUGCCCCCGCAGUACUGUAUGAUAGUGGCGCGGUUCAGUGCGCGCGUUCGUCUCGUUCAUCGCGGGAUCGUGUUCUGCGACGUGUCCGUGUUCGGCAUCUCCCUCCCCUCCGGCGGCUUCAAAAACGUCCGCUCGUUGAGGUACGUCCGCGUCCUCGACGCCACGGGCCGGACGUCCGGGUCGUCCCCGCUCUUCGCCUCCAACUCCGGCAGGAAACUCUGGUCGACGACGUCCAAGAUCUUGCCAAACUGCGAGCCGUACGUCGCGUACAUGCGAUACCCGGCGUGCUUCAGGAAACUCUCCAACGCCGUCGCUGAGGGUCGUUCCAUACAAGCGAAUGUCGGGGUCGAGUUGAAAGGCGUUAGUUGGAGUUGAAAGGUGUCGCGGGCGGGGAUUGAAAGCGAGGGAUGGGCGGAGAGAUGCGCCGGGAAAAGUCCUUAAGGAUCGGCGUUCACCACGCGAACGCGGUCGUAUGGGGACCAGUGUAUAGAACGCGCCUGAGUGCCGGUUCGGCGGGAUCCGGUUCAGCAGCCGCGAGAUCCACGACCACGCGGCUUCCAUCCCGUGCGGAUGCGUCGCGUGCUCCACCUGCGUGUACGCCGCGUAGAACAGCAUGAACCCGCGCAGUCUCUGUCCGAACGCGUCCGUCGUCUCCAGCUUCGGCGGGUCGCCCUCUCUCCGCUCGCCUUGGUCCUCCGCGUCGACGUAGCCCAUGAGUCGAAAGUAUUCGUCGUCCGACGCGUAUCGCCCGACGACGAAGGGGUAAUACUUCGGCACCGCGAGGACGCACGACUCGUGAAGCAGCGCGAGGAGGAUCACGUUGAACCGCGGUUCGAAGACCGCGAUGCGAACCGCCACCUCCGCGAGCGCGAACGCGAACCGGUUCAGCUUGGACACCUGAGAGUCGUUCCAUACAAAGCGAACGUCGCGGGGUGGAGUUCAUAGGCGUCAGGUGGAGUUGAAAGGCGCCGAGGGCGGGGAUUGAAAGCGAGGGGUGGGAGGAGAGAAACGCCAGGCAAAGUCCGUAUUAAGGAUCGGCGUUCACCACGCCAACGCGGUCGUAUGGGAACCAGUGUAUAGAACGCACCUGAGAGUCGCACUGCGUUAAGAUUCGCUUCGCGAGCGACACGAGCGCGAACGUGCGCUGCGGCUCCUGUCGGACGUUCGACAGCAUUGUCGCGACGUCGAUCGCCUUCUUCUCGAUCUGCGUCUUCGUCGCCGCGAUCUGCUGCACGUGCACGGUGAUCUGCGCGUUCAGCGCGCGUCGCUCGCGCUUCGUCGACGCGCUCGUGCUGUACUCCGCGACGGACGUCCUGGCUCGCGCGAGCUCCGCCGCGAAUUCGCCCUCGCGCGCCGACGCCUCCGCGGAGGUUUGCACGCGCGGGACGACGCCGGGGCGCGGCGGCGCGCCGGGCGCCGUCGCCGCAGCCUCCGCCGCUUUCUUUUCUUCCUCCAUCCGUCGCUUCUCUUCCGCGGCGGUCGCCGCGGCCGCCUUCUCCGCGUCCGACUUGGCCUUGGCCGCGGCUUCCGCUUUCUUUUUCUCCUCCUCCUCCGCGCGCCGCUUCGCCUCCUCCGCGGCUUUCCGCGCCUUCUCCUCCGCCUCCGCGGCCGCGCGCUGCCGCUCCGCCUCCGCGGCGUCCGCGGCGAGGACCACCCGCACCGCGGCGUCCCUCUGGCGCCACCGCGCGUCCAUCUCGUCGAUCUCUCUCUGGGUUUCGAUCGCCGCCGCCGCCGCCGCCGCCGCGUCGCGCGCCGCGAGCGUUUCCUCGAUGUCCUGACGGGGUCGGGGUGGUGGAGUUCAAAGGCGGGCGCGUCAGGUGGCACCAGUCGAAAGGCGUCGCGGUGUGUCGGUAUCGAAAGCGAGGGGUAGUGGGCGGAGAGAAACGCCUUUCUUUCGGGAAGAAUAGUCCUCAAGGAACGGCGUGCACCGCGCGGACGCGGUCGUACGGGAACCGGCGCGAGAUGACAAAACGCGCCUCCACCGCCGCGAGCACGGCGGCGCGCUCUUCCUCUUCCGCCUGCAUCGCGAGCUGAAGCUCGAGCUCGAGGGACUCUUUGCGUCGGCGCGCGGCGUGGCGCGCGGCUUCGCGGCGCGCGACCGCGCGCUGAUGCGAGACGGCGCGCGCGCGGCUGACGGCGACGAGGCCGCCGGCGCCAAGCGCCGGCGGCGGCGGUACAGCUGGCGCCGCCGACGACAAGCCGAGGGAUUCCAUCGCGCGUCGCGCCGCCUUGCCGUCGGUCGCGGCCGCGGUCUUCUCACCGCGCCGCGCGCGGUCCUCGUCCUCGCCGUCGUCGUCGUCGUCGUCGUCGUCGUCGUCGUCGGCGUCGUCGUCGUCGCUGCUCGUGUCCCCGGUCGGGGCGCGGAUGACCGCGGGGUUGCGUCCGAACGGCGACGUCUUCUUUCGCGCCGGCGCCGGCGACGGCGAUCCCCCGGGUCCCCCGCCGCCGCGAAUCGGCGGCGACCACGCGGUGGCGUACCCGCCGCCGGGGGAUCCCCGCGCGGGAUACAAGGCGCUCGAUCCCGCGGGCGCGGAGGGGGAAGGGGAAGAUCCGCCGCGCGCGGCGCGCCUCGACGACGACGGCGCGGGCGCGGACGCGGGCGAGGGGGCGUCCGUCCACGCCGCGGAACGCGGCGACGCGCCGCCGACGACGACCCCGAGGAGGACGUCGUCGUCCGCGUCCGUGUCGUCGGAGUCGUAGUCGCCGGCGUGCUCCUGGUAGAUCGCCAUCGCGACCCGCCGGCGUGCGCCGCGCGUUCUGAUCGUUGCGCUUCGAUGGAUUUUCGAGAUCUGUUUGAUGUGUUGAGUGCCGAGUAGAAAUCUUAACGCGGCACUCGCCGAUGCCUAAUAACUCUCUAGUCGCGCGCUCAUCGCGAGUCGUCUUCCACCCCCGUCCACAUCUUCGCGUCUCUCGCCGCGCUCUUGACGUACUUCGGAAGGUCGUCCGGGACGUCCACGAUCCUGUCCGCGUAGUACAUGUGAUGCGUGGGCCUCAGCGAUUCGGCGUUCGAUUUCGCCGCCGCCGCCGCCUCGCCGCCGCCGCCGCCGCCGUCGCCGCCGCCGCCGCCGCCGUCGCCGCCGCCGCCGUCCAACAUCGACAACGGCACCGCCGCCAUCUUCCCCUUCGCUAAGCUCGCGUACACGGGCGAGCCGCACUCCUUGCACCGGUACCGGUCCACCGCGGCGGACGAGCUGAACGCGGUGAGGUACGCGUCCGCGUCGCCGCCGGGCGAGAAAACCAUCUGAUCCAUCUCCGCGUCGCGCGCCGACCGCACCUCCACCGCCGUCGCCUUCGCGAGCGCCUGCGCGGUGAACGGCGCGCCGGAGAGCUUCCGGCAGUUCACGCAGUGGCAUAUCGACACCGCGGCGGGGGUCCCGGUCAGCGCGACGACGAUCGCGCCGCAGAAGCAGCUCCCCGAGCGCGUUUCCGUUUCGGUCGGCGACGCGUCCGCCGAGGUCGCUCUCGACGACGCCGAAAUCAUCGCGACGACGCCCGCGCGCGACGAGGACGACGACGCGGAGGACGCGGCGACGACGCGGGGAGGACGCGCGUUGGGGAGGACGAGGAGCCGGCGCGCGAACGGCGGGACGAGCCGCGACGCCGCGAGCGCCGAGGACAUGCGUCCGCCGCGCGCGGAAGUGAGGGAGCGAUGCACGCGAUGCGAUGCUGACGGUGCCCAUGCCCGUGCCCUAACAAAUCGUCGUCGUCAUCCCCAUGUUUUCUCGGAGCGCGCCGCGCACAACGCCGCGGCGCGCGACCGCACGCGUCGACCCGUCCGCUCUCGCUCCGAACGGUCAUGGCCUCGCUCGCCGCCGCGUCUUCCGUCGCCGUCGUCGCCGUCCGCGGCGCGACGCCGUCGUCGUCGUCCUCCUCCUCCUCCUCCUCCUCCUCCUCCUCCUCCUCCGAGCGCCGCGCCGUCGUCCUCCUCGGACGUCGUCGUCGUCUCGCCGUCGCGCGCGGCGCGGCGGACCCCGCGCACUCCGGGAUCGUGGACGAGUCCUUCGUGCACGGGUCAUCGCUCGUCUCCACGGGCCUCGCCCCCUCCUCCCCAUCCUCCUCCUCCGCGCCGUUGUCCGAGCGCAUAGGGAUCAUGGGCGUGCAUCACGUCGCGGUCAUCGUGGAGAACCUCGAGCGUUCCAUGGCGUUCUACGAGAAAAUGCUCGGGCUCGCCGUGAACCCGGACCGCCCGCACGAUAAGCUGCCGUACGACGGCGCGUGGCUCAUGAUCGGCCCGGAGAUGGUCCACCUCAUGGAGCUCCCGAACCCGGACCCCACGGACGCGGAGUUUCGCCCCGUCCACGGAGGGAAGGACCGGCAUUUUUGUAUAGGCGUGAGGUGCGUUCUAUACACUGGUCCCCAUACGACCCCGUUGGCGUGGUCAACGCCGAUCCUUAAGGACUUUUCCCGGCGUGUCUCUCCGCCCAUCACCCCUCGCUUUCAAUCCCCGCCCUCGAUGCCUUUGAACUCCAUCUGACGCCUUUGAACUCCACCCCGCGACGUUCGCUUUGUAUCGAACGACCCUGAGACAUCUCGCGCCGCUGAUCGAGACGCUGGAACGCGAGGGGGUGCCGUACACCGCGUCCAGGAGCGGCCGGCCGGCGAUAUUCUUUCGCGACCCGGACUGUAACACCCUGGAGGUCGUCGAGGGGUUGCAGUGGAGGUGACGCGAGAGCGGAGAGAAGAGAUAGAAGGGCGGGGCGCGGCGCGGGGUUGGAGGCUUGACUGAUUCAUUUGGGAGCGAGCGCGUCGUCGUUUCAUAGGUUUGAAAGGAACAUAUUUCAUCGGUUGAAACCGACAUCGUCGAUCGGCGUUUUGAGCGUUUCACCCGUCCGCGCGUCUUUCCUCGGCAAGCGCUCGCGCUCGCGUGGCGUCUGCGUCUUCCUCUGCUCGGCGCGCGGAAGUUUCGUCGCCGCGACCGACGUCGCGCGUCAGCGCGCGUUCGCUUCCUUCGUUUUAGGGUUACGCCUCUCGCGAGGCGUCGCGGCACACCGCGCGCGGCGGGACACGCGCGCGGACGUCGGCGACGCUCGAUCGGACGACCGCGCGCGGCGGCGGCGGCGGCGCGGGCGCGCGCGCGAUGGCGACCACCGCGCGGCAUCCGAUCCUCGGCCCUCUUCUCGGUGCGCCUCCUCCCGCCUCGAUCGCCGUCGAGUCUCGCGCGUCCGUCGCUCGCCGCGGCGCGGCCCCCGCGUUUUUCGUACGCUCGCAGAUCUGAGGCGCGAUCUCGCGAGCCGCGAUCGACGCGGGCGGGAGCAUCACGCGCCGGCGGCGUCUCUCGCGCGUCCCCGUCCACGGCGACGCGCGCGCGCGCGCGGCGGCGGCGGCGAUCGGCGCGCCGCGCCGCGCGUGCCGACUUUCCGCUCGGCGCGACGUUCGAACUGAAGCGAUCGAUCCAUCCGAUCGAUCCGAUCGAUCCGGUCGAUCGCUCGAUCGCUCGCUCUCUUCUUCCUCUUCCCUUCCCCGACGCACCGCCUCGCCCGUCCGCUCACGCGCGUUCCUCCCACCCGACCUCCCUCGCGCGUCCGACGACAGAGCGCUACGCGAGAGAGCUCGACGCGAAACUCGUCGACCUCGCGCGUCUGCAGAAGGAGUGGGAGUGCGAGCCGCCGGUGAUACUCCGCGCCGCCGCGCGCGCGGCGCCCAGACGGCUCUGGUCGCGACGCGGCGAGGACGGCGAGGACGGCGAGUACGACGACGAGUACGACGCGCCGAAACCGCCGCGGACGCCGUGGUCGAACCACGAGAAGGAACGCCUGCGACGCGGGCUGCUGUUCCACGGCCUCGGACGGUGGGAGAAAAUCCGCGACGCGCUCAAGAAGACGUCGCGCGCGAAGCACCCGACGAACGACGUCGCGGCGACGUGCUGGGACCUGCUUCGCGCGCUUCGCGCAAACCUGAAACCCGGCGGUAAGGAGUCGACGUACGUGUCGACGCGGCUGAGGGGCGCGCCGGAGAAGCCGGGAGGAAGCCGGGAAGACGACGACGGCCCGGACGAGCUCGUGGGCCCGUGGAGCAAGGUUAAGACCCUCGCGCGGUCGUGGGCGCGACGGUUGGAGCUUCUCGACGGCGUCAACCGCGCCGCGGAGCGCGCGGUCGCGGAGGAGACGCAAGACGACGCGCUCGCGCUGUUGGACUCGAGAGACUUCCCGCGAGGCGAUAAGCUUCCGGCGUUUUGGAACGCGACGUGCGAUCUGUACCUCCUGCACGGGAUCGCGACGCACGGGUUCGGGGCGUGGGAGGCGAUUCGCGCCGACCCGGAGUGCUUCGCGGCGUUCGCGCACGCGGCGAGAGAGAGCGGCGGCGACGCCGCGCUCGAGGAGCUGACGAAGAGCUGCGAGCGCAUCGACGCGCGCGCCGCGGCGAUCGCGUCCAAGAUGAAGGGCAUGCACGGCGGCAAGGACCCGACGAUCGCACACGCGGAGGACUGCGAGUGUUUCGUCUGCAAGAGGCGGCGGGCGAAGCGCGACGCGACGAAGACGACGACGGCGGCGGAGAAGGCGGACGACGACGACGACGACGACGACGACGACGAAGACGACGACGAAGACGAAGACCAGGAGGAAGAAGAGGAGGAGGAGGAGGUGCACGAAGAAGAGGACGAGGACGAGGACGAGGACGACGACGGGAACGAAGAGAACGAGGAGACUGAUAACGACGAGUCCGCGGCGGUCAACACCCCGCGCGGCGACGGCACGAAAUCGAAAUCGAAAGAGGAAGCUAAAGCCGACCGCGAAGCCGCGCGCGAAGCCGCGCGCCUCCAGAGGAUAGCCAACAAGAAGACGCACAAGGACAUCAAGCGAGCGAACGUCACGCCGAACAGCUGGCCGCUCGCGGAGGUUCUGACGCACCGCGUGAAGCAGCUCGCGAAGGGCCUCGGCGCGCGCGACGUCCUCGCGCCGUCGGAUCCGCCGUGGGUCGCCGCGUAUCUCGGAAGGAAACGCAAGAGAGCGCCGAGGGACCGGAACCUUCCCUUGCACGCGUUCGGCGGCGGCGAGGACGACGACGCGCGCGAGAAGGCGAAGCGCCGCGCGGAGCGGCGCGAGCGGAAACGCGCGCGCGCGAAGCGGCGAUCGGCGCGGAACGCGCAGGUCGCCGAGGCGAUGGACCGAGGGGACUGGGCCGUCGUCGCGGACGAUUCCGAGAGAACGACGACGCGGCCGUCGCCGUCGCCCGCCGCCGCCGGAGACGACGACGACGACGACGACGCGAUGGACGUCGGCGGCGGCGCGAAGAGACCGCGUCCGCUGAAGAAGAAGGAGAAGCAGGAGCUCGUGAAGACGUUGAUGUCGCACGGGCUGUGUCGCGUCCGCGGCGGAGGCGCGGACUGGGCGCGGAUAUUGGAGCUGUCCGGGCUUCGAGGACACACGGAAGCGGACGUCGCGGCGGCGUUCAACGAGAUCGCGACGGAGAUGGACGCGCUCGCGUCGGCGACGAAGGGGAUUCUGAACCUCAAGAAGCGUCUGCCCGGGAAGAUUCACAAGGAGAAUUGCGGCUGCAUCGUGUGUAAGAUGCGACGCCGGAAAGAAGCCGAGGGCGGCGGCGGCGGCGGCGAUGACGGCGCCGAGGGCGGCGGCGGCGGCGGAAGCCAAGACGCCGAGCCGACGACCCCGGGGAGCGUCGCGACGUCGCAAGGAGACGACGACGACGACGAAUUCGGCGACGACGACGACGACAACGACGACGACACCGACGGCGGCACCGGCGGCGGCACCGGCGCGAGCACCCCCGCCCAGGGCGGCGGCGCGACGCACCACGACGACACUCUUCAAGCGAAAGAAGAGCUCGAGAAGAUCCUCGACCUGCACAAGUCGAAGAAAGGGCGCGUCCUCACGGCGACGAACGCGUCGCGUCUCAACGACCGCCUCAAUCUGAUGCAGACGCUCAGAAACGCGUGUGACGCCGUCGGCGGGAACCUCGCGUCGCUUCGACUGCCGCCGGUUCGAACCGGGGACAUCCCGGUGUGGUGGACGACCGGCGUGCACGACAUCGGGUUGGUCGCCGCCGCGCUGAAGUACGGUCUGAGCGACUGGGACGCCGCGCGCGAGGACCCGGACCUGCCGUUCCGCGACCUGGGGAAGGACGACGGCGGCGAUGGCGGCGGCGGCGGCGACGACGCGGUCGCGAUGGACGCCGACGGCGACGCCGAGCGCGCCGAAAAGACGACGCCCACCGCCGCGCCGCGUCUGAACGCGCCGAAGAAGCGCCCGACGACGAAGGCGUUGCCCGCGCCGCGCGUGCUGGUCCGUGUGUUGAAAGUCUACGCCAACGCGUUGCGGCGGAAGCCGUGGAAACCCGGGUCGACGCCCGGGACGACGCGCGAGAGGGAGGGGCCGAGCCCGAAGAGGCGGCGCGGCGCGGCGGCGUGCCCGGACGGUUCGCCGACGCCGAUGGAGGAGGGGGGGGAGUAGAGCGACGUAGCGCGAGCGCGCGAGCGCGUAGUACGCGUCGAGUCGACGACGAGUGAACGAAAAACGUUUCGAGUUCGCGCAUGACAGCUUGCAGUUUCCCGCCGCGGCGCGCCUCGCGGAUCACGGCUUCGUCCGGUCAAAUGCCGCGCGAAUCUCGCGUCCGUCGCUCAGUCCUCGGGGGCGCGGCGGCGCGAUGGCGACGGCACCUCCGGCAUCGCUGCUGGAGGAACUCCCCAGGGAGUGUCUCGACGCGGUCCUCGGCGGACUCGCCGCCGGGGAUGUCAGGAGCGCGAUGCAGUGCUCCACGACCAUGCGAGACGCGGGAACUCGCUUUUGGAGGGACGCGCUCUUUCGCGACUUCGGUUUCGUCGCGCCGACGGAGGAGGCGGACGACGACGGGCGCCGGUGGCGUCGCCUCUACGACGCGAUCUCCGAUCGAAUCCGUCCUUCGCGCACGCGUCUCAAAGACACCGGCUGCCUGCGCGUCAACGGCAUCUACUGCGACGGCGGCGUCGACGAGUGCACGGAGGAGCAGUGGUUCCGAAACGUGUUCGACGUCGACGCGCACGACCGCUUCUACUGCAGCGCGGCGUCCUCGAACGUCUCCGUCAUCGGCUGCGUCGUCGCGGGCGAACGCAACGAGGCGUACGGUUACGACGAGUACCGGCUCGAACGACGCGCGUACAUGACGCGCCGGUGUAACCUCAACGCGCUGAUGCUGACCGCGUUCGAGGAGGACCGCAUCCGCGCGCAUUCGGACGAAACAUUCGUCCCUCGGUCGUUCCAGGAGGUGUUGAGGCACUGCAAGACCUCCAGGGAGGUCUUCGACUUUGGGCGGUGGCCGGACUCGCGGCUGCUGGAGUUCUUCGUCGCGCGUCUGCAGGCGGCGCAGGACGGGGACCCGGUCGCGGCGCUGCUGUUCGACGGCGUGGACGGCGUGGAAGACGACUUCGUGUUGUCACGCUCGACACAACGACAUAACAACUUGAAGUCGCUCGCGCAACGCGUGAAGGAAGCGUCCGUCGAGGAAGCGAUCCCGACGUCGUCGCAGAACGCCGCCGACGGCGUCGACGCCGAGAGGACGGGCGACGCCGGGCAGAGGGACCUCAGGCGGGAGAUCGAGAGGGCGCGGCGAUACGCCGCCGACGCGACGUCGCCGCCGCCGCCGCCGCGCCCGGAACAUCUCGUCGAAGAGCGAACCCUCGAGGCCCGGCUCGAACGCGAGCGCGCGUCGUUCAUCUCGAACCGCGCCGCGUCUCUGACCGAGUGCCCCGGCGGCCGAGCGCACGGCGGCGAGCCGUUGCGCUUGCUCGCGACCGAGGGCGCGAUGGCCGCGUUCGGACGCGCGAGCGCGAGCGAAGAGACCCGCGCGCCGUGGGAACACCCGAUCCAAUUUUUCCCGGAGGAGCGGCGAGCCGCGACGCGCGCGUCGCGAUGCGUCGACGCGAUCGUCACGCGCGUGGACAUCUCCAGAGAGGGGCAGUUCACGUGCCCGGUCGCGAGCGGCGUCGUCUUCUUCGGUCCCGGGCCGGGCGCGUGCGACGACGCCGAGGAGGUGGAGCGUUGGUGCGUCGCGUCGACGCGGGGACCGGACGCGACCGGAGGCCCCGCCGCGUUCGACGACGUCGACGCGAGAGAGAAAGUGUUCGACCUGGUCGACGGCGACGACGACGACGCCGGCCGCGGCUUGCCGAAGAUCGUCGCCGUUCACGGCUUGGAAGGCGGCGUCGCGUACGAGUUUGCGCGCGUGAAGACGCCGCCGGGGAGUCGCGCGUUUACGCCGGCGCUUUGGUUCAAGUUUUACGCGAAACGAGCGGGCGUCGACGCCGCCGCCGCCGCCGCCGACGACGGACCCUCCCGCAACGACCUCUCGCCCACGAGGGACGUCAUGUCCGUGCGGCUGAAACUCCCGCGAUGGGCGCGGUGCGUCUGCGUGAAGUUGAUCAGAUGCGAGAACCUGAUGCACGAUUGGGAGGACCUGCACGACGACGAAAAUCUGGACGUGCGCCGCGUCGCGCUGCACGGCGCGACGAUCGACGUGGACGCGUCCGCGCGCGCGCCUUGAGGGGGGUGGGGGGGUGGGUGGGAGGGUUCGAACGAACGAAUUAUUAUUCGCGGUACGAUUACGAUGAUCGCGGGAGGGCGAUGGUAGAUAGCUACGCUAGAUAGCUCACGACUCGACGAGCGGGGACGAUGGGGGGUCACGACUGAUGACGAUGACGGAUUUCUUCUUCUUAAACCUUCUUCGUCCUCACCCUCGCCCCCUCUGCUACGUGCUUAUGAUAUCCUACAGUCCGCGUCGUCGUCGUCUCCGCCGCCGCGACCUCUCCUCACUUGGACUUUUCGUACUCCGCCGGAGUCUUCGUCGAGAGCUGCAGCGCGUGCAACCCCGCGUCGAACUCUUCCUUCAGGAUCGCGUUGAUCGUGCGAUGCCGCGUCACCGGCGUCAUCCCUUCGAACUGCUCGCUCACGACCGUCACGUUGAAGUGCGACUCCUUGCUCCGCACGCCGGCGUGGCCGUCGUGUUGCCCGCCCUUGUGCAGCGCGUGCUUCUCGCUGUCGUCGCGGACGAGGACGUACGUCGGCGCGAGCGCGGCGACGAUCUUCUCCUCUAUCGUGUCUCGCACGGACACCCACUCGCCCGUCUCGGGGUCGACCGCGCGGAGUGGGGGGGGGGCGAGACGCGGACGCGACGCGGCGCGCUUCGUCGAGGCGGCGCGGGCGCGGCGCGGCGACGGCGCGGGCGCGGGCGCGAGCGCGCGGGGGGCGAGGAGCGUGGCGGCCAUGUGCGUGCGCGUGCGGUGCGUGGGGCUCUGACGGCGCGGCGUUGACGACAGGACGCGCUGACGAAAGGAGUGAAGCGAACUCGAAUCGCGUCGUCGCGCGCGUCAUCACAGCGCUCGGCACGGGGGUGGACGCGCGAUGAGGGAGGACUCGCGCGGGCCGCCGCCGCCGCCGCGGAGGGACGAUCGCCGCGACGGGAGAGGCCGCGGCGACGACCGCGGCGGCCGCGGCGGCGAUCGCGGCCGCGACGAGUCGCGGCGGCGACGCGACGACGACGCGCGCGACGUCGAUCGGAAUCGCGCGAGGAUGAGAUCUCGAUCUCCCCCGCGGCGACGCGGCCGCGACCGGAGCCGCGACCGCCGCGCCGCGACGAUGUCGCCGCCGCCGCCGCAGCCGCCGCAGGAGGACGCGCUCGAGAAGGAGAAGCGGCUGCGCGCGAACGCGAUGGCGUCGAGAGAGGCGAAGAAGGAUGCCGACGCCGAGCGAACCGACGGCGGCGAUCCGUCGUCGAAGACCGGCGACGCGAAGGAGAAGGAGAAGGAGAAGGAGAAGGAGAAGGAGAAGCGGCGGAGGAAGAGCCGGAGCCGAAGCAGGAGCGAGAGCAGGAGCAGGAGCCGGAGCCGGCGAGGACGGAGCAGACGGAAACACCAUCACCGACGGCGAGGCGGCGGCCGGAAGAAGAAACGACGACGGUCGUACUCAUCAUCGUCGUCGUCGUCGUCGUCGUCGUCGUCGUCGUACUCCUCUUCGUCCUCCUCCUCCUCGUAUUCGUCGUCCAGCUCCGGGCGCCGCCGCAAGCGCAAGCGCCGCUCUCGCGGCGAGAAGAAGAGAGGAGGAAAGAAGAAGAAGAAGAAGACCGCGUUCGACGUCGUCGCCGCGGCGACGGCGGCGGAGGAAGACGCGCGCAACGCCGCCGCCGCCGCGCACAUGCGACAGCAGCUCGCGCUCGCGCAGCAGUGGGUGCAGUCACAGGCGAACGGUGGGCACUCUUUGAACGAGAAGAUGCAGGAGAGGAAGACGAGGGAGGUGUACGUGGGGAACCUCGCGAUGAACAUCGUCAACACGGAGGCGCGUUCUAUACACUGGUCCCCAUACGACCGCGUCCGCGUGGUGAACGCCGAUCCUUAAGGACUUUGCCCGGCGCAUCUCUUCGCCCACCCCUCGGUUUCAACCCAUCCCGACGCGCAUCGACGCCUUUCAACUCCGACUGACGCGCCCCCUUUCAAUCCACCCCGACGACCCUCGUCAGAUGCUCUCGGAGGUGUUCAACAACGCGUUGGCGUCGCUCUCGCCGGAGGGCCCCGCGGUGCUCGGGGUGAACAUGUCCCCGGAUAACAAGUUCGCGUUCGUGGAGCUCCGCACGAUCGCGCUGAGCGACGCGGCGCAGCACCUGGACGGCAUCGAGCUGUGCGGGCGGAAUAUGAAGGUGGGACGGCCGAAAGGGUGGGUGGAUCCGUCGGCGGAGGCCAAGGCGACGGCGGCGGCGGCGGAGGCGCCGACGGUCGCCUCCGGCGUGAAGGCGACGACGUCCGCCGCCGCCGCCGCCGCCGCCGCGCCGGCGGCGGAUACCGUCGGACAAGGGCUUUUUCCGACACCGAACGACGACGCGGACGACCCCGCCAUGCAAAACGCGCGCGCGACGAUGCACAUGCGCGCGACGAGCGAACGCGACGCCACGAUGGCCAUCGCGGAGGUGAACACGCGGUGCGUUCUAUACACUGGUCCCCAUACGACCGCGUUGGCGUGGUGAACGCCGAUCCUUAAGGACUUUUGCCGGANNNNNNNNNNNNNNNNNNNNNNNNNNNNNNNNNNNNNNNNNNNNNNNNNNNNNNNNNNNNNNNNNNNNNNNNNNNNNNNNNNNNNNNNNNNNNNNNNNNNUCGUAUGGGGACCAGUGUAUAGAACGCACCGCGUGUUCACCUCCGCGAUGGCCAUCGUGGCGUCGCGUUCGCUCGUCGCGCGCAUGUGCAUCGUCGCGCGCGCGUUUUGCACGGCGGCGUCGUCCGCGUCGUCGUUCGGUGUCGGAAAAAGCCCUUCUCCGACGGUAUCCGCCGCCGCCGCCGCCGCGCCGGCGGCGGAUACCGUCGGACAAGGGCUUUUUCCGACACCGAACGACGACGCGGACGACCCCGCCAUGCAAAACGCGCGCGCGACGAUGCACAUGCGCGCGACGAGCGAACGCGACGCCACGAUGGCCAUCGCGGAGGUGAACACGCGGUGCGUUCUAUACACUGGUCCCCAUACGACCGCGUUGGCGUGGUGAACGCCGAUCCUUAAGGACUUUUGCCGGAGCAUCUCUCCGCCCACCCCUCGCUUUCAAUCCCCGCCCUCUACGCCUUUGAACUCCGCUUCUGACGCCUUUGAACUCCACAGGUUCCCCCCGACGCCGCUCGGCGUUCCCGCGCAGACGCUCACUCGGCGGUGCGUCCUCCUCGACGGCAUGGUCUCCAGCGGCGAGCUCUCGAGCCCGCGAUCGCGCGAGGAGUUUAAAGAGGAUCUCCGAGAGGAGUGCGCAAAGUGCGGCAUCAUCGACGCGAUGGUCGUGCCGCCGCCGCCGCGGGAAGCGAUAGACGCGGGCGAUCCCGGACGCGCGUACGUGUCGUUUCAGGCGGAGUGCAGCGCGCGCGCGGCGAAGGACAUGCUCAACGGACGGGUCUUCGACGGCCGCGUCGUCGCCGCGUCGCUCGCGUCCGACGCGGAGUUCGAGCGCGCGAGGAACGGCGAGUGGCUCCCGCCGCGGCCGCCGCCGGGCGAUCCGUCUCUGUGCGGCAUCCUUCGCGUGCGCGGGAUGCCGCCCGAGGCGACCAAGGCGGACGUCGUGAACUUCUUCUACGGGAUGGGCGCGGAAGAGGACAAGGUGAAGAUCAUCAUCGCGCCCGGGAUGGCGAACCUCGCGGGCAGCCAUCCCGGGGCGAUGUCCACGGGCGAGGCGUUCGUGGAGUUUAGCGGCGACGACGCGAACAUUCAGCAGGCGGCGCUGAAGGACCGCGCGGUGCUGGGGGGGAAGCCGGUGUCCGUGUUUCGGUCGUCGUUGGAGGAGGUGCAGAGAGUCGCGCUCAUGGGUCGGACGAUGAUUUGAUCUGAUCUGAUGUUGGCGUUUGAUGGGUCGAUGGCGUUAUGCGGAUCCAUACUUCCAUAGCACUACGUAUGAUAUCAACGCACGACGCGGUACAGAACCAAGCGCUCUCGCCCUACGACCGCUACAGCUUGUAUAUCCUCGCGCGCCUCUUCCCGCCUUCGUUCCCGUCCGCGUCCACGGGAACCCACUCCAGCGAAACGUCCAACGCGCGGUGAUCGUUCCGCGCGGCGUCGCACUUCGCCAUCCCCAAUCUCACCUUCACCCCGUGCGCGGGGCGCGCUUCGCCGCCGAGAUCCGAUUCCGAUUCCGAUUCCGAACCGCCGCCGCCGCCGCCGCCCGUCGUCGCGAGGCACCCGUCCGGAUGCAAAAAUAUCGGCUCCGGGAAGUGCAGCAUCGCCUGCGCCCAGUGCGUCUUCUCCUCGUACGGACUCGUGGACAGCGUCGUCGGCGCGUCGACGCAGAACCGCGCGCUGAACUCCGUGUCGAACCACAUCACGACGCCGUGGCAACUCACCGGGCCGUUAGGGUUCGGGUCGGAAUCGCCCGAGAAGCCGUCGGCGCCUCGGCCGCCGCCCGCGCGCGCCGACGCGUCUUCUUCGUCGCCGCGGACGCCGUCGCCGCGCGCCGUCAAGACGCACUCCGACGACGUGAACUCCGUGUCCUUCACGGUCAUCGUCGCGAGGUCGAGCCUCUGGACUUCCGCGGAGGAUGUCACGACGUGCUCGCCCUUCACCGGGCACACGACCGCGAAACCAGAGCGCGCCGCGUCUUGGAUUAAACGCGACUGCACCUCCGGCAUUCGAAACCCGUACACGUCGUCCCAGAACGGGAGGCUCGUCGCGUUGCGGCCGAACCCCGCGACGUGAAUCGUCGCGACGUCCGGGAGCACCGCGCCGCCGGGCUUGAGCAGCGCGUCCCGCGCGGCGAUGACGGUGUCGAGCAUGGACUCGUACAGGAGCCCGUAUCCCAUCCACUCGGACACCAAGACGUCGAAUUUCGACGUCGACCCGUCCGCCGCCGCCGCGCGUAAUAACCUGCCGCCGGCGCCUUCUCCUUCUUCUUCUUCUUCUUCUCGAAGCAACUCCUCCAGCUUCCCGUGCACGAUCGUCACCUUAUCCGACAAUCCGUUAUCCCUCACGUUCGCGCGCGCGACGUCCGCGAUCGCGGCCGCGCCGUCGACGCCGACGACGCUCGCGGCGCCGCCUCUCGCGGCGAACAUGGACAAGAUCCCCGUCCCGCAGCCGACGUCCAACACCGUCGCGCCAGCUGUCAGCGUCGGGUUCUUCUCCAACGCGACGCGGUACGCGCGCGUCCGAGGGACGUCGUCGAGCAUCGUGCGGUGGAUGUCGAACGCGGCGUACGAGCUGAAGUACCCGUCGUCGACCUCCUGGACCGCGGUCUUAUUAGGGCCGGGUGGCGGCCGACGCGCAGCCGGCGGCCGACGCGCGGGCGGCGGCGGCGCGGCGGCGACGCGGGAGCCGCCGAGAAGCGCCAGACCGACGUUCGCCGGCGCGUCUUCGUUCACGUCCACCCCGAGAGGCGUUUCCCCGAGCUUCCCGGCGAGCUCGAGGACGCGCAGGCGCAUGGCGUCGCGCUCGGCGCGCGCCGCCGCGAGCGCCGCGCGAAGCGUCGCGGCGUCCGCGUCGGCGUCCGCAUCGUUCGCGUUAGCAUUCGCAUUCGCAUUCGCCGCGGCUUUCGCCCUGCGCUCCAGCUCGUCGUCGUCGUCGUCGUCGUUCACAUCGCCGCCGCCGCCCUUGACGUACUCUUCCCAGUCGAACAGCAGCGGGUCGUUCUCGAGCGCGGGGACGAGGUACUUCUCGUCUCGAUGCUUCCCCGCGGCGAUGCCUUCGAUCGCAUCCUUCGCCGCCGCCGUCGCGUCGCCGUCGCCGCCGCCGCCGCCGCCGCCGCGUUCGCGCUCCGCCGCGACGCUUCGCGCGUAGUUCAGACACUGAAUCACGCCGUAGAAGUCGAGGUCGUUCGCUCUCACGAUCGCGCGCAGGUCGAACCCGUGCGCGUUCGCCGCGUGCGUCAGCGCCGCGGCGGGCGUCGGAUGUAGGACGCCGCCGCCGAAGACGCAUCGCGUCGCGCGAUCUUCAUCGUCCUCCUCCUCCCACUCCGCGAAGUCGCCCUCGUCCCCGGCGGGGUAGUCUGGGUUCUCGUCGUCGACGUAGUCGUCGUGAUGAUGAGACAUCGCGAGCGGCAUCCUUCGCUCGCGACCGCGCGCGGGGGUCGAGGCGCUCGCGGUGUGAUGGCCGAUCCGCGCGCGCCGACAUUUUAUUACACAGCUGUGCGUUUCGUCGCGCUCGAGCGGAGCGCGCGACGACCCGACGACCAGCCUCGGUCCGUCGUCACUCGCGACGUCGCCCCGGCGCGCGGCACGAGCGCGCGGACGCGAUGGCGCCGCCGCCGCGGAAGAUUAAGCUCCGGAACAAGGACUUCUUCGAGGUGGGUCCUAUCGCGCGCCGCGUCGUCGUCGAUCCUCGCGCGUCCUCGCCUCGACGCGCGAUCGUCGCGCGCGUCGUUGCGCGUUUAGGGUUGAUCGUUCGAUUCCAUCUCGAAGCCGCCUCCCUCCGGUCUCCUCUCCUCCCUCCCUCCCUCUGACGCGCGGCGUCCUCCAUACCUACCCUCGCCCCCACCACCGCGACGAAUAGAGCGAUGAGUACCUCCGCAAGCUCGAGGGCGUGACGUCCCGCCUCGCGGGCGCGUUCCCCGGUCAGGACCCGACGUCGCGCGAGGACGUCGCGAAGACGAUCAUGGAGAUCCUCCAGGGGCACGAGGACACCCUCGGCGCGUCCUCCCCGACGCCGCGGCCGAUGAUGAAGCUCCCGGCGCGGUGCUUCCGCGACCUCGCCCCGGGCGGCGCCCUGUUCGUCAUCCUGAAGCGGUGCUUAAGGCGGAAGCACGAGGGACGGUGGCGGCGGUUCGACUGGCAGAGCGAGCACAAGAGACGAGAGUUCGUCGGGAUGAUGGUCGAGUGCGAAGACGACCUGCGCGCCAAGGGGCUCCUCGGUCACGCGAAGAUCCACGUGUCGUCGGACGUCCCGGCGGAGAAGCGCGCGGAGUUGACGCGCGCGAUCGCGGCGUGCGGCGCGGUCGCCGCGGUGUCGCAGUACGAAGACGGUGUCACUCACGUCGUCCACGAGGAAGACAUCGCCGCCGCCGCCGCCGCGGCGGCGGCGACGAGCGACGUGCUCGUCCUCGGCGUCCUCGGAAAGGAAGCGCACGUGCACUACAAGCGCCACCCGGGGAGUUACGACGCGUGGAUAUCGCUGUCGAGCGCGCAGGCGAACGCGGCGGUGGGGUCGAACUUGACGUCGCCGCCGCCGGAUGAGUUCGAAGACGACCCGAACCUUCGGCUGGGGCUCUCGCGACGCGCGGAGCCCGCGAAGCAUGUCAUCGCCGCGUGGUUGUUAGACAGCGCGCGGUUCAACGAGUACUGCGAGGAGAGCGAUUACGCGUGGGAGGACCCCGCGGUGCGCGCGAUGCGCGCGAUGCGCGAGGCGGCGGAGGCGGCGACGCGGAACGCGAUGGACGCAGUCGCCGCCGCCGCGUCCGCGGGCGCCGCGGAAGCCGCGGGGCCCGGCGCCGGGGCUUCGCCGAGCGUCCUCGGGGAGAAGCGCCCCGCGGUCGACGACGCGGCGGGGACGAACGAGGAGACGACGGCCGCGAAGAAGAGGGCGUUCGCGCCGAAGAGCGAGGGCGGGGAGACGCUGGCCAGCGCGAGGCUCGCGGAGCGAUUAGGCGCGAACGUCGUUCGGAGACAACUCACGACGCCGCACGCGUGCGUGGACGACGCCGCGGCCGCGAGCGCGGGGACGCCGCGCGAUCCACCCGGGGAACCCGUGGUCGGGUACCACGGGUACGUCAGCGUGGGGGGCGUGAUGAUGAAGCCGCCGAGAGGGUCGACGAUGGAGAACAUCUCGAGGGGGCAGACGCCGGCGGCGAGAGACGCCGCCGCCGCGGUGGAAGCGUUCGCGAAGACGGCGACGACGUCCAAGCUCGCGGAGGCGGAGACGACGAUAGAGACGGGGACGGGAACCGAGGUGCGGUAUCCGAUCCCCGAGCACUCGGGGUGGUUCGCGUGGGGGCGGGACGAAGUGAGCGAUUUCGAGAAGGACGCGCUGCCGGAAUUUUUCGGCGGCGACGGCGGCGGCGGCGGCGGCGGCGGCGCGAGGGAGACGUACUUGAAGAUUCGAUCGACCGCGAUGGCGCGGUUCAACGCGCUGCUCUCGUCGGACGGCGCGAGCGCGCGGUUGUCGUUCGCCGCGGCGCGGAAAGGGUUAACGUGCGACGUCGACGCGUGCCAACGCGCGUACGAAUUUUUUAACCGCUGGGGGCUGAUCAACUGGUCCCCGGACGCGGCGGCGACGGCCGCGACGCCGGCGGAGGUCGAACCCGGCACCAACACCGCCGCGGCGGCGGUGCUGUACCGCUUCGACUACCGCGCGAAGCGCCGAGACGGCGGCGGCGGCGGCGGCGACGACGCGGCGGCGGGGGGGCGCGUCUGCGUCGGAUGCGAUCGCGCGCUCGGCGGCGUGGGGAGAGUCUACUACCGCUGCGCGGAUCCGCCCAAGGGCGUGGUGGUUCCUGGCGGCGGCGGCGACGGCGGCGGCGACGGGCCGAUCGACGCGUGCGUGAAGUGUUUCACCGGCGGCGUCCUCCCCGACGGCGUCUCCGGCGCGUCGUUCGUCAGGAGGACGUCCACGAAGGAGUCGGAGAAGGAGGACGAGAAGGAGGCUGAAGAACGCGCCGGCGGCGCGGGGGGCGACGCCGACAAGGAGAACGGCGACAAGGAGAACGACGCGGAGAAAGAGGCGUUCAUGUGGAGCGACCAAGAGACGCUGCUGAUGUUGGAAGGGUUGGAGACGCACGGCGAGAACUGGAGCGACGUCGCCGCGCACGUCGGGUCGAAGACGGUCGAGGAGUGCGUCCGAAGGUUCGUUCGCUUACCGAUCGAGGACGCGUUCAUCGACGACCUUCAGAAGACCAAGUCGGGUUGCGGAGGCGGCGGCGGCGACGACGACGCGGUCCAUCGCCCGUUCGAGCGCGCGCCGAACCCGGUGAUGGCGAGCGUGUCGUUUCUCGCCGCGUGCGCGGGGCCGCGCGUCGCCGCCGCCGCCGCUCAAGCCGCGCUGGCGUCGCUCGACGACGAAGAGGACGCUCCGACCGCUCCGACGACCGCGACGACGGACGUCGACGGCGCGGAUGACGGAGAAAAGAAACCACCCGCGCCGACCGACCCGCACUCCCUCGGCCCGCCGCCGCCGGUGACGGAGGAUCGAUGCCGCGCCGCCGCCGCCGCUGGCGUCGCCGCCGCGGCGAAGCGCGCGAAGCAACUCGCGGAUCAAGAAGCGCGCGAGAUUCAAAAGCUCGUCGUCGUCAUCACGGAGAACCAGACGAGGAAAGUCGAGCUCAAGCUUCGAUUCUUCGAGGACCUCGAGGCGGGGCUGAACCGCGAGCGCGAGCAGCUCGAGCGCCUGAAGCGGCACAUCGCGGGCGAGAGGGCGGCGAGCGCGAAGUUGAAGCGGGAGCGGGAGGAAGCCGAAGCCGCGGCGGCGAAGACGGACGAGCCCGCCGCGGCGUGACGUGACGACGCGCGCGGCGGUUCGCGACGGACGGACGCGCGUUCUAAUAAAUUCGUCUACUGUGCGCUUAAGGUUACGUAGCCUCUAGGGUUGACUAUCUAUUGACGCGUCCCCCCUACUGAUAAGGUUACCGUCUCGUUUUCGGCUCCGCUAGUUCCGAGAUCUGGUUCCUCCCCCCCCGCGACGACUUCGCUCUCGCGCGAGUGCGUCUCUCGCUGCCACCGCAGCGCCUCGAAGUGCAACAGGUCGAUCUCGUUCGCGAUGAUCUCGUAGUCGUCGUACCUCAGCUCGUCCAUGAGCCGGUACUUGUCCGCGAGGAUCUGCACGUCCUCGGGGAACCCGUAACCCGUGGACAACCUCGCCGCAUUCUCCGCGCAUCGACGCAAGCGCUCGCGCUCCUCGCAGAGCUUCUGCAUCUCCAAGUCUAACAUCUCGUCCGUCCCCGUGCUCGCUUCCUCUCGCUUCGCCUCGAGCAAGUUCGCGACGACGUCCGCGCCCUUCGCGAGCGCCUUUCGCUUCAGGGUCUGCUGCUCUUGCACCUUCAGUUUGAGUCGCGCGCGGACGCGGAGUAUUCGAUCGUCGAUGUCCGUCUGCACCUCGCGCAUCGCCCGCAGCGUCUCGUCCAGCGUCGUGAGGUGAUCCUUCGCCAUCUCCUUGAGCUCCAGAAACUUCGGCGCGAGCUUCCUGCGCGUCCCGCGCGACGUCGCGUCCGCCUCCUCUCUCUUGUAUUCCAUCCACUGCUGCGUGAAUUCCGUGCCGAUGACGGCGAUCGGGAGCGCCAAGAGAAGCAACGACACGACCAUCGCGCACGACGCGACGAACUUCCCCUCCGGGUUGAUCGGGACCACGUCGCCGUACCCCACGGUCAUGAUCGUCACGAUCGUCCACCAGAACGAGUGCCAUAUGGAUUUGAACGGGCUCUGCGUCCGUUCGCAUCCGCUCGCGAGCGUCUUCCCGUCGGACGCGAAGAGUUGGUUUCCGUUGGUGCCGUCGCACGAGAUGUCCGUCUUCCUCGAGUACACGUCCUCGUCCUCGUAGUAGCUCCCCUUCUCCGCGAAGUAUAUCAUCGUGCUGAAGAUGAUGACCGUCAUCGCGAGUAAAAAGAUCAUCAUCGCGAGCAUGUCGACGCUCUGCCUGAGAGAGUUGGUCACCACGGUGAACUUUCGGUUGUGCCGCCCGAGCUUCAUGACUCGAAACACUCUGACGAGCCUCACCGUUCGGAACAUCCGCGAGCUGUUCAGACCGCUGCCGGUGAAGAUCAGACCGACGUAGAACGGCAAGAUCGCGAUGAGAUCGAUCGCGUUCAUCGGGUCCUUCAUAAACUUUUUCACAUCCGGCGUCGACGAUAUCCGCAGCAGGUACUCGAGCGUGAAAAUUCCGAUGCAGACGCACUCCACGACGAACAGUUCAAACUUCCGCCGCGAAUUAUCCUCGAACUCGUGCGUGGUCUCCAAACAGAACGUCACGCUGCUCAGGACGAUGAGAAGCAGGAUGAACACCGCGCACGCGAACGCGAGCCGGGACGAGUGCGGGUCUUCGAAGAAGAUCCACACGCGCCCGCGAAAGAGUCGAACCGCCUCGCCGAAGACGUCGCCGCGGUCGUCGUCGACGCUCUUGUUGCUCGUCGCCCUCGCCGCCGCGGUCAGGCGCACCGUCUUCGAACGAAACGGCGGCGGCGGUUUCGGUUCUAUCGGUUUCGGUUCUAUCGGUUUCGGUUUCUUCUCGCUCCCUUCCUCCUCCUCCUCUUCCUCCUCCUCCUCUUCGUUCUCCUCCUUGGUCGUCGCGAGUCUCUCGAGGCGCCCCCACGACCGCGUCGGUUGCGUCGCCGCUCCGGGAUGGAACGCGCCGUCGUCGUCUGGGUUCGUCAGCGUGAACGGCGAGACGUAUCCACGCACGUUCGCGUGCGUGUACACGUCGUGGAUCACGCGCAAUCGUCGCUCGUCCCUCAUGGUCUCGGUCUCCAUCGAGAACACGAGGUUCGCGAAGCGCGCUUUGAGCGAGGGCGCGCUCUGAGCGACGGCGUCGGCGUCGGCGGGCGCGUCUGACGCGCCGUCCGCGGCCGCGCCGUCGCUCGCGGCGGCGUCUCUCGGGCCCGGGUCCGAGUUCCUCCUCGACAUCGUCUUCGUCGUCCUCCUCGACGAACCCGACGGCGUCCUCGCGUAGGGCGCGGCGUCGGGCGCGCGCGGCGUCGGCGCGUCCACGCUCGCGAGCGACAGCGCGGGCAAUCGUUCGGAGUGCCUCUUCCUGAGCGACGGCCUGGGCGUCGGCGCGGGUUCCUCCUCGCUCCUCGGGGAGAGGUCCACGGACGACCGCUGCGGGCUCAGUAUGAUCGGCAUCGCGCGACUCCGUCACCCCCGCGGGCUCGCGCUUCGCCUACUGAGGACGACGACGGGCGGGGCGUUGACUCAGAUCAGCAGCACGUGGCAGGCUGCGUUCGUUAAAAGGCGGUUCGGGGUGGUGACCGUUUGCGAACUCGAAUGUGUCGCGGUUCCGCGCGGCCAUCUCGCGCGCACACGCGCGCGCGCCGGGUUCGGACGACGCCCGCCGCGAUAAUGGCCGCGGCGGACGCCUCCGAGGCGCCGCCGAGGAGGGGCGACGCGGAGAUGGACGCCAUCGCGGAGGAGGAACCCGCGGUCGCGGGUCCCUCGACGGCCGAUGAGCGCGAGCCCCGCGACGACGACGCGGACGACGAGAACGAGGAGGAAACCCCGGACGCGCUCUUCGCGAUGCUCACGCCCGCGUUCUUGGAGCACAAAUCUCGCGCGUCGCUGGACGCGGAGGAAGCGCACGGGCUCGCGCGGAUGCUCGCUGAGGUCUCCGACGAGGGCAUCGCGGAGACGCAGGUGGACGGCGCGCUCGCGCUCGCGCGCAACGUCAUCCGCGCCUUCCUCCGAGCGAACGCGGAGGGGGCGUCGUCGUCGGACGACGCGACGACGCGCCGGAGCCGAGCGAAACCGAAGAAGCGCACGCCGGAGCCGUCGCCGCAAAACGACGUCGCGGUGACCUCCUACGUCCCGUCCACGGCGGCGUCCGCGCACGAGGUGGCGCGCGCGGCGGCGACCGCGCGCGCGCACGAAUCCGAGAUUCGAGCGCUGGAGAUGAAACACGCCGCCAAGCUGGACGCGCUCGCGGACGACCUCGCGGAGACGGAGGCGCACUGCGCCGCGCUCGCGACGGACAACGCGCGCCUCGAGGACGCGAUGACGCGAGCGAUGGAGGACGCGGCGGCGGCGCGGCGGGGGGGGCACGGCGGGAUGAUCGCGAGGGGCCCGGGCGCCGCGACGCCGACGACGACGAGUCCCGGGACGGAGCGCGCGCGUCGCGCCGAGCUGGACGCCGCCGCGGACGCGGUGGACGCCGCGGACGCGGAGGCCGAGCGCGCGCGCGAGGAGUGCCUCGCGCUGAGAGAGCAGCUCCGCGACGCGAGGGAGGAGGCGGUCCGCGCGACGCGGAGGAAGGAGACCAUCGAACGCGCGCGGCUGACGCAAUUCGCGGAUCAAGCGGAGAAGGACGCGCGCGUCGACGCGUUGCGGAAACAGCUGAAGGCGACGCGGAAGGCGCUGACGGCGCAGCGCGAGGAGACGGAGACGGCGCUUCGAGAGCUGAAGGCGGUGAACGACUUCGCGGAGCAGCGCGAGGUGGAGCGGUUGAUAGAGGUGCGGAAAGAGGCGCGCGAGAAGGGGAAGGAGAAUCUGCGGAGCGCGACGCACGUCGAGGCGGCGUUUCGAGCCAAGUGCGUCAAGGGGAUGCAGGACAUGCUGGAGGUAAACAAGAAGCUCGAAGCGCGCGUGCUUCAGGAGCGAGAGCGCAGGGUGACCGCCGAGGCCGAGGUCGGUCAGCUGAAGCGGACGCUGACGUUUCAGAGGACCGUCGGCGCGAUGCAGAGCUUCAUGCGACGGGGGAGGGUGGAGGACGUGGAGGACGAGGGCGCCGCGCGGAUUUUGGACGACGCCGCGACGGUGAUUCAACGGCGGUACCGCGGGAUCGCGGGGAGGAAGAAGGCGAGGGAGAUGUGCCGGGAGAUUUUCGAGGAGGAUAGCCCGUACGACGAGCACGACGGCGUGGACGCGACGAUCAAGGAUUUAGUCGACGCGACGGUGGAGAGAGCGCUCGCGAGGGCGGGAGACGCGUAGCGCGGGUAUUCGCGUUUUUUUGGCGUGGUUUUCGAUUCGCGCUCGUUCGUUCGUUCGUUCGUUCGUUCGCUCGUUCGUUCGCUCACAUCGUACUCGGUUAUCGCCCGCCGUCCUACCCAUGUUCGUUCAUGAAGUCGCGAAAUUGACGAGCAACCUUCAUCAUCGGAUCCAUGUGGGCGUCGUCCUCUUCUUAGUCGGACGCUGACGAGCCAGGCCGAGAUGAGGUGAGAUGAUGAGACCAGAUUUCAGUGACCCUCGGCGGUGGGAGCCUCUUGCUAUCCUAACCUAACCUUAAUUAUACUCGUACCACUCCACGGUCUCGACCUCCGGGUGCUCCUCUUUAUACUUCAACGCGUACGCUCUGAUCUCCGCGUUCAGCCUGUCCUUCUCCUCCUUCGUCGCGAACACCCCGAUCUUAUGCUUCGGCUGUUUGAUCACGACGUAACAGAUUAUGAUCGCGCACAGCCACCGCAUCGCGUGAUUGAUCCAGAUCACGUACGGCUUGUGACAGCUCACGCCGACGGGGAUGAUCCACAGCAACCGCGACGGCGUCUCGCGCUUCGUCGGCGGCGCCGCGACGACCCACCCGGUCUGGCCGACGUCGCCGCCGCCGUCCUCCCACGACACCGUGGGCACCCCGGCGAUUAUUCCAUCCUCAUCCGCGCCGUGACACCGCGCCACGACGAUCGGGUGGUCGAUCCACGCGUGGUAGUACGCGCUCCAGAGCCACUCCCCGGGCUUCGUCUUGUGCACCGGACCGUAGCGGUUGUGGAUCUGGACGUCAGUGAAGGUCGCGGUCGCGAGAACCUUGGCGCCCGAGCCGACGCGUCGCCACGCCGCCGGCGCGGUGAACGCGAACGCCGACGCGUUCACCUGCACGAGGGCCAUUCCAUACAAAAAUAGUUCACCGGUCAGUUGAAAGGUGACGCGAUCAAAUGUUGAAACCGAGCGGUGGGUGAAAAAAAAUUGUAUAGAACGCACCUGCACGCUCGUCCUCUCGCCGAUGUAAUAUCCAUCCUCGAACACCGCGAACGUGCGGUUCAGCAGGCUGGCGUCGUUCUGUCGGAUCCCGCGGCGCGUGCUGAGGAUCGCCGCGCGCGCGAGCUCGAACUUGUCCGCGUAGAAGGGCGUGUCGAGGUCGUACACGACGCCGACGUGACACCUGUCGCCGUCGCGCAUCUUCCUACGGAACGACACGGCGACGUCGACGUCCAGCUUGCGGUGCUGCCCCGCGCCCUUGAGGUCGUGGCGCAGCGUCUCCACGCGCGCGGAGGACGUCGACAAGACACCGCGCGACGCGUUCGCGUGCGCGAAGAGGUCGCGCUCGCGGAGACCGAAGUGCCUCGCCGCCUUCUCGCGCGGCGUCCCGAGCGGUUUGGGCUUGACCGUGACCGGGAGGUCCUUCCACCGCGGGAUCAUCCCUUUCUUCCUCGCGGGCGGCGCGGCCGUCGGCGCGUCCGCGGCCGCGGCCGCGCCCGCGGUGGGCGGCGUCCGCGUCAGGAGGAGGAGGACGAGCGCGAGGAGGACGCGCAUCGUCGCGCCCCUCGCCAUCGUCGCCGCCGCGCGCGACGAGAUUCUGACGUUGCAUUCUGUUUGACGCCGACUUCAAAAAAAUCGUCGUCGCGCUCGCACUGCUCGGGUCGCGUCAUACCGCACCGCGCUCAUCGCGCUGCCCGUCAUGUCGCCCUCCGCGGCCGCGCACCCGGCCUGGCGCGUCGCCGUCCUGCGCGCGCUCGAGAAGAACAAGGCGCGUCGUCUCUCGCGUCGUCGUCGUCGUCGUCGCGCCAUCGCGCCAUCGCGCGUCGCGUCGUCGCCACCACCCCAACCCUAAGCCCUCCUCCGGUCCGUCCACGUCUUCGCUGACCCGACCCGCGCGCCCUCUCCACCCCCCGUCGUCGUCACCCUCCGCAGAAGCACAUGCCGUACGCGAAGUACUUCCAGCUCGCGACGGUGAAGCCGGACGGCAAGCCCGCGAACAGGACCGUCGUCUACCGCGGCUUCCGAGGUCCGUCCCGGGUGCCGUCCCGUCGUCGGACGUCGAUCGCUUCUCCGUCCAGUCCGACGCGUCUGAUCCUCCUCCUCCUCCUCCUCCUCCGUAUCUCUUCGCUCUCGAUCCACGCCAGGCGACACCGCGGACGUGACCGUCGUGACGGAUCUUCGAAGCGAAAAGGUGGCGCAAAUACGCGCGAACCCCGCCGCGGAGUUCGCGUGGUAUUUUCCCGACUCGCGCGAGCAGUUUCGAAUCGCCGGCGACCUCGUCGUCGUGGACAAAGGCGCGUCCUAUGUCACACUGGUCCCCAUACGACCGCGUUCGCGCGGUGCACGCCGUUCCUUGAGGACUUUAUCUCCCGGCGGUCGUUUCUCUCCGCCCAUCUCCCCUCGGUUUCAAACCCCGCCCGCGACGCCUUUCGACUCCGCUUCCGACGCCUUUCGACUCCGCCCCGUCGUCGCUUCGUAUGGGCAAUUACCCUCCCCGUAGACGGCCCGGAGGCGCUCGCGGGCGAGCGACGGGCCGCGUGGAACCGGAUGAGCCCCGGCGGGAAGGCGCAGUUCGAGUGGCCGACCCCGGGGUUCCCGCGGUUAGACGACGAGGAGGCGAAGGAGGGCGGCGGCGGCGGCGAUCCGUUCGACGUGGACGACGAGAAGACGCGGCAAGGUUCGCCGGCGUCGGAGAAUUUUUGUUACGUGGUGAUGACCGUGAACGAGGCGCGUCCUCCCUCCUUCUCACACCAGACUGGUCCCCACACGACCGCGUCCGCGUGGUGAACGCCGAUCCUUAAGGAGUUUUGACGUCCUUUCUCUCUUCCCACCCCUCGGUUUCGAUCCCGGCACACCGCGAUGCCUUUCAACUCCGCUUCUGACGCCUUUCGACUCCGCCCCGACGACGCUUCGCGCGGAACGACCCCGAUCAGGUGGACCACCUGAGCCUUCGCACGAACCGGCGGUAUCAUCACGUGCGGAGCCGCGAUGAAGGCGCGGAGGGGGACGGCGGAGGAUGGGUCACCACGGAGGUGAACCCGUGAGCGGGGCGUAGCUCGCGGACGGCCGCGCGAGCGCUCGUACGUCGUCGGCGACGCUUCAUAGUCUACGGCACUUCCGGGACGAAACGAACAGAACUCUCCCAACUUCCUGUUUCGUUAUCCCGAGAUCUCCGAAACGACGGCUCCCUCGCCGCGGCGCGUCUCCCGCGCGCAGUCUCCACCGCACAUGCGCUGCGCCCGAAGCGCGCUCAGAAGCACCGCCCGCGUGCUCUCUUUCGCGUCCUUCUCCGCGUCCGCGUCCGCCACUUCUCCGAUCAUGGCCAGCGCCGCGACGACGACCGCUCGCGCGCCGGUGACGUCGCCCGCGACGACGCUCGCGAAGCGCGCCUCUCGCCGAUCCGCCGCGCUCGCGGCGCGCGCUCCUCGCGGCGCGCUCACGCGAUCAUUCGCCGCGAGCAACGCGCCCGGGUACGCCCCCGGCGACGUCCACCCGUUCGGCGACGUCGUCGUGACCGCGUCCGAGAAGACCGCGGAGCUCGCCGCGGACGCGCUCGUGCUCUCGAUGUGCGAGGCGGACGCGGCCGCGCUCACCGCGUCCGACGACGUCUUCGAAUCCUACGGGAAGGGCCUCGCGGCGAUCGUCCACGACGUCGCGACCGCGGAGGAAUUCAAGGGCAAGGCUGGGUCGAGCGCGUUCGCGCGCGUUCCCGCCGCGAUGGGCCUCCCGUUCAAGCUCGUCGGCGUCGUCGGCGUCGGGAAAGCGGGCGAGAUCGGCGCGGACGCGUGGACCGCUCUCGGCGCCGCCGCCGCCGCCGCGGCGAACAAAGCCAAGUGCGAAUCGCUCGUCGUCGCCAAGUACUGGAUGGGCGACGCGCCCGAGGAGUUCGAGACCAAGGCGCGCGCGAUCGCGGUCGGCGCGUACCUCGGCGCGUUCGACGACCAACGCUUCAAGUCGGAGAAGCAGGCGAAGACGUUGCGAUUAAUCUCCGUCGCGACGCCAGCCGGCGCGGACGUCUCCGGCGCGCUGACGCGCGCGAAGGCGACCGCCGCGGGCGUCGCGCUCACGAAGCAGCUCGUCGCGGCGCCGCCGAACGUCGUGACGCCGACCGCGCUCGCGGACGUCGCGAGGGCGAUCGCGGCGGAGUUUAAGGACACGAUGUCGGUGAAGAUUUUGGAGAAGAAGGAUUGCGAGAAGCUCGGCAUGGGGUCAUUCCUGGGCGUCUCCGAGGCUUCGGACGAGCCGCCGAAGUUCAUUCACCUGACGUACACGCCCAAGGGGAAGAAAGCGAAGGACCUCACGAACGUCGCGGUCGUGGGCAAAGGCCUGACGUUCGACAGCGGCGGGUACAACAUCAAAGCCGGCGCCGGCAGCAUGAUCGAGAUGAUGAAGUUCGACGUGCGUCCACUCGCCCGCCCGCGCGUCGUCGCCGUCGCCGUCGUCGCGACCACCACCACACGAUCGUCCACGUCAUCACAUACUGACCAAUCAAUCAUGUCCCUUCCUUCAUAUCACCAUCCACCACGUCAUCGAUCGAUAACAGAUGGGCGGCGCGGGCGCGACCCUCGGCGCCGCGCGCGUCGUCGCGGAGACCGCGCCCCCCGACGUCGCCGCGCAUUUCAUCGUCGCGUCGUGCGAAAACAUGAUCGGCAGCCGCGGCCUCCGCCCCGGCGACAUUCUCACCGCGUCCAACGGGAAGACCAUCGAGGUGAACAACACGGACGCGGAGGGGAGGCUCACGCUCGCGGACGCGCUCGUGUACGCGGAGAAGACCGCGGGCGCGACGAAGAUCGUCGACGUCGCGACGCUCACGGGCGCCAUCAUCGUCGGCUUGGGUGCGUUCGAUCGCCAGGACACACGUUUUUCACCCACCCGCGGUUUCAACAUUUGAUCGUGUAUCCCCGCGUCUGUCCCUUACUUUCAAAAGAACUGACCGAUGAACAUUUUCGCGCCGUCGAAUGUCAUCGCCCGCGUCAGGCCCCGAGGUCGCCGGCGUGUUCACCCCCGACGACGGCAUGGCGAGCGAGAUCGACGCCGCGGCUCGCGACGCCGGGGAGGCGUUCUGGCGGAUGCCCAUGCGCGAGUCGUACUGGGAGCAGAUGAAAAGCGAGAUCGCGGACAUGAAGAACACCGGGACGAGGGGCGGCGGGAGCAUCACCGCGGCGUUGUUUUUGAGGCGGUUCGUCGAGAGCGAGGACGCGAAGUGGGCGCAUCUGGACAUCGCCGGGCCGGUGUGGGACGACAAGAAGGGCGGUGCGACCGGGUUCGGCGCCGCGACGCUCGCGUCGUGGAUCUCGAACGCCGCGAAGUGAUUAAUGUCCACGGUGGCGUCGCGCGAACCGUUCACUAAGUGACUGCAUACCAAACGUCAUUCAUCACAAUCAUUCUCGGCUGUCGAUCGUCCAUCUCAUCUCGUCAGCCAUCACACGAGCCCCGCCAACACGACGCCGACGAAGAACGCCUUCUCCGCGAGCGGGUGAUCCGACGCGGGAAGUAUCCGGUGCACGCUGUCCCAGAACCUUCUCUCCCACCGCUUCACGACGUCGUUCGCCUCGUCGGCGUCGCGCGGCGCGGUCCACUCCCUCGGCGCGUACGGUUUCACGUACGCGUCGUACGCGCGCGGGCCGAGAUCUCUCGGCAGCGCGUUCGUCUGCGUCAGGAUCCACAUCGUCCCCAGGAAGAACGCCACGGGCGUGAAGAGGUUCUUGAGGAGGAGCUUGAGGAAGUAGAACCACGCGAAGCCGUAGACGAAGCACGUCGCGAGGUCGCCGACGGGCGGAGCUUUCGACGAACGGCGACUCGCCGCGCGCGCGACGCCGGGGGCCGCGAGCGAGGACGCGAGGACGAAGAGCGCGGUCGGCGCGGCGACGCGGCGGCCGCGGUCGCCGCGGUCGUCGUUCCCGCCGCCUCCGCCGCCUCCGCCGCCGCGGUUUCCGCCGCCUCCGCCGCCGCCUCCGUCGUACAAGGCGCGCGUCGACUUCUCCUCGGAUCUCGCGAGCAGCGCGCGCGGGACGAGGGCGUCCCGCCGCGUCGACGCCGCGCGCGCGACGCGACGGCUCGACGCGCCGUCGCGCGCGAGGAGUCUUCCUCGAGUCGACGCCCUCGGCGUCGUCGACGCGUGCACGAGCGAUCGCGUCAUCGCGCUCGCCGCGCGCGCGAUGGAGAGUGACGUUCCGAUCGCGCAGGGUGCCUACAGCCAGAGAGCAGCAGAAAAAAUCUGCGGCGGCCAGCUGCAGAAUUUCACAACAGAAUCGCCGGCGCGGACUCGACGGCCAAGGCUCCGGGCGUCUCGCCGCCGCACCCCGACCACCCACCCGCGCGUCCGCGCGCCGCGAGACGUCGUCCGUCGCGUCAUGACCGCGUCGGGCGCGCCGCCCGCGGACGCGAACGCGAAGAAACCCGCGACGACGACGCUCGCGAUGGGUUUCGAAGGCUCCGCGAACAAGGUGGCCGUCGGCGUCGUGCGCUCCGACGGCGCGAUCCUGAGCAACCCGAGGAAGACGUACAUCACGCCGCCGGGGACGGGGUUCCUCCCCAGGGAGACCGCGGAGCACCACAGAGAGGUGAUCCUGGACCUCGUCCAGGCGGCGCUCGACGAGGCGGGCGUCGCGCCGAAAGAUCUCGACGUCCUGUGUUACACGAAGGGGCCAGGAAUGGGCGCGCCGCUCGUCUCCGUCGCCGUCGUCGUGCGAAUGUUGUCGCAGAUCUGGGGAAAACCGAUCGUGGGCGUGAACCACUGCGUCGGGCACAUAGAGAUGGGGAGGGUCGUCUGCGGCGCGGUCGAUCCCGUCGUGCUCUACGUCAGCGGAGGGAACACGCAAGUCAUCGCGUACAACGAAAAGGCGCGUCGAAUCGAACGCGUUCGACGCCGCGUCGGCCGAGCCCGCGAUUCGCCACGCUUCCCCGCGUCUACACACGUCCAUCAUGAUUUGACAAACAGAUGUUUGCCACGUUCAUUCGAUUCUCGAUGCCCAAUCUGUGACGACUGGCUGGUUUCCACGCGUACACAAAUCCAUCCUACGUGGCGUGUUCCUGACCGAUAGCGUCCUCCCCUUCGCGUUUGUUUCCGCAGAGAUACCGCAUCUUCGGCGAGACGAUCGACAUCGCGGUGGGGAACUGCCUCGAUAAGUUCGCGCGCGAGAUCGGCCUCAGCAACGACCCGUCGCCCGGGUACAACAUCGAGCAGGAGGCGAAGAAAGGCACGAAAUUUAUCGACUUACCGUACGCGGUCAAAGGCAUGGACGUGUCGCUGAGCGGCGUGCUCACGUUCGCGGAGAAGGAGGCGAGGCGCGUAUUCCUCACACUGGUCCCCAUACGACUGCAUCCGCGUGGUGAACGCCGAUCCUUAAGGACUUUCUCUCCGCGCAUCCUACGCUUUUUCAACAUUCGACCCUAUGACGCCUUUCAAUUCCGCUUCUGACGCCUUUCAACCUCACCCCGACGACCCUCGUCAGGGAGCGCAUGCGUCGCGGCGAGUGCACCGCCGCGGAUCUGUGCUUCUCGCUUCAGGAGACGAUAUUCGCGAUGCUCGUGGAGAUCACGGAGCGCACGAUGGCGCACUGCAACACGCAGGACGUCCUCAUCGUCGGCGGCGUCGGGUGUAACGUGCGGCUGCAGGAGAUGAUGGGAGAGAUGGUGAAACAACGCGGCGGCGCGCUCUACGCGACGGACGAUCGAUACUGCGUCGACAACGGCGCGAUGAUCGCCUACGCCGGGCUGUUGGCGUUCAUGGAGGGCGACGUGACGGCGAUGAAGGACACGACGUGCACGCAGCGAUACCGCACGGACGACGUGCUCGUGACGUGGAGGAAGGAUAAGGAGUAACGCGCGAGCGAUGGAGACGUAGACCUCGUUCGUCGUUACUCGUACGAUGGCGGGAAUAAUAAUAAAAAACGAAACGCCCGGCGAGGCGCCCGAACUGAAGCGGACGCGGCCGCGCCCGGCCGCGACACGCUGUCAUCAACCGAAAGAAAGAUCGGAGGAAUAUCUCGCGCGUUCCCUCCGGCUCCGCACUCGACUCUGACGCGCCGCACGCCGCACGUCGAGAGAUGAGCUUCACGCUGUGCGCGAGCAUGCACGCGACGCGCGCGAGCGCGUCUUCGUCGAGCGCGCCCGCGCGCUCUUUCCGCGCGCGCGCCGCGCGCGCGGAACGAAAUGCAGCCCACGUGUCAACGAGUUCCAAGGCGUCGUCGCGAGCCUCGUGCCCGUCGCUUCGCGCGCCGCGCCCCGCCGCGCGUCGCCGCGCCGCGAUCGCGCUUCGCGCGGCGAAGGACGACGCCCCGAAGAACGAGGAUGACACGAAGAAAGAGCCCGAACCCGAGCCCUCCGCGGCGUCGAGCUCGGAGGACGCGGAGAAGCUCCCGACGCCCGAGGACGACGUCGCGCCCGCGCUGGAGGGCGACUGGCGCGAUUUCCGCGCCAAGCUCGUGAACUCGGAGAGCGCGGGAUCCGACGCCCCGGGCGCGUCCGCGGACGAGGCCGCGCGCGUGGAAGCCGCGAGCGGAGAAAACAUCAAGCUCCUGAGCACGCAAAACCCGGAGCUCGCGUCCGAGACGCCCUGGGCGCACGUCAUCGGCGCCCCGGAGAAGGGAUGCCUCCUCCUCGCGUCCGAGGAGGAAUUCAAACUCGGCCAGCAGUACUUCCACCAGGCGGUGAUCUUAGUCCUCGAGCACCACGAGAAGGGCAGCAUGGGGGUCAUCCUGAACCGCCCGACGCAGUACAACAUGGGGUACGUCGGCGGCGACGACAGCAGCCCGUUCGCGAACAACCAGCUCUACUUUGGCGGCGACGUCGGCGACGGCACCGUCUCGUUCCUCCACGGAUCUUCCGAGGUUGCCGGCGGGAGCGAGGUCUUACCCGGGGUGUACCUCGGCGGGUACGACAGCGCGUGCGAGCUCGUGAAGGACGGCACGCUGAAGCCCACGGACUUCAAGUUCUUCGCGAGGUACUGCGGCUGGGCCCCGGGGCAGCUCGAGAGCGAGUGCGAGAGAGGGGUGUGGUACCCGGUGGCGUGCUCGCGGCAGCUCGCGCUGAAGCAGGUGAUUCAGCUCCCCAAGCCGCUGUGGAGGGAAGUCAUGGAGCUGUGCGGGGGGGAGCUGAGGCAGACGAGUAAGCGGAGCUACGGCGAGGAGGAGACGUAAAGGUGGGUGAAGACGUCGUGAGACGCGCUGCUGCGCGCGCCUUAUCAUAUCAGCGCGGGAGCGGCGGGGGAGGGGGGGCUGGGCGGGGGGUCGAGUUGAAAGAAAUUAGCGCGGGCGGGGACGGGUGAAAGAACAGAACGAGGAGAGUCGAGUUUCGAGAGCUGCGAGCGAGAUAUCGCGAUAGUAUAUCGCGUUUCAAUGAAGAUGUACUGUACUACUACUGCGAAGCACACGAAAGACGCGCGCGCCGUGAGAUGGACGAACGCCGUCGAGGCGCGCGGGUGAAAAACGUAAACCUCGUUCAAUGUUUUCAACCAUCCUCAACUAGAGGCGGGAGCCGACCCCGUCGGUCCCGUCCUACUUACAGACAAAAAGUUAUGCUACACACCCGAUCCGAUCGCCGCGCGCCGCCGCCGUCUUCCGACUCGCUCGAAGACGUCUCAACCGUGUUUUGUGCCGCGGGAAACGCGCGAACGAAACGAAUACUUUGGGCUCACUGCUCCUUCUUCGCCUCGCCCGUCACCGCGCUGACGGGUUCGUCAAACUUCGGGACGCACCCGUCCUCGUCGCAAUCGUUUUCGCUCUUGAACUUCGCCUCCUCGAACAGCUCCGGCGCGCACCCGUCGUCGUCGCACACAAUCUCACAGAAGUACACGGGGAAUCGCGUCAUCGCGAAUCCGCCGACCGUCGCGGCGAUCCCCGAGGAGACCAGAAUCGCGAGCUUCGCGGUCACGCUCGCCACCGGCAUCCCGACGAGCGCCUGCUCGAUCAGGAACAGCGACAUCGUGAAGCCGAUCCCCGCGAGCAUGCCGACGGUGAGCAUGUGCUUGAGGUUCAUCCCGGGCGGGAACGAGCACAGGUUCAUCUUGAUCGCCGCCAUGCAGAUCGCGGCGAUGCCGAGCGGCUUGCCCACGAGGAGACCCGCCAUGAUGCCCUGGCCCACGGGCGCGGUGAAGACGCCCGCCAUGGCCGACGCCUGCACCACGACGGCGCAAUUCGCCAACGCGAACAGCGGCAUGAUGAGCAUCGACGAUAUCGGGUGAAGGAAGUGGAUGAGGUCGUCGAUGAGCGUCACCUUCAUGCCGUCCUCGAACGCGUGCGCGUGGGAUCCCGCGGGGGCGUCCGCGUCCGCGGGGAUGGCGAGCGCGGCGACGACGCCGGCGAUGUCCGCGUUGAUGCCCCCCUUGAGAAGCGCGAACCAGAGCGCGACGCCGAGCGCGGAGUAGACGAUCAUGUUGGACACCUUCUUCUUGCAGCAGAUCGCGAGCACCGCGCAGAUGCCGGCGGAGGCGGCGAGGUACGCGGGGACGAUGCCCUUCGCGAAGCAUACCGCGAUGACCGCGAUCGCGCCGAGGUCGUCCACGGUGGCGAGCGUGAGGAGGAAGGUGGCGACGGCGGGGGGCAUGCGGUUCUUGAAAAAGUUGUACACGCCCAUCGCGAACGCGAUGUCGGUGGCCAUGGGGAUGGCCCAGCCCGCGGGGAUGCCGCCCGUCACGGAGUUGAGCGCGAGGUAGAUGCCCAUGGGCGCCACCAUGCCGCCGAGCGCGCCGAAGCACGGAAGGAGCGCGGCUUUGACGUUGGAGAGAGAGCCGAAGACGAACUCGCGUUUGAUCUCGAGGCCGACCAUGAAGAAGAAGAUGGCCAUGAGACCCUCGUUGACCCACUCGUGCGCGUUGAGGUGGAGGCCGAGCGAGGCGGGGCCGAUGUGGAAGUGCUCCCAGAACCCGAUGAAGCCGCCGCUCAUCGCGGAGUUCGCGAGGAAGAGCGACAGCGCGGUGGCGCCGAGGAGCAUGAUGGAGCCGAGACCUUGGUCGAGGAGCUCGUGGAUGUCCAUCUCGCUCCAUUUCUUCUCGCGGACCUCGCCGUCGCCCUCGACGACGGCGACGGACGACGGCGACGACGCGGGGAUGACCGAGCGCCUGCGGUGGGGGCGGCGGGGGGGGAGGAGGAUGGUGAGUUUUUGGGGGGACCAGGACCGGAGGAGGACGGCUACCAAUUUCGUCCAACCCGUUGAAGCGUGAAGAAAAGACCACACGUGAGCGCGAUCUCGAGGGUGGCGCGCGCGCGCGGGACGCGACGAAUCGCGCGCGCGCGCGAACGCGCGCUUCCUCGCGCGCGCGCCAAAAGACGGACGAACGCGUCGAGCACGCGCGAAGAGUCGCACCUCGCGGAGCUGCGGCCGAGCGCGACGGGCGCGCGCGCGGACGCCAUGGUCGCGGACGCGCGAGCCCUGCUGGAGGACGCCUUCACCGAGAAGACGGGCGCCUUCGCGGAGACGCGCGCGCGGGCGACGCGCGUCGUCUUCGCCGCCAUCGCGGAGGCGGAGAGCCCGGAGAUCGUCAUCGCGGCCAUGUUUGCUCGAAUUGAAGGAGUGAGCGUCCUUGGGGUGCGUUGAUUGUGCCCGGCGCGCGCCGCUGGGAUCGUAACAACUUUCGCAGAGCGACGAGACUACGGUUGGCGCACGUUUAUCCAAGUUUGCGAGCUCGGACGUUGACCAAUCAGAAGCGAGGGAGGUGGGCAACCAAUCGAUCUCUAUAUCGAUCAAAGUGCGAAAAUUCUUCAAAGUACGAAUCGAUGACUACAUUUACAUACGAGCAUUUUCGUAUCGUACAAAAAUCCUUUAAGGCGGGAAACACUGUUAAACUGUGCCGACUAAAGUGAUAAUCCGAACCGUCGUGCACGGUUUCAGUGCGUCAGCCUGCGUCAGCGGUCAGCCUUUACGGUCGGCGUCGGUUUCAGGGCGCGUGUUUCAGGGUGAACUUUUUUUUUUCAACGCGCCGAACCUCCAUUUUGCACUUCCAGGAGCACGGACGACGCCGCCGGCCGCGCCGUCCCUCCCUCGCGCGCGAUCUCUCUCCCCUCCUCCUCCUCCUCCUCGCUCAUCACUUGUGGUACGUCACGACCGCGCGGAGGCAAUCGCCGCCGUGCAGCGCGUGGAUCGCCUCGUUCGUCGCCCCCGCCACGUCGCCGCCCUUCGCGUCGAUGGCGUGCGUCACGUAGUGAUCCACCGGGAGCUCCCCCGCGAGAGAUCGCUCCACGAGCUUCGGCACCGCGCUCCGCGACUUCCAACCCCCGAACGCGGUGCCCUUCCACACGCGCCCGGUCACGAGCUGAAACGGCCGCGUCGCGAUCUCCUUGCCGCUCGCCGCGACGCCGAUGACGCACGACUCGCCCCAGCCGCGAUGCGCGCACUCCAACGCGCUUCGCAUCACCUCCACGUUGCCGGUGCAGUCGAAGGAGUAGUCGACGCCCCACUUGGUCAUGCCGACGAUCACAGACUGAAUCGGGAUGCCCUCGUGGUCGUUCGGGCACACGACGUCCGUGCACCCGAGCCGCGACGCGAUCGCGAACUUGUCCUCGUUGAGGUCGACGCCGAUUAUUCGCCCCGCGCCAGCCAUCUUAGCCGCCUGCACGACGGCCAGGCCCACCGCGCCCAACCCGAACACCGCGACGGAGGCGCCGGCCUCGACCUUGCACGUGUUCCACACCGCGCCGAGGCCGGUGCUGACGCCGCAGCCGAACAGGCACGCCUUGUUGAGCGGCAUCCGCGGGUUUAUCUUCGCCGCGCUGAUCUCCGCGAUGACGGAGUACUCCGAAAACGUCGAGCAUCCCAUGAAGUGGUUGAUCACGGUCCCGUCCUUCUUCGCGGUGAACCUGGACGUGCCGUCGGGCAUCACGCCCGCGCCUUGCGUCGAUCGGAUCGUCGGGCACAGGUUCGUCUUCGGCGACGCGCAGAAGAUGCACGCGGGCGCGUUGCACUGCGGGGUGUAGCACGGGAUGACGUGGUCUCCCGGCUUCACGGACGUCACGCCCGGGCCGACGGACUCCACGAUCGCGCCAGCCUCGUGCCCGAGGAUGCACGGGAAGAGACCCUCCGGGUCGUGCCCGUCCAGGGUGUAGAUGUCCGUGUGGCACAGCGCGUUGGAGAUGACUUUCACGCGCACCUCGCCCGCUUUCGGCGGCGCGACGAUCACGACUUCGUUCGUCAGCGGUUGCUUCGGCCCCCACGCGACCGCGGCGUUGCACUCGAUGUCCUUCCCCGCCGUCUUCGCGAACUCCGCGAGAAGCGCCGGGUCGGCCGUGACGUCCACGGCGUCCGCCAUCGCUUGCGCCUUGGACGCGAGCGCUUUCGCGUGGAACUUCACGUGGUCCUCCAUGAAGCUCGAGAUGAAAAAAUACGAGUGGUCGAACCCCGCGUGCCUUCGCACGCUCACCUUCUGACCCACCUCUUUCGCGACCGCCUCGAGGUUCUCCGGUUUCAGCUGCUCGGUCAAGAACUGAUCGUCGAGGCCUUGAUCGACGAGCACGUCGGCAAACUCGGGAAACGCGGCGCCGCGCUUCUUCAGGAGCUCGCACGCGUCGUGGUCUUUCCCCGCCUCCGCUGAGCCCAAGUACGUCUCGAACGCCUUCUUCCCCCACGGCACCGCGGACGGGUUCACGAUCGGCGCGAACGCGCUCACCGCGGCGUACUCCGUCGGGUUCUUAAACGCGAUCGUCAGCGCGCCGUGGCCGCCCAUCGAGUGCCCGGUGAUGGAUUUUAAUCCUCUCGCCGCCGGGAGGUUCGCCUCGAUCAACGCGGGGAGCUCCUUCGUGACGUACGAGUACAUCUUGUAGUUCGCGCUCCACGGCGCGCUCGUCGCGUCGACGUAGAACCCCGCGCCCGUGCCGAGGUCGUACGCGUCGUCCUCGCCCGCGACGCCCGCGCCGCGCGGCGACGUGUCCGGAAACACCAUCAUCACGCCCGCGUCCGCGCAGGCUUUGAACGCGCCUCCCUUCUGCGUCGCGUUGUCGUCCGUGCACGUGAGGCCGCUGAGGUAGUAGAUCACCGGGACGGGGCUCAGCGCCGCGGCGGGGGGGACGUACACGCUGAACGUCAUGUCCGUCCCCGUGGACGAGGACGCGUGCGUGUACUUGCGGACCUCGCCCCCGUGCGCCUUGUUCGCGCUCUUGAGUUCCAUCGCGAUCGAAGUGACCCCCUCGUGGUUCGGGUUCGGGUUCGACGGCGACGACGCGGACGCGGACGACGCGAUCGUCUUCGCGCGGAGGGGGACGCGGUGGUGGUUCGACGCGACGCGCGCGGGGCGGAAAGCGGCGGAGAGCGCUCGCGGGAGGAACGUGAGCGCCGUUCGCGACAUGCACAAGUGACCUAGAUCGACCACCGCGAUCGCGAUCGCGCGAAACGACACUUCAUCAGAUCUGACGAGAACCAACAACGCCCCCGCGGCAGACGUCGCCGCGCGGCGGAGGGGUCGCCCCUUCGCCCGCCGCGAUGCACCGCCGCUCCCAGCCGCUGUUCGCCGUCGAUCGCGCGGGCGAUAGCGCCGUCGCGAGCGCGGUCGCGGUGCGGCACGACGACCCGCUGUGGUCGUCUCGUCUCCAUCUCGCCCCGUCCGCGUCGCGACUGUGCAAGCUGUGCUUCGACGCGUCCUCGUCGUCGCGCGCGGCGUUCGACGGCGCGGACGGCGCGACGCGCCGCGCGAGGUUCGAGCGCGCGUCGCGAGGGCGCGCGCCGGCGGACGCGCUGCGAGAGCUCGGCCUCGCGCCGCUGUUCCCGUCCGUGACGCGCGCGCUGGACGAGGGCGAAGGCGACGUGACGCCUCGUCCAGGCGCCUCCCCGUCCGCUCGCGACGACCCGGCGUGGGACUACUUCGCGCACGCCGCGUCCGCGCACAACCUCGCCGUCGUCGCGGGGAGGCUCCGCGCGGACGCGGGCGGCGGCGGCGGCGGCGGCGGCGCGCGUCUCGCGCAUCAGCUCGCGUCGCUUCACUCUCGCCUGCGCGACGUCGGCGGCGACGCGUGCGAGCGUCUCAGACUCGCGAUAGAGGCGAGGUUCGAGACCGUGAAGCGCGCGUGCGAGGGUGCCGAGGGUGUCGAGGGUGCCGUCCUCGAUGAAGACACGCGGAGAUGGCUGAUGCGCGUCGGCGCGGACGCGGAGGACGCCGCGUGGCGAUGGCCGACGGAGGCCGCGGGGGCGAACGCGAAGCGCGUGCUCGCCGCGCUCGCGGACGGCGGCGGAGGUUGACGGCGAGGAAACGUCCGUUACGUGUGCGUUACGUUUACGUUACAUCACAUGUUGGAGCGCGCGCGCUAGGUGUGCAUCGCACGGUAGCGGCGAGCGAUGUAAUAGACUAGGAAAUAGCAUAGCACGCGGCGGCGCGAAGGCUCAGAAGUAGUCCCCGCGGAGGUACUUGGAGACGACAAACUCUGAGAGCGUAAAAACGCCGCCGUCCGCCUCGGGGUACAGAGAUUCGAUCUCCGCUUUCAUCCCGGACUCGAGCAUCGCACGCAGCUCGCUCGCUUGCGACGCGCUGUCGCGCGAGGGCGUCGACGCGGACGGCGACUGCGAGUGCGAUUGUUGCGACUGCGUCGGCGCCUGAGACGCCGGUCCCGCGGUCUGCGAAGAGCGCUGCGACAGCUGUGCGUUGCCUCCCUCGCCCGUACCCGUUUCCGCCGCCAACAUGUUCUUGAUCUUCGCCUUGUCCAGCUCCGUCAGCGGCUGACGCGCCCGCGCGUCGACGCGCUCCAAGUCCGCGCGCCGAACCCCCAACCACUUCACGUCGAGCGCGUACCGCGACGCCUCGAGCGCGCCGCCGCUGCUUCCGGCGCGGUACGUCCGCAAAAUCAAGAGGCCGCUCGGGUUCCAAUCCACGAGCGCGAGCAUCGGGACGCGCGGGAACUCGCUGGCGAACUUUUUCAAGAAGGCGCGCGUCGCGAGGUCGGGGAACCCUUUCGCGGUGACGAGCACGCACGGCACCCGCGCGUGGAUCCGCUCGCGGCACAGCUUAUCGAACGCCGCGUCUUUUUCGACGAUCAACACGAAUCUCGCGUCGCUCCGCAGCCGCGCGCGCUCGACGGCGCGGACGUCCCCCGGCACGACGAAGUGCGCGGACGCGUCGCUGAAGUCCCUCCACACGCCGUCCUCCGGCGUGAGGAUCGCGACGCGCCCGGCGACUUGCCCUCGAGACGCGGAAGUGACCCCCAUCGCGGCGCGCGUGCAGUUUAGGAGCGUCACGGCGUCGCGGAGCGCGGCGGCGACGAGCCGUGCGCGGCCUGGGGGGAAGAGCUUCGGAUGGCGCGCGCAGAGGAGGUAGUAGAGCGCGCGCUGGGUGAUCGCGCGGCGUUCGGAGAGGUGGUGGUGCACCGUCGCGAGGAGCUUCCAGAGCCGCGCGUACGCGGCGGGCCUGCGCGAGAUGGCGGCGGGGGGGGGGAGGGCGACGUGAGCGAGGCGAGAGAGGAAGAGGAAGAGGAAGAGGAAGAGGAAGAGGACGCGCACCUUCGCGCGUCGUGGAGGCGGACGCGCGUCGUCGCCGCGUUCGCGGGGAGGCGAUACGCCCCCGCGUCGGCUCCCGCGCCCGGGGCGUACACCGCCGCGCGGACGUCGCGGAUCGCGAACUCCACCGCGGCGGCGUCUCUCGUCGCGCGCUCGCGAGAGGGAGGAGACAGAGGAGACGGAGGAAGGAGCAGCGCGCGCGCGUGAGCGACCGCGAGGCGUUCGAUCCGCGCGCACGUCUCCUCGGGGGCGAGCGCGUCGUCCGCGGCCGCGUACUCGUCCUCGCGGACGUCCGCGUCGUCGUCGUCGUCGCUGUCCCACGCGCGCGCGCCGGGGGCGACGGACAUGACCGCGAGGGCGGCCGGCGCGCGAGGACAGAAUAAACGCGAGCCAGAGUGAGACACCUGGCUCAGGCAAGCUCCGGAAGUUCAAAAGACGCGGCCCCGCUCGGCGCACCGCACGCGGCCGCCGCGGCGCACCGCACGCGCGCGUCUUCGCGGCGGCCCAUGGGGAUGUUUAAGACUGCAGCUUAUAAAGCGAGCCGUCGGACGAUCGACGCGAUCAACGACCGACGUCGGACGCUCGAUGCGGUCCACGCCAGCCCGUCGAACCUCGGAAGAGGAGACGUAUACGUGCCCAGCGCCGGCCACGGCAUGUCGAACGAGGAGGAGCCCGCGGCGGCGGGCGUGUUCGACGGCCUUGACGACAUCGCGUGCGAGCGCGACGUCGCGGAGAUAAACGCGCGCGGGGGCGACGCGUCGACGCGCGCGAUGGACGAGGACGACGAUCUCGAACUCGAGCGGGCGCGCCUUCGCGUUUCCCGCGCGGACGAGCCCUCCCCGUCGAGACUCCUCGCGGGCGACGCCGCGGACGUCGUCAUGACAGACGAGGAGAUGGAGGAAGAGGAGGAGGAAGAAGAAGAAGAGGAGGAGGACGCGGGCUCGCGCUCCAGGAAGGACGACCCCCGCAGCCCCUCGCGAAUGGAACGCCGCGCGCGCGGGUCCUCGGACGAUUCGAGCCCGACCGCUCGCGCGUCCGACGACGCCGCGCGCGCGUCCACGUCGCGAGACGAAGAGGACGACGGGGACACGGACGCGCUCGCCUCGGACGAUGCGCUCGCCUCGGACGGCGAGACGAACCCGCUCCCGCGCGCGGAGGGCGGGUUCGCGACGGGCGAGGGCGAGGACCCCAUGGGGGGCGCGCCGUGGUGGUUGCGUGUGGAUCUUCCCGCGCACGUCGAAGCCGUGCUCCCGGUGAAGACGAAGGGGCUCGGCGAGCGCGUCGACGACGACGACGACGACGAGGUCGUGGAUCGCGUGAUCGACGAGCUGCUGCCCGAGAUCGGUGAAAAGAGGACGUACCUUGGGGUUGCCGCAAGUGGACGUAGUUGGUGUGCGUGGGUGUAUCACGCUGGUACUACUUGGAACUUCGGCAGCUACGUCGAUCGGUUCGACGCCGCGCGCGCCCGCGACAAGGGUGUGAUUAAGCUGAAGGGAUGGGACGCGGACAACCUCAACUUCCCCGUGACUGACUACCGCGGAGACGAUGAGUUCUGUGAAAUGGUAUCAACCAUGUCGGACGAACAGAUAAAGUGGCCGCGCAGAACGCCGCGCGCGCGAAGAGUGCUACGGCGCCGCCCGCUGUCGCCGAGAGUGUUCGCGCAGUCAAAGUUCGCAAGGUCGGGGUGAAGUAUACCGGGGUUUCCUUGAAUAACGGAGGUAAAUGGAUGGCGCAGGUCUGGCACGCUAGCACUACCUGGCACUUCGGCACCUACGUCGAUCAGCUCGACGCCGCGCGCGAGCGCGACAAGGGUGUGAUUAAGCUGAAGGGAUGGGACGCGGACAACCUCCACUUCCCCGUGACCGACUACCGCGGAGACGAGGAGUUUUGUCGAAUGGUAUCAUCUAUGACGGACGAAGAAUACAGAGAUGCCGCGCAGGACGCCGCGCGCGCGAAGAGUGCCACGGCGCCGUCCUCUGUCGGCCAGCGCCUCGACGACGACGAGGUCGUGGAUCGCGUGAUCGACGAGCUGCUGUUCGAUAUCGAUAACGAAACGUAUGUUGGGAUUCGUUCGAAUGCAAUUGGACAUAGAUGGAUUGCGCAGGUGUAUCGCGUUGGUAUUACCUGGACCUUUGGCGGGUACGACGAUGCGGUCGACGCCGCGCGCGCCCGCGACAAGGGUAUGAUUAAGCUGAAGGGAUGGGACGCGGACAACCUCAACUUCCCCCGUGACUGACUACCGCGGAGACGAGGAGUUCUGUGAAAUGGUAUCGACCAUGUCGGACGAACAAUAUAAAGUGGCCGCGCAGAACGCCGCGCGCGCGAGGAACGGUACGGUCCGGCGUUCCUUCAAAGUUGGUGCCCGUGGCCAACUCCCUCCCGCCUCGCCUCGCGAGAGCUCGCAAAUUGGUGUUCUUAAGUCGAGGUCGUCGCACAAACGCAAACUUGUCGCCGAGAGUGUAAAAGUGGCCGCGCGAGACGCCGAGAGAGUUCGCGAAGUCAAAGUUCGCAAGGUCGGGGAGAAGUAUGCCGGGGUUUCCUUGAAUAAAUUGAAUAAAGAAGAUAAAUGGAUAGCGCAGGUCUGGCACGCUAGCACUUCCUGGUACUUCGGCAGCUACGUCGAUCAGCUCGACGCCGCGCGCGCCCGCGACAAGGGUAUGAUUAAGCUGAAGGGAUGGGACGCGGACAAACUCAACUUCCCCGCGGCCGACUAUCGCGGAGACAAGGAGUUUUGUCGCAUGGUUUCGACCAUGACGGACGAAGAAUACAGAGAUGCCGUGCGGGACGCCGCGAGGACGUUCGUCCAACCAGUCGUUUACGCGCCGCCGCGUCCGAAAGAAACCAAAACCGAGAAGCUCGCGAAGAACGACCCGUGGGUCGGCGAGCGCGUCAGGAAGUGGUUCCCGAAGCAGAAAGCGUACUACGAGGGCGUCAUCGCGAAGGCGCAUUACAUCGACGGCGAGGUGUACUACUUCAUCGAGUACGACGACGGCGACGAGGAGGACCUUUCGAAGGACGACUUGCGCGCCGGACAGAUGCUCAAAAAGUGGAAAAGUAAAUGCGUCGGCGGCGAGGGCCCCGUGGUGAAGAAGCGCUACGGCGAGCUCGUCGCCGUGAAGCUCCAGAGGCGCGAGGAAAAGCCGAAGCAGCAGCGACGCGUGUACGUCGAGCAGCGGCCGCUGCCGCCGCCGCCGACGAAAGAGGCGGUCGCGAAGCUGCUCGCGGACGUGCGUGCGGCGGCGGAUGACGAGGCGAACAACCCGACGCGCGGCGCCGACGCGCUCGCGGCGAGACGCGAGCGCGAGCGCGCGCUCGCGAACCCGGUCGGCGGCGUCGUCCUGGGCCGCCCGCAGCCGCCGCCGGCGGAGGACGCGGGGGAGAUUCGCGUGUUAUCGCAUGUCCUCUCGCCCGCGGUCGCGAAGGAGUUUAAACGCGUGCACUUCAUGUGGAAACACCGCCACGGCCUCCUCGACGCCGCCGGCAGCGGGAAGAUGGACCUGUUCAAAGCCAUCGCGGCGACCGUGCGCGAGACGCGCGUCGUCGCGAACAACUCGUUCGCGGACAACAGCAACGAAGUCAUUCGAAGGUUCGACGCGUCCGCGGCGCUCGCCGAGGCGUUCGCGCGGCAGCUCGUCGCGGCGACGACGCUGACGAUGACCGACGCCGCCGCCGCCGCGAUCGACCUCCCGGAGACGCUCGACUACUGCGACGGCGUCGAGGCGUUCACGAUCGGCGACGACGAUCCGAGGGUCAUCCUGCGAGGCGAGCUCGGCGCGAGGGCGACGCGGAGAAUCCCGGCCGGGACGCUGCUCGGCCCGCACGCGGCGUACGCGUGCGCGCGCGUGGAGUACCACUCGCGAAAAUUCUGCGUCCCCGUGCACGGCGCGCGACGCGCGCUGGACCCGUCCGUACGAUACACGACGCCGCUGCACGCGGAGCUGGACCACGACGCGUUCGCCGCGGACUUCUUGUCCGUCGCGGGGACGGAGCUCGAGGAGUCGCUGGGCGGGAUCAUCGCGGACGCGUACGGGUACGGAAACUUGGCCUCGGCGGUGAACGACCCCGCGAUCGAUCCGUUCGACGUCGAGGGCACGAACGACGAGCUGAGGGUCGACACCGGGGUCGUGAACGUGCACCUCGUGGAGAUUUUAGUGCACAACUUCCCGUUCAUGUUUCACGUCGCCGUGAACGAGAUCAAGGAGGGCGAGGAGCUGUUGACGGAGCAAGGGCAGUACUUUUGGGAGAUGAUUCGGUCCGGGAGGCGAAGGAUCGCGGCGGUGUCCGGCGGCAGGAUGGGCGCGUUAUCGUGAUCGCGAUUCGUUAGGGAGGUGGUUUACUUCCUCUUUUGGGGUAUUAAUAGCUGUUUUUAGGUUUUUAGGCGCGCGAGGGGGCGACCAGCCGGUCGACCCGCUCGCGCGACGUUUUUCAGAAACGCUCGCACGUCGUCCUUCCUUUGUCGUCUCUCCGCGGAGUUCUCCACUCCGUCUCGCUCGCCUCUCAGUUCUCAGUACCGCUGAUACUGCUGCUGCUGGUGAUACGGCGGCUGCAUCGGCGGCGGCGCGCCCGGCAUCGGCGGCGGCGCGCCCUGGUACGCGUGCACCGGCGGCGCGCCCCAUCCCCCGCCCGGCGGCGGCGCCGGCGGCGGCUGAUUGUACUGCGGCGGCGGCUGAUACUGCUGAUACUGCGGCGGCGGCUGCUGCCACUGGCUCUGCAUCGGCGGCGGCGGCUGCUGCUGCUGCCACUGGCUCGGCGGGUACGCGUCGUACCGCGGCUCCUCGCGGGGCGGCUCGACCGCGGGCGCCGCGACGGGCGCGCGAGGAUUCACCUUGAAAUACGCGAGCAUGCGAUCCACGGUGGGGAACUCCAUCCGGCGGAACCGAAACCCCUCCGGCUUGACGCUGAUGUACUCGUGAUGCACGUUCCCGCUCUUGCUGAGGAUGGACGAUAGGCAAAACACGCCGUGGUGUUCGAAGCUCACGGACAGCGCGUACGGCCGCGUGUCCGGGUGCCGCGCCAUCUCCGCCUUGAGACGCUGGUCCACGUCUCUCUUCGUCCCGCGUCGGAAUUUCCGGUGGCGAAUCAUAGCCUUGAGGUUCGUCACCAUCGGCUCGACGUGCCGCGCGUACACCUCGUCCAGGUCUUCGUACUCGACGCCGUCCACGGUGAGCGGGGACCCCAGCGCGAGGUUCGCGGUGUGACCGACGCCGGGCUUUUUCCCUUCCUUGAUGUCGUGAUGCACGUACAUGUCGUCGUAGAAUUUCACCGUGAGCGAGAGGUGCGUGACGCCCUUGCUGCUCGGCCGCAGCAGCACCUCGCCGAUGUCCUGCGUCUUGAGAAUCUCCUGCGCUUGCAGCGCGGUGACGUUCUGGAACAGCGGGUGGUUGAUGUUCCUGUGAAUGAAGCUCGGCCGCGACGCUUGCCUCUUCUUCUUCUUCGGUUUGGGAAUCUCGCCGUCCAUCACCUGAAGCGAGUAGUACGGCGUGCGGCCCCACUUCUCCGCCUCCCACUGCUGCGUCGCCUCGCGCGACAGCACGCUCCCGGCGCACGCGAGAUGCACCACCCCGGCUUCGUAGUCGAUCCCGUUCGGCUUGACGCGCGCGGAGAUGACCUGCCCGACCGCCACCUUAUCCUCGAGGCGGUUCACGUGGUUAUCGGAUAAAUCUUCCUUUUGAAUCUUCCCCGUGACGCCGCUCUCGAGAGACACGAGCACCUCCGCGUUGAUCCCCAUCGUCGGGUUCGGCCGCACGAGCUUCCUCACCGUGCACUGCACGAUCUUCCCCUCGCACAGGCUGUGCUCGGUCUCGCCCGUGAGGAGCGCGAACUCCUCCCACGCGGUGGGGGGCUCCCACGGCCCGCGAAUGUCUCCGUACGGUUCGUGGAGCUCCACGCGCACCUCUCUCAACGUCUGGUAGAUCCACCCCUGGCCCUCGCCGUGGAGGUACUCCGCGUACGCGCGAAGAUCCAGCUCCGCGAACUUCUCCCAGUGCUCCGGAUCGAGCGCGCGCUCGACCGUCUUUCGCUGCACCGCCUUGCUCGCCUUCUUGAGCUGCUCGAGGUCGUAAUCGAGCGCGUUGGCGAUGAUUUCAAACGUCUGCGCGUAUCGCUCCGGGUGAAUCCGCGUCGCGUCCAGGAUGUCGUCGUCCACGACGCGAAGGCUGCUCGCCGCGUUUCGAAACACGAUCGGACCAACGAUCCCGAGCUCGUACACGAGCUCCGCUCUCGUCUCCAGCGCGCCGCCGUCGGACGCGCGCACGGCGGCGACCACGGCGGCCGCCUUCCUCGCGCCCAAGCCCGCGACGUAGUUGAGCGCCUUUUGCUGCCACGGGUGCGCGACGCACGCGUUGACGUCGACGCCGACUUGGUUGACGACGUCGGCGAGCGCUCGCGUGAACACCGCGAGACGCUCGUCCUCAGUGAGCGCGUCCUGGAGCGUCGAGAGCGUCAGCGACGCCGCCUCGCCGCCGCUCGCGAGCGCCGCGACGAUGCCCGCGGGGUUGCGCAGGUACCGCCCGACGCACGUCGCGUGACGCACCUCCUCCUUGUGCUCUCUGAGGGCCAAAAACAGUUCUCCGGUCAGUUGAAAGGGGACGCGAUCAAGUGUUGAAACCGGGCGAUGGGUGAAAAUCGUUUGUAUAGAACGCACCUGAGUUCUUCUCGCAUCGCCGCCGACGCGCCCGCGAGCGCGGGAAUCGUGUCGUCGACGAAGUGCACCUCGAUCGUGUUCACUUCCUCCGGAAUCGCGCGCGCGUGAUCCUCGACGAUCUUCUCCACAGCCUGCCUCGCGGCUUCCCGCAGAAACUUGCAGUUCAUCCCCGCGUUCGAGGACGCGGCGACGGCGACGACGUGCGGGCGGUGUUCGAUCAUAAACUGCACGAGACGAUUCAUGUCGGCGUCGCGGCGUUGGCCCGCGGCGGACUGCCCGGCGAACGGCCCGGCGGCGCGCACCGCGAUGUUCGGGCACUCGAGGAAGUCCACGAGCUCACCCUCCGCGUCGAGCAUCGCGAACGUCGUCGCGGGCGUGCCGGGACCCCACACCGCGGCGAGGACUCGGACGUCGACCUCGUCGUCGUGGUACUCCUCGGUGGAUUUAAUCUCCGGCGCCCACGGGCGGUUGGAAAUCUUCGGCCACAGCGCCUCGCCGCACUCGCGCUUCACCUCCGCGAUCGCCUCGCGCGCGAGCAGCACCGUCGCGCUCUUCGUCAGCGACACCGCGAGGUGCUUCUUCAGUCCCAAGUGCAGCGCGUCCUUGCGAAGCGCGUUCCACGCGUCGGCAAUCUCGGAGACGUCUUCGAGGAGGUACGCCUGUUCCGCCUCAGCCAUGACGUCGUCGAUCACCUUCUCCGGGAGCGCUACUCUCAGCGUGAUGAGCCCCUCGUCGUACGCGCGCAGCACCGCCGCGAACUCGGUGCCGGUGAACUCGGAGAUGGGCUUGUUCUGAAGGCGCUUCACGCGCGCGAGCGGGUGAAACGGAUCGAUCUCGAUCGUCCCCUUCGGCGUCGGCUGCGUCCACACUUGCGCCUUGCGGCGCACGACGACGCGCAUCCACGCGCGCACGGACGGCUCCACGGACAGUUCCGCCGCGGCGACGUGCGUCAGCGCUUUCAGGACGACGGAGACGUCGCCGUACCCGGUCUCUUCGCCGACGUACACCGACGCGGCGUCUUCGGGCAUCAUGUCCGGGACGACUUGAUUCUCCGUCCCCGCGUUUCGGCGGUAGGAAUUCAGCGACUGCGCGAGCGCCGCGGGCGUCGCGCCGUACAUCGGGAGCAAGUCGCGCAGGCCCUUCUUCCUGUGGUGCGCGUACGCCGUGCGGUUCAGCGGGCGAACGUGCGUGGACUCCGCGCCGGACUUUUUUAUGCCGCCCUUCGCCUCCGACGUGAGAAACUGAUGAAUCUCCUCGUCGAACCGCAGCGUGAGCUUCGCCUCGACGUCGUCCAGCGUCUCCUCCGCGCGCGCGUCCUCGCACUUGUUCAUGAGCGCCGCGAGCUCGUCCAGGUCUGGGUGAUCGUCCCCCAACACCUCGACGACGCCUCCAAACUUUCGCAAGAGCUCCGCCUUUCUCCGCGUCAUGCGCGCGUGUCGUUUAUCCCACUCCAAAACCUCGUGCAGGACGUCGCGUCGGUGCACCCUGCGCUCGAGGACCGCGAGGUUCGAGUCGCGCGGCGGCGGGCGCGAGUCGUCGCGCCGCCCGCGCAGCAGCGGCGCGACGCGAUCCUUCAGGUUCUGCGCGAUGAACGCGAUCUCGAGCCCUUCGAGGUGCGUCAUGCACAGCAGAUCCGCGAUGGCCGCCUCCGCCGCCUCCGCCUCCUCCUUCGGGAGGUUCCCGCGCUCGUUCUCCUCGAUGUUCCUCACGCGGUCCUCGUGCUCGUCCUGCGACUCGUCGUCCGCCCACCCGCGAAGGAGGAGCUCGCCGCCGAACGUCGGCGCGUCUCGAACGCUGCCGACGCCCAUGAGGCGAUCCAAGAUCCACUUCGCCUCGGCGGCGGCGUCCUCCUUCUUGAACGGCGUCACUCUCGCGUCGAGCUGCAUGCGCUCCGGCCAGUCCGUCUCUCGGAUCUCGUCGUCCUUCGCCGUGAGCAUCUGCUCGCGGACGACGGACGGCUCGAACGCGUGCAGCCAGGACCCGCGCCCGGGGCGGCCCGCCGCCGCGGAUCGCGCAGACGUCUUUCUUCUUCGCCGCCGUUUCUUCUUCUUAUCUGGGCGAUCGAGCGCGUCGUCGCCCUCGUCCUCGAGCGCGACGCCGUCGUCCUCCUCCUCGUCCGUCUCGUACUCGCUCUCUUCGUCGAACCUUUCGCCAAGGUCGCCUUCGUCGUCGCCCCGGUCCCUCUGCGCGAACAUCGCCUGGAGCUCGCCGACGUCUCCGAAGAUGUCGAACGCGUCUUGCAGCUGGUCGCUCCGCACGCCCGGCACGUGCGACUUGAUCUUCUUCGGCCUCGGGCCUUCGCCCUCCUCACGCUCGAUGAAGUCCGCGAACUCGUCCUCGCUGUCCUCGUCGUCGUAGUCCACGAAGUCUUUUUCAUCCUUCACGACGGCGGGUUUGAUUUUUUUCUCCUUGGAGACGUCGUCGUCUUCGUCCUCCUCCUCGAGCUCCUCGUCGUCCGAGCCGCCGAAGAGAUCGCGCUCCACCUCGGCCAUCGUCUUCGGCUUGUCGCCGCCCUUCUUCGCCGCCUUCUCCGCCGCCUUGUCCUUCUCCGAUUUCUUCCCGAUGCGCUUCUUCUUCUCCUUGCGCGUGAAUCCCGUCACGAGGUUGUCCUCGAGGAGGUCGUAAUCGUCCUCGUCGAGCUCCAUCGCCUUGCGCUUCUUCCGCCUCUUGUCGUCCUCGUCGUCGUCGUCGCUGUCGUCGUCGUCGACGACGACGGUGACGGCGCCGCGCUGGCGUCGGCGCGCGACGACCGGGCCGUCGUCGUCGUCGCUGUCGUCGUCGUCGUCCGCCAUCGGCGGCGAGGACGACGGCGCCUUGGGCGAUCCCGGGGGGACGGGCGACCCGGGCGCGUCGUCGUCGUCGUCGUCGUCGUCGUCGUCGCCGUCGUCGUCCGCGUCCGCGCGCUCCGCCUUCACCGCGGGCGGCGCGUCCUCGGUCUUCUCCGUCGCGGCGGGCGGCGCGUCCUCGGGAGGCGCCGCGGCGGGCGCGGCGGCGUCGUCGUCGGACAUGACGGCGCGAUUCUCCCGCCCGUCCAAGAUCUCGCCCCUCGCGCCGGCGCGGACCGCGCGCGGUCGCCGAUCGACGCGCGAGAUCGAACGCGCGCGCGCUCGAGCGACCGCGCGCGACGCGACCGCGGCUCGAGGACGGGGUGUUCGCAAGCGACGACGACUCGAGCACGCGUGCGGCGCGACUCGAGGUGUGACGACGACCGCGACGCGGCCGCGCCGACGGCGAGCGCGAUCGCGCCAAGAGGCGGGCUGUGUGGUGUACCGACCGCGCGGAACACGAGGCGCGCGUGGACGCAGUACCGUACGUAAAAGGGCCCUAUGGAAUUUUAGUCUGCGUUUUUUGUCAAAACUCCGCUCGCCAUGAUCACUUCCACUUCCGGCUCAGGUCCUUCGAGUACGCCAUCCCGUGCGUCACGAACGCGCCGACCGCGAGCGCGGCCAACGUCGCGAUCAGAAGCAAGUACGAAAACUCGUCGUCCAGCGUGUCGAAGCUCCGCGACGGGUGCAGCCGCGUGUAAAAAAAAUCCAACCCGUGUGCGACGCACAACACCGUGCUCUCCAGCGACGCGGGCGCGGUCUUUAUCCCUCUCAACCGCGCCACCUGAUGCCUCGUCGUGACCCAACUCUGCGGGAAGAUCGGCAGCACCUCCUGGUACGGCACGAGCCCUUCUUCGCGGUCCUCCGCGGUGGGCUUCCGCGACGGACGCCUCGGAUCCAAAAACUUUUUAUCCAACGCCACAACCUGAUCCGUCGCCGUGCCCAUCAGCACUUGAUGCGCGGUGACCCCUUUCAUCGAGUACGUGCUCGUCAUCAUCGUCGCCGCCGGUCGAACGAAGUAACUCUGACCCAUGAUUCGAAGCGGCGGCGGCGCGAACGACGAGAUCGUCUCCGUGUCGUUGCCCCCCGCGAAGAUGGAGCUCCGCAUCAGCUCGCCGACGGCGAGCCCUUUUCGGUGCUCCGCGUCGUCGAACAUCUCGAGGACGCUCAUCGCGAAUCUCCCACCGCGCGUGUUGUAGUAGUGAUACACGACCCAGUUCUCGCACACGACCGCGUGGACGGGUCCGCGCGCCUCCGGGUGCUUGACGCGGUAGAGCACGCGCCCGGUCGCGGCGUCGAUCAGGUGCACGAGGACGAAGGACGCGAGCGACGCGUCCGAGGAGGCGUCGCCCGCGCCGGCGACGUCGAACGUCGUCGGAGACGCGGCGACGAAGAUGACGUUCGGGGAGAGGUACUUGAACAGCGUCGAGCGGUCGCCGAGGACGCGCGUCCACGAGUGGACGACCUCGUCGGAGGGUUUCGACGCGUACCCGACGAUGGAGCCGCUCUCGGGGGGGAACAGCGACGACCACGUCUGCGCGACGGGAUAGGACGACGGAAACGCCGACGCCUCCGCCGACGACGGUUUCGUUUCCGCGGCGGAAGCCGACGACGGCAAGAGCGCGUAGCCGCGAAUCUCGUUCGCGCUCUGAUCCACGGUGAAGAACGACACGACGCCGCGGUCGACGUGCGCGGCGACGCGCGCUUCCUCGGUGUCCGGGAACACCGUCGCGGACGCACCCGCCGCGUCCACGAGCAGCGCCGCCGACGCCUCGUGCGUCUUGGAAUCCGCCGCAGCCGCCGCCGACGGCAACGGGAGAUAAUGCGCGGUCGCGAACGGCAAAACCACGUCGCUCUCGAUCGCGCCGGUGUACAGGUCCACGACGACCGCGCGCGUGCGGUCGUUACGCUCGUCGACGCCGAGCACGAGCGCGUGCUCGCUGUCGUGCGCGUGGUCGCCCGUGGGACGCCACUUCUCGAUCGACGCGUACGAGUAUUCGCCGCCGCCAGCUGUACCGCCGCCGAGGAACCGCCGCCAUAACACGCGGCCGUCGCCGUUGUGCAGCGACGUGAUCGCGCCCGAGGGCGCGAGCGCGAUGAUCUGCUGGCGCAGGCCUUUCAGGUCGCGCGUCGGCAGGAGCUUCGCGCCUCUGCCGCGUCGCAACGCCGUCAGCGUCUCGAUGUCCUCCUGCUUGGCUUGGUUAAACCGCGCCUUGAGCGCCAAAACCUGCGUCUUGUAACGCUCCGCGAACGACGGUUUCACGCGCAGGUCGUCCGCGGCCGCCGCCGCCGCGGACUUGGGCGGCGGGAGCUUCGCGAAGAAAACCUCGCCCGCGAGCGCGAGAGACUCGUCCCUAGACCAGAGCCGCUCGCCUCUGAUUUCCUCCGCGCCGCCGUGCGCGGACAGCGUCGCGUCCUCCGUGACGACCAGCGUAGAAAACACCGCGCCCGUGGAGGACAGCCACGCGCGCUUCACGACCCCGUGGUCCGCGGGCGCGUACCCGCGCACCGGCUGUGUCGUCUUGACGACCGCGCCCGUCUCGAGCGAGAUGAUCGAAGUGGACGCCGCGUUCGUCUUCGCGUCGACGACGACGGCGCCGACGACGACGCCCGCGAGCGCCGUCGCCGCCGGCGAAACCGCCGCAGCGCAGGCGUUACCUCCGCCGGCGGCGCCCGUCGUCAGCCCCCACGCGCGCACGAUCUCGACGGCGCCGGCGUCCGUGAGCCGAGCGAGUGCGCAGCCGGCGUCGCCGAGGAGCGUCGCCGCGCCGGCGGCGAGCGCCGCCGCGUCAGCCUCGCCGUCGCCGCCGCGAAUCGCGGCGACCCCGCCGCGGAAACCGCCGCCCACCUCCGCCGGCGCGUCGCUCAGCGUCGUCGCGCCGCGCUUCCCCUGCAGCAGCUUCGCGACGUCGAUCACCGCGAGCUUCGCGCCGUCGAUCGCGGUCGUCAGCGCGUAGACCUUAUCGCCGUUGUCGCCCCCGGACUUGACCGCGAGGGAGGCGCCGGCGGCGCCCGCGCCCGGGCCCCCCGGAGGCGCGAGCCCGCCCGCGCCGCCGCACUGCUUUCGAAGCGUCGCGCCCGUCUUCAGGUUCAUCUCCACCGCGCACGCGCGGUGGUCGUCCUCCGUGACGCCGAUCGCGAUCGCGACCUUCACGUUGGCGGCGGCGGUCGCGACGACGACGCGCUGCAUGCGAGCGAUCUCGCCGCCGCCGAAUUCACCCGCCGCGUCGCUUUCCCACGCGACGCCGCCGUCCGCCGUCGACCGAAGCUGCGCUCUACCUCGCGCGAGCACGAGCACGUCGUCGGCGCCGUCGCCGUCGACGUCCUCGUUGAGCGGCAGCAGGUCGAUCCCGGCGUCGAGCGCAGCCUCCUUCGCGGCGUCCGCGCUCGGCGCCGCGGCGGUGAACGCGACGCGUUCCCACAGGAGUUCGCCGUCCUUCAUCGAGUACGCGCGCAGGUGUUUGCCGCCGCCCGAGAGCGCGAGGAGCAUCUUGGAGGCGACGACGAGCUUGUCGACGACGUCGCCGCGCUCGAGGACUUGGCGCCACGCUGCGAGGGAGGGGAACGACGGGGGGUGGGGGGUCGGCGGGAGGGCGCGCGGGCGUCGAGGCGCGCGCGAUCGCGAGGAGGUUGGAUCGACGGCCGUCGCUCGCUUUGCCCUAGCGCGCGCGACGGACGGACGGUAGGAUCUCGAACGAUCGAGGGGACGACGCGACGCGAAGGGAUCGUUCGGCGGGCGGACGCGCGAGGGACGCACCGAUGUCGCCGGUCUUCAUGGACACCGCGGCGAUCGCGCCCUGGUCCGUCGCGAUGAACGCGCGUCUUCGGUCCGCGGAUCCCGCGAACGCGGCGUGCGUCGCGUCGCCCAAGAACGAUCGGUGCCAGUCGUAGCUCCCGACUUGAUCCGCGUGUAUCGCCGCCGCGGGCGACGGCGCGAUCGCCGCGAUCGCGACGACGAGCGCCGCGACGGCGGCGCGCCACGAGAUCGACGAAGGCGCCAUGACGCGAGUGAAGUGAGCGACGCGCGGGGGUGGGCGUCGGUCGUUAUGCGCGAGGGACGGGCGGCGCGAGAUCGGUCGUCAACAGAAGUUUUCUCGGCCGGCGCCGUCAUCGUCAGCGAACACUUUUUCCGCGAGCGCCGCCACAUCGCCGCCGCGCCGGCACGAUGAGCGGCCCGGGGUGCUACGACCCCCCCGCCGACUUCGCUCCCGCGUCGUUCCGCCGCCACGCCGCCUUCGAGCUCGAGGACGACGACGAGGUGUGGGUGAUCCAAGCCCCCGCGGGGACGUCCGCGAGGGACCUGCGCGGGUGUCGAUUCACGGUCGCGGACGACGACGACGCCGUCGGCGUCGUCGUCGACGAGUUCAAGACCGCGAGAGGGAAGAAGUACAGGAUGGUCGAGGACGGGAAGGGCGCCGCGGAGACGCUGUCGAUCGUGCGCGCGGCGAGGGACGGAUCGAACGGGCUGGAGACCGCGCGCGCGGUGACGCGGCGGGUCACGCUGAUGCGCAAGGUCAGGGGUGCGGCGGGCUCGGGGGGGAGGCGCGAAGGCGACGACGACGACGAAGGGGACGAGGCGCGCGGCGGCGGCGGCGGCGAGGAGAAGCGCGCCGCGCGAGAGCCGAAGACGCCGAAGGAGAAGAAGCGGAAGAGGGACAAGGACGACCGGAAGUCGUCCAAGAAGUCGAAGAGCUCGAAGAAGGACAAGGACUGACGACGGCGCGGCGACGACGCGAGUAAAAAAACGUAGCUCUGGCGAUGACGCCGUCGCGAUCGAUCGAAUCACAUUAGACGCCAACCCAGCCCGAUCCAACCAAACCGCGGCCGCGGCCGCGGCCGCUCACGCCUCGAUCGCUUUCGCUUCCGCCUUCUCCGCCUCGAUCGUCGCGGCUUUCAUCUUCUCGUUGAUCGCGUCCGCGUUUGUGUGCACGAACAUCUCCGCGUGUUCGAAAUUUUGCUUGUUCUCCUUCCACGCGCUCUGCGACCGCUUCUCGUGCGUCCUCUUAGCGUCCUCGCUGAUCGAGAGUCGAGGGUCCACACGAGGCGACGUCGGGGUGGAGGAGUUUUGGGGCGCGUCAGAUGGAGUCGUCGAUGGAGGCGUCGCGGUGUGGUGUCGGGAUCGAAACCGAGGGGCGGGCGGGAGGAGAGAAACGACCGCCGGGCGGGACGCGGACGCGCCUGAACAGCUUCGCCAUGAUUUCGUAAUCGUACUCGUCGCUCGCCCACGGGUCAACCUUGGACGGGGAGACGAUCGACACGUCGUACUUCGCCUUGGCGUAGAAUUUCAUCGCGCCCUCGUUCGCUUUCUGCACGGUGAGCAUGACGCCGUCGACGCCGGCUCUCUUCGCGAGCGCCUCGCACAGCAUCAUCAGGAACCGUCCCAGCCCUCUCCCUCGCGCCGCCGCGUCGAACUGAAGCUCGUAGACGUACAACACCGCGACGUCUUCCUCGACGACGAAGCGAUAGUGCACGAACCCUAACGGCGGCGAUCGCGCGGACGACGACGACGACGCCGCGGGCGACGCGGCGUUCGGGUCCGCGUUCUCGCCGGAGGCGUCGCGAGCGAUGAGGUACCUCGUCUCAUCCUCCCCCAUCUCGCGCCUCUUGUCCCUGGCCUCCGUCGCCCACGUCUUCGACGCCUCGUACACGGGCUUCAUGUUCGCCUCGAGCAGGCUCCACAUCCACUUCUUCUCCUCCGCGGUGAGGUCCGCGGGCGCGGCGGGGGUCACGGCGACGCGGACGUCGCCGCGCGCGAACGGCUUCGCGAGGAACGGCGCGAGCGCGUCGGACGGGUCGACGGCAUACGCGGCGUCGAUCGAAGCCUCGAGCGCCUUGAGCUUCUCCGCGGCCGCGAGUUUCUUCGCGGUCUUGGCUUUCUUCGCGACGUCGACGACUUUGACGGCUUUCGGCAUCGCGCGCGGCGAGGUCGCGAGGGCGGGGGGGUCGGGGAAGUUGUCGUUCAUUGUCGUGGUCGGGUUCGAAUUUUAAACAAUGGCAAAAUUUCUUCCAGUCUGAUGAUUUUCGCCGCGCGACGCCGCCAGACUGGACGGCGUCCCCGCCGCCCUCUCUCUCUCUCUCUCCGACCGACCGACCAAACCGCCGAUCACAUCACGGACGUCACCUUGAAGUCCAGAUCCGGUCGCUCCUUCACCGCCUUCUCCGCCGCCUCCGGGGACACGACCGCGCACACCUUGGCCCCCGGCGCGCGCGUCGCCUCGAGCGCUUCGCCAAAGGCUCUGAGGGUCGUUCCAUACGAGCGAAUGUCGGGGUGCAGUUGAAAGGCGUCAGUUGGAGUUGAAAGGCGUCGAGGUCGGGGAUUGAAAGCGAGGGGUGGGCGGAGAGAAACACCGGGAAAAGUCCUUAAGGAUCGGCGUCCACCACGCGAACGGGGUCGUAUGGGAACCAGUGUAUAGAACGCGCCUGAAGUCCUUCUGGCUCGUCGACAAGAUUUGUUCGCGACGCUCUUGUCUCUCUUCGUCCGACACCUUCAGAAGGUGACGCAUGAGCGACGUGUACCUCUUCGCGUCCGGGAGCUGGUACGCGUCGAUGUCGCCCAUCGUGCCGAUGAUCGCCUUGGUGAGCUCGUCGCCGCCGAUCUCCAGGGAUUUGAGGUAGUCCACGGUGCCGUCGUAAUUUUCCACCGUCUUCAUGAG
rnacentral:lncRNA from 1 species